GAGACGGUUCUCAGAAGAAAUUGUCGGUGAAUUCAAACAUGAGCUAGAUUUUAGAAGGUUAGUUAAUGUGGAUAAGCAGCCACCGGGGACCAAUCUAUGUGGAUACUAUGUUUGUGAGAAUAUCCGGAGACACACCUCUGAGCGGAAGGCAUCGGAUAGCGUGCGGAAGGCGACGGAUAACUUGCGGAGGAGGCUUAGUCCAGAAGCUCGCUUCCGACCAAUUCAAGAUGAAUUAGCAGGAUUUUUCAUGAGGGAAGUCAUCAAUCCUAAAGGAGAACACUAUACCGAGGACGAAGAAAUUUAUAUGCAUACCCAAGAUUGAAACUUGUUCGAAGUUGUAUAUGGUCAUCCAUCCUAAUUGUGUAUGGAAACUUGUUCGAAGUUGUAUAUGGUCACCCGAGAUUGAAUAUAUAUUAUAUAUUCCUCUUGAAUUCUUCUUGUUUGAAAUUUCAUAUGCAUGUAUAGUAGCGUAGAAUAUGUGUACUGAAACUUCAUCAAAAUUAAAAUAAAACAUAAAAUAAAAUAUAAAAGAAAUAAAACACUACAAAUUAAAAAGAAACCAGGUUUAGGGGGGCUAAAACCCUAAACCUGUGGAGGAGGCCUUUAGUCCCGGUUAGCCACGAGAACCGGGACUAAAGGUCCUCCGCCCCGACGGACUCCUGGCGCCCACGUGGACGGGCCUUUAGUCAUGGUUCGUAAGAGGCGCGACUAAAGGGGGGGGCCUUUAGUCACGCAUAUUUAGUCCCGGUUGCACAGCUGGAAUUAAUGGCCUUUGCGAACCGGGACUAAAAGCCUAUUUUCUACCGGUGAGCUAGUCUUGCGACAGGAGCGUCGCUAGUCUUGCGCCACGGGCGCCACCGCCUCUGCAUGCGCCAUGCAUGCAGUAGAGACGGUAUUAUCCGCUGCUGACUCUCCACGAGAUUAGGAUCGAUGGUUAGCUUGGCUAGCGUGUGCGUGUGUAUUCUCUCUCCCUCUCUCUCCCUGAUGUACUGCUAUAUAUCUUUGUAUUCCUGUGAGAGAUGAAUACAACUUGAAUAUUGAGCUCAUACUUAUAGUUUAACAUGGUAUCAGUUUUGUGAUCCUCCUUUCUCGCUUCCGCCAUGGCCGAGGAAACCUCCGACGCCGCGGCCGCCGCCGCCCUGGGCGCUCCUCAGGCUUCCUCCUCGCCUGCCCCUCCCCCACCGGCCACCUCCCCUCUGCAGGUCGCCCCCUCCCCUCUGCCGUUCCUUGCCGCCCCUACCCUCCCCCACUUCAAGACGGCGGCGCAGCUCCAUGCCGAGCGCGUCGAAGGCGCCAACAUCUUCCACCGCGUCCGCAUCGUCCUCGCCAUGCAGGGGAAGAACUACUCCAUCUGGCGUGGGCUGAUGGAAGAGGCCUUCGAUCAGUUCGACGUGAACGCCCACGUCUCGCCCGACUUCUCCGAUCAUCAGCACGACCCGACGUGGACCAUCAUCAACAAAGCGGUAAAAACCUGGUUCUACAACACCAUAUGUCCUGAACUUCUCGGGUUUGUUCAGGACCGGAAAGCCACGGCCUUUGAGCUUUGGUCCAAGCUGGAAGCGCUCUUCCUCAACAACCAGCGCUCCCGGCAGUUCCAUCUCCAGACGGAGCUCUACGCCGUGAAGCAGGGCGACUCCACCAUCCCGGUCUUCUGCGCCCGGCUCAAGUGCGUCGCGGACGCCCUCCGCAACGUCAAUAAGCCCGUCGACGACGAUGAGCUGGUGAUCCAGCUUCUUCGGGGCGUCAACCGAGAUCGCCACGGGAUGACGGCUGCCAUCAUCGAGAACUCGACAAACCCCGUGCCCUUCGAGCAGGCCGUCGGCAUGUUUCUCCACGACGAGAUGACGUCCGGCGGCGCCUUCCCGGCCGGUUCCCACACCGCUCUUGCGGCUCACGGCCGUCCCCCUGCUCCAUCUCCGGGGGGCGUCUCCGGCAGCGUCACCAAGCAGCAGGGCGGUGGCAGCAAGCCCGGCACCCCCUCGCCGAACCAAGGCGCCAACAAGCGGCGGCACUACACCAACAACGGGGGGGUACCAGGGUGCGUCCUCCGGCCCCAAUCCCUGGACUGGGCAUGUGUACGCCUACCCGAUGCCUCUCCCGCCGCCGCCCCGGGCACUCCCGGGCCUCCUCGGCUCUCGUCCUCAGGCGCACGCCGCGUUCGGCGGCCCUCCGCAGCCGCUCCAGCCAGCGUACGGGUACACCUACGGCGACCCUCAUCUGCAGCCUGCACCCAUGCCGGCGUUCCCUCCGCAGCAGCAGUACCUCCAUCACCACCACCAGCAGCAGGCGUACCUUCCGGCCCCGCCACAGCAGCAGUUCCUGCCUCCGCCGCCCGCCACGGCCUCUGAUUCACACGGCGUCGACCACGCCGCCUUGAUGGGCGCUCUUCACAACCUGUCCCUACAGUCUCCGAGCGGCGGCUGGGUCGCGGACUCCGGCGCCUCCGCUCACAUCACCUCGGAUCCUGGUAAGCUUUCCUCCGUCGUCCCUGUAUCAGGUUAUCCCCCAGUUUAUGUCGGUAAUGGUAGUUCCCUGCACAUUAGUCACGUUGGUUCUGCUGCUCUUCCAAACCCACAUCGGCCUCUCUAUCUCAAUAACGUCCUUGUUGCACCUGAUCUCAUCAAAGAUUUAUUGUCUGUUCGUCGUUUAACUACUGAUAACAACUGUUCCGUUGAAUUUGAUCCCCGUGGCCUCUCUGUGAAGGAUUUUGCAACCAAGGCGGAGGUCCUCCGGUGCAACAGUAGCGGCGAACUGUACGACAUUUUUCCACCGGCUGCCCCCACUGCCUACGUCGCCACCGUCUCACGCCUUACAGAUCUUUGGCACCGGCGUUUGGGUCACCCCGGCGAUGCCACUUUUCGCACCAAUAAAAAUUUAGAUCAUUGUAAUAAAAGUGUUUCUGAUGGGCGCUUGUGCCAUGCUUGCCAGACUGGAAAACAUGUUCGUUUACCUUUCAGUUCCUCUCUUAGUUCCACCACUGGUCCAUUUGAAUUACUCCAUUGUGAUCUUUGGACUGCCCCUUUAUCUAGUGUCUCUGGCAACAAAUAUUAUCUCUUAGUCAUUGAUGAUUUCUCGUGCUACCGAUGGACUUUUCCUCUCAAACAGAAAUCCGAUGUCCCUGCCGUGUUUCGUUACUUUCAUGCCUAAGUCCGCACGCAUUUCGGUCGUACCAUCCGUACUCUCCAAUGCGACAACGGACGUGAGUUUGACAGUACCCAAAACCGCGACUUUCUACUUCCCUUUGGCAUGGUGAUGCGCUUCUCCUGCCCUUACACGUCCCCCCAGAACGGGAAAGCCGAGCGUGCUAUUCGUUCGACGAACGAUGUGGUCCGCACGCUCUUACUUCAAGCAUCCAUGCCUCCUCGCUACUGGGCCGAUGCUCUCACCACCGCCACCCUCCUUCUAAACCUUCGUCCCACCAAAAAGUUGUCCCUCACCACGCCUCACGAAACCCUUCAUCACACACCACCCUCUUAUUCUCACCUGCGUGUUUUUGGGUGCUUAUGCUACCCCAACACCGAGGCCACCGCACCACACAAACUAGCCGCCCGCUCCGUCGCGUGUGUCUUCAUCGGCUACCCUCUCGAUCACAAGGGCUAUCGCUGCCUCGACCGCUCCACCAACAAAGUGUACACAUCCCGGCACAUUGUCUUUGAUGAGUUUGUUUUCCCCUUUUCUAGCACCCCGGCGGCCUCACCACCGAUGGACUUUUCCCACCCAGCCUCGUACGACGGCCCAGCCCUCUCCUCCGCUCCUGUGAUCACACCGCCUAUCUUCUUCUUUACGUCGACGACAUCAUUCUUACGGCCUCAUCAACCUCUUUUCUUCACUACAUCAUCUCUCUCCUUCGUGGCGAAUUCUCUAUGACUGACCUCGGUACACUCUCUCAUUUCCUUGGCAUUGCCGUGACUCACUCACCCACAGGGCUCCAUCUUUCUCAACGGCAGUAUGCCUUGGAUAUCAUAGAGCGUGCUGGCAUGGCCGAUUGUCAUCCCAUCCGCACUCCCAUCGACUCUGGCGCCAAACUCUCCAUCACUGACAGUGAUCUCCUCGAUAACCCUACUAUCUAUCGUAGUCUAACCGGCGCCCUCCAAUACAUGACUAUCACUCGUCCUGACCUGUCCUAUGCCGUUCAGCAGGCAUGUCUCUUCAUGCAUGCCCCACGUUCCUCCCACUAUAAUCUUGUCAAACGCAUCAUUCGUUAUCUCAAAGGCACCCUGGACUACGGUCUCCACAUUUAUCCAUCCUCACCGUCCACUCUCUUAGCAUAUUCCGAUGCGGAUUGGGCAGGCUGCCCCGACACACGACGCUCCACCUCUGGUUUUUGCGUUUUUCUCGGGGAUAACUUGAUAUCUUGGUCGUCGAAGCGACAACUUACUGUUUCCAGGUCGAACGCUGAGGCGGAGUACCGGGCUGUUGCCCACGUCGUUGCCGAGACCGCUUGGCUCCGCCAGUUGUUGCAAGAGCUCCACCAGCCUAUCGCCAAGUCUACGGUUGUGUAUUGUGAUAAUGUCUCUGCUGUGUACAUGUCAGCAAACCCAGUGCAGCAUCGACGCACCAAACACAUUGAGAUUGACAUUCACUUCGUCCGUAACAAGGUUUCACUCGGUGAGGUCCGAGUGCUUCAUGUCCCUACAUCAUCUCAGUACGCGGAUAUCUUCACCAAGGGUCUUCCCACUGCUACAUUCGUGCAGUUCCGGACCAGUCUCAACAUUCGGCAAGCCCACGAUGAGACUGCGGGGGGCUGUUAGAUUGAUGAUUACCAGCUUGAGCUGGUCUUGCGACAGGAGCGUCGCGAGUCUUGCGCCACGGGCGCCACCGCCUCUGCAUGCGCCAUGCAUGCAGUAGAGCCGGUAUUAUCCGCUGCUGACUCUCCACGAGAUUAGGAUCGAUGGUUAGCUUGGCUAGCGUGUGCGUGUGUAUUCUCUCUCCCUCUCUCUCCCUGAUGUACUGCUAUAUAUCUUUGUACUCCUGUGAGAGAUGAAUACAACUUGAAUAUUGAGCUCAUACUUAUAGUUUAACACGACGUAGCCCGCAAGAAGCCUGUGUCCUACGCGUGCGUCAGCAACAACAGCGAGUGCUUCAACUCGCUCAAUGGACCAGGCUACAUCUGCAACUGUUCCAAAGGUUUCCAUGGUAAUCCUUACCUGCAAGAUCCGGAGCACGGAUGCAAAGGUACGUAAAACUGCUUAUCCAUCCAUCAAUUUACUACUCCAGGGUUUGGCACUUUGGAUGCAUCCAUCAUUUGGAGUACUAUUUAUUAUCAACAUCGUAGUCUGGACUUCUUAUUUACAAAAAGUAAGAUUUUUUUUUGGAAAAGGAAGCGUGCCCCCGGCCUCUGCAUCUGAACGAUGCAUGCAGCCAUAUUAUUAAAAGACAAAGAGUUGGGCUUUGCCCCCGGCCUCUGCAUCUGAACGAUACAAAAAGUAAGAUGUAUUACAUAAUUAAGCAAGAUUAACUUAGUGGAAGAACCUUAAUUUCGUAAGAUGUCUUUCGUCACUUUUUAUCUUGCAAAAGUGUGAUGUGCUUGCCUUGAUGUUCUUUCUAACCUGAAACCAAAGAACAAUUGUUCUACAGUAUUUUUGGAUUAAUACAUCAACAAACUACAAUAUUUACGACCAGCAAAGAAACCGCAAAGAAAUAAACUGAAAGUUGGGCUCAACCAAUACCUGCUCUUGGAAUUGGGAACAUGAGAUUAUCUGGUGGAUCUGGUUCUCAUUCAUGUGCACUAAUCCAUCCUAUCAAGGUAAUCAAAUGCUGUGCUUUGAUUCUGUGUUUGAACCCUUGCUUUAAAGUAGAUGCAAUGGUAGUGAAAAACGUGUUAGAGCAAUCUUUAUAUAUACUACACAAGAAACAUUCAUUACCAACUAGUUAACUUCGCCAAGUGUUAAUUCUUCAGACAUUGAGGAAUGCUUUGCAAGACACUAUUUACAACAAGAAAAGAAACAGCAAAGAAAUAAAGUGAGAGUUGGGCUCAACCAAUUCUCCUUUUCUUGGGAACAUGUGAUUAUCUAGUGGAUCUGGUUCUCAAAGUGUUAGAAUCAUAGAUGUGCACUAAUCCAUCCUUUCAAGGUACUCAAAUGCUUUGCUUUGAUUCUGUGUUCCAACGCUUGCUUUAAACUAGAUGAAAUGGUAGUUGAAAACGUGUUGGAGAAACUGUCAUUACCAAUUCGUUAACAUCCUCAAGUGUUAAUUUUUCAGACAUUGAUGAAUGCAAGCUCCCUCAUCUGUAUCGCUGCACAAAUGGCGGAGUCUGCAGAAACAGGUUGGGAGGCUAUGACUGUCCAUGCAAAUUUAGAUUGAAAGGCCACGCCAAAGGGGGAACCUGCAUAGAUCAUUUCCCUCUAGCAGCAAAGGUGGCAGUCUGUAAGUACUCUACUGCACUCCACUGUGGGUAUUUUUGUUCAUAGCUCAUAGUGCAACGAACAUUAGUACACAUCACGCUGGGUGAGAUCUGUUCCAGUAGAAUCUAUCACCACACAAACCCUCAUGUUGCCAAUCUAAUUCAUCAACAAAGAAACACAUGUAUGACAUGCCAACUGCUUGUACAUCUCUUGAUGGAUGCAGGCCAUAUGAUUGCUUCAAAGGAUUUCAAUCAUUCAGUUGUAUAUAUAUGCUGCUUAAUUUCUAUAAAUGGCCUGGCUGUAAUUUACGACCUACAUGAUUUCCUUGUCUUUUAAGAGCUCAAUUUCCUUGAAGUUGUUCUAUGGAUUCAGAUUCGGCAGUCGAGUUUCAGCCCCUUGACGGUCUUGAUUGAGAUUUCUUUUCCUUCUUGUAAUUCUAGUGGUAAUUUGUUUUAGAUUCCGAGUAGAUGAGCAAAGGAAACUAUUAAGUUCUUAUACUAAAUAUUUCUGCUAGAAUUGUAACUACGAUUUUAAUUAUAUAAAGUAAUUUGUUUUAUGUCUGUCUAGGUACAAUAGGUGGCAUUCUUCUCAUGGUGAUUAUAUCGUUUCUUGUUAUUCUUCACAAAGAGAAAAAGAAGACGGAAGAAUUCUUCAAAAAGAAUGGUGGCCCUACAUUAGAGAAGGCAAUUGUCAUUAAACUUUUCAAAAAGGACGAGCUCAAGCCUAUUUUGAAGAAGAGCAACUUUAUUGGAAAAGGUUGCUUUGGUGAAGUUUACAAGGGCAUUCUUGACAAUAAACUAGUUGCAGUAAAGAAGCCGAUUAAUGGUUCUGUGCUAGAGAGUGACCAAUUUGCAAAUGAAGUCAUCAUUCAAUCUCAAGUCAUCCACAAGAACAUUGUUAGGCUCAUUGGUUGUUGCCUUGAAGUCGAUGCCCCCAUGCUGGUCUACGAGUUUAUCUCCCAAGGUAGCCUCCAUGACAUUCUUCACAACAGCAAUAACAAGGUGGCUCUCAACUUGGAUGCCCGUCUAAGUAUUGCUGCACAUUCAGCCGAUGGUCUAGCUUAUAUGCACUCAAAAACAAAUACUAGAAUUCUACACGGUGAUGUGAAAACAGCUAAUAUACUUUUGGAUGAUAACUUCAUACCCAAGAUUUCAGAUUUCGGCAUAUCUAGGCUGAUUGCAUGUGACAAGGAACACACUGCAUCAAUCAUUGGCGACAGGAAUUAUAUGGAUCCGGUGUAUCUACAAGAAGGCUUACUCACUGAAAAAAGUGAUGUCUACAGUUUUGGAGUUGUGAUCCUGGAACUUAUUAGCAGGGAGAGGGCAAUGCAUUCUGAUAAUAAUAAGUUGGUAAAGAAUUUUCUUGAAGCCCAUAAGAAACAAAAGAAAGCAACCCAGUUUUUCGACAAGGAAAUUGCAAUAACAAAUGAUUUGGAGAUCCUUGAAAAUUUAGCAAGUAUAGCUGUGGAAUGCCUUAGCCUUGACGUGGAUCAAAGGCCAACAAUGAUGGAGGUAGCUGAGAGGCUACUCAUACUAAGCCGAUCUUGUAAGUUGUAAGAUGUUUGUCACUAAGUUAUUUUUAAAUAAUGGGCAGCAGAGUUCUCCUACAAUAUUCGUAAACGUGUCUCUAGGGAGGCUGAAUUUAUGUACGCUCCAUCUGUAACCGUGUUCUGAAGAAGUGCUUUUUUACCAAAGGCGAAGUAUCGAGUAAUUUUUUUUGAGCUAAUUUUUCUUAUUAUUAGAACUGGGUUUAGAUUAUUAGAUUUUGCUUUUGAGUCAUGCAUGUAGUUGAAUGGUAGAACUUGAGGCUGCGGGCAGUGUGUGCACAUAUACAAGUCAAUAGUCUUAGUUAGUUGAGUCAGUCUUCGAAGGAAAGUGGAUGCAUGUGUGGGCGUCGUUAGGUGAGUAGCAUGCACGUACUGCAUGGAUAACAUUAGUUGUUACUUGUUAGAACGGCUUAGUUGUGGACCUGGUAAUCAGCAGCGUCGUGCGUUUUUAGGAGCGAGGAGACCGGCCGAAACCUAGUGGCCAGAUACACUAGUAGAAAAAGGGCCUAAUGUUCAGCUCAUUAGUUCCGGUUUGCAAUUGAACCGGCACUAAUGUGACCAUUAGUGCCGGAUCCAACGGCUAGGCGGGCGGCUGUCAUUAGUCCCGGUUCUUGGCGAAUCUUUAGUACCGGUACGUGUGAAAGUCUAAAUAUUCUGCCUUGGUCCAUCGGUUAUAUAAUGAACGGCACGUGUAGUGUGUAGAGUUUCAAAGCACUUUACAAGCUGUAUGAAAAAUCAUGACUUCCUUUUCGCCCUCACUUUUCCGCCCCCACUUUCGCAUUAGUUGUGUUCAAGCGAAACCUCACGUUGUUAUUCCUUUUCUGGAUUUUUCUUUUUUUUGAAUGGUUAUCUGGGGAAGUGAAUCUCCACCCGAAUAUAUUCAAUUGAAUUUGCUUAGAAGCCUUGCAGAUCCAUACAAGAUGGGUUCAAGCGAAACGUGUCGAAGAAAAGCACUCAGGGAGCAGCAGGCAGGUGCCGCGCCCAGGCACAGCCACCGGCCAACGUGUCGCAACUAAUGACAGUAAGAGUAUAGGUAGUAGAUAACAAACCAGGGCAGCAGUACCUUACUGUGACUGGGCUGGGCUGCAAGGCUAAGAUGGGGAUGGGAACUUGGUGGUGGACCUGGAGAGGGGAGGAAACGGCAGAGAAGAGUGGCUGUGCUACAAGGCUAAUAACUGGUAUGGUUUGCCCCUUGCUGUGACACUUGCUCCUCGAUAGCCUGCUCUUUCUUUUUAUGGCUAUUAAAAUUUGGAAGAUCGGAACAUAUGCACAACAUACAAAAUAGUACAACUAGUAACCAGAAAUAGUUAGAAGGUUAUAAAGAUGCAUUAUUAAGGGACUACAUUGAUAUAGGCAAUACUUGUUAGUCAUCUCUUUGUGUCUAGAAUAUAAUGGAUCUUGUUAACAUGACUUGUCGUGAGGAUUUCUAAGAAAAGACUAUACACAUAAGUAGACUGAUCUUGUCUUCUCCAGUUGUUGACAUACAUACAGUUUAAAGGUACCUAAUGUAGUUUGAGAGACGAGUUGACCAUACAGAUAAAAAAGUAUAUUAGCUAGAGCAGGCCAGCAAGGAGGAGCAAGGUUGAGCACCCAGCGGAACAGCCACAAGAUAUAUUAGGGCUGGGAUGAGAGGAUGAUUGGGUUGGGAUGCUGCGGCCGUGCGCGCCGGCACAGUGAGGCUAUUUUUCAGAGGGAAAAGCAGGGGACGUCGGUACCUUGCGUCGGCGCAGCGACCGGCCAGCUUAGUCGGAGGUGAAGCAGGAUAGGCCAGCGGAUUCGGAGGUGAGGAAGGUCGAUGCGUCGGAGUGGCCAGGGACCCCGGUCGCCAGAGAUCCCUCGGACGGCGGCGGGUGAAGACAGAGAAAAAGAACUUGUUGUGUGACAAAAAAUAAGGUGGUACAAAAACCUUUACACACAAAAAAAGAAACUUAAGAAGCUGCUAUAAAAUUCAUAUGUUGUUUCUCAAUUUUUUCCUGACAUUUUAAAAUGUUAGAUUAUGUCUUCUUGGUCUCGACUUAACAAGUAAAAAAAUCCCUUCCUCACAGCAUCCAUGCCGUCAACAAUCGCCGGCCACCCAUGACUCCAUGCUCGCCCCUAGGCUGCCUGUGCUCUUCAGCCGCCCACGCCACCCCGCUCGUCCUCCGCCCCGUGCUCGCCGGCAACCCGCUUCCUACUGUCGCCGGUUGCAUCACAGCAGUGCCAGUUGUAGCAAACACAGAGUAGCUGUGGCGAUCAUGUGUUUUUUUUGUCGUAUCUAUGAUGACGUCGCUAUUGCAAGAGAUCGCCACUUCCGCGUAGCUUAUUGUGUUUGAUAGGAUGGAAGCAGAGUGUGCUUCUUUGUGUGUUUUCUUUUCAUCUUUCUUUUGUAUUCUACAUAUUAAUUUGUCCAUAAAAUUUAAGUUUAUUAUUUUUCCUCACAAAUAGUAUAUAUAUAAUGGGAGUUCAUGUGAAAAGAUUGCAUUUUUUGAAAUUGUAUUCUUUUUCUUUCAAUUUUCCAAACUUGUGGCAAGGGGUUGAAUCUCUUAAAACUCUGAGUGGAUCUCAGUACAGGGUGUUGGAAAUAUGCCCUAGAGGCAAUAAUAAAUGGUUAUUAUUAUAUUUCUUUGUUCAUGGUAAUUGUCUAUUAUUCAUGCUAUAAUUGUAUUGUCCGGAAAUCGUAAUACAUGUGUGAAUACAUAGACCACAACCUGUCCCUAGUAAGCCUCUAGUUGACUAGCUCGUUGAUCAACAGAUAGUCAUGGUUUCCUGACUAUGGACAUUGGAUGUCAUUGAUAACGGGAUCACAUCAUUAGGAGAAUGAUGUGAUGGACAAGACCCAACUUAAGCAUAGCAUAAAAGAUCGUAUAGUUUCGUUUGCUAGGGCUUUUCCAAUGUCAAGUAUCUUUUCCUUAGACCAUGAGAUCGUGCAACUCCCGGAUACCGUAGGAGUGCUUUGGGUGUGCCAAACGUCACAACGUAACUGGGUGACUAUAAAGGUGCAUUACGGGUAUCUCCGAAAGUGUCUGUUGGGUUGGCACGGAUCGAGACUGGGAUUUGUCACUCCGUGUGACGGAGAGGUAUCUCUGGGCCCACUCGGUAAUGCAUCAUCAUAAUGAGCUCAAUGUGACUAAGGCGUUAGUCACGGGAUCAUGCAUUGCGCUACGAGUAAAGAGACUUGCCGGUAACGAUAUUGAACAAGGUAUUGGGAUACCGACGAUCGAAUCUCGGGCAAGUAACAUACCGAUUGACAAAGGGAAUUGCAUACGGAUUGAUUGAAUCCUCGACACCGUGGUUCAUCCGAUGAUAUCAUCGUGGAACAUGUGGGAGCCAACAUGGGUAUCCAGAUCCCGCUGUUGGUUAUUGACCGGAGAGGCGUCUCGGUCAUGUCUGCAUGUCUCCCGAACCCGUAGGGUCUACACACUUAAGGUCCGGUGACGCUAGGGUUGUAGAGAUAUAUGUAUGCGGAAACCCGAAAGUUGUUCGGAGUCCCAGAUGAGAUCCCGGACGUCACGAGAGGUUCCGGAAUGGUCCGGAGGUAAAGAUUUAUAUAUGGGAAGUCUUAUUUUGGUCGCCGGAAAAGUUUCGCACUUUAUCGGUAUUGUACCGGGAGUGCCGAAAGGGGUCCGGGGGUCCACCAAGGGGGUCCACCAGCCCCGGGGGGCCACAUGGGCUGUAAGGGGUGCGCCUUGGCCUAUAUGGGCCAAGGGCACCAGCCCCAAGAGGCCCAUGCGCAAGAGAUAAGAAAAAAGGGAGAGUCCUAAAGGGGGAAGGCACCUCCGAGGUGCCUUGGGGGGAAGGACUCCCCCUGGCCGCACCCUUCCUUGGAGGAAGGGGCAAGGCUGCGCCCCCCCUCUCCCUUGGCCCUAUAUAUAGUGGGGGGAAGGGAGGGCAGCAACAUCUAAGCCUUGGGCGCCUCCCUCCUACCCUGCAACACCUCUCUCUCUCUCUCUCGCAGAAGCUUGCGAAGCCCUGCCGGAGAGCCGCUACAUCCACCACCACGCCGUCGUGCUGUUGGAUCUCCAUCAACCUCUCCUUCCCCCUUGCUGGAUCAAGAAGGAGGAGACGUCGCUGCACCGUACGUGUGUUGAACGCGGAGGUGCCGUCCGUUCGGCACUUGGUCAUCGGUGAUUUGGAUCACGGCGAGUAUGACUCCGUCAUCCACGUUCAUUGGAACGCUUCCGCUCGCAAUCUACAAGGGUAUGUAGAUCCACUCCUUUACCCUCGUUGCUAGUAUACUCCAUAGAUGCAUCUUGGUGAGCGUAGGAAAUUUUUUAAAAUUAUGCUACGAUUCCCAACAGUGGCAUCAUGAGCCAGGUCUAUGCGUAGUUACUAUGCACAAGUAGAACACAAAGUAGCUGUGGGCGUUGAGUUUGCCAAUUCUUCUUGCCGCUACUAGUCUUUUCUUGUUUCGGCGGCAUUGUAGGAUGAAGCGGCCCGGACCGACCUUACACGUACUCUUACAUGAGACAGGUUCCACCGACUGAUAUGCACUAGAUGCAUAAGGUGGCUAGCGGGUGUCUGUCUCUCCUACUUUAGUCGGAACAGAUUCGAUGAAAAGGGUCCUUAUGAAGGGUAAAUAGAAAUUGGCAAAUCACGUUGUGGUCAUACGUAGGUAAGAAACGUUCUUGCUACAAACCUACAAACCACGUAAAAACUUGCAACAACAAUUAGAGGACGUCUAACUUGUUUUUGCAGCAAGUGCCAUGUGAUGUGAUAUGGCCAGAAGAUGUGAUGAAUGAUAUAUGUGAUGUAUGAGAUUGAUCAUAUUCUUGUAAUAGGAAUCACGACUUGCAUGUCGAUGAGAAUGACAACCGGCAGGAGCCAUAGGAGUUGUCUUUAUUAUUUUGUAUGACCUGCGUGUCAUUGAAUAACGCCAUGUAAAUUACUUUACUUUGUUGCUAAACGAGUUAGCCAUAGAAGUGGAAGUAAUCGUUGGCGUGACGACUUCAUGAAGACACAAUGAUGGAGAUCAUGAUGAUGGAGAUCAUGGUGUCAUGCCGGUGACAAAGAUGAUCAUGGUGCCCCGAAGAUGGAGAUCAAAGGAGCAUAAUGAUAUUGGCCAUAUCAUGUCACUAUUUGAUUGCAUGUGAUGUUUAUCAUGUUUUUGCAUCUUAUUUGCUUAGAAUGACGGUAGCAAGUAGGAUGAUCCCUUAUAAUAAUUUCAAGAAAGUGUUCACCCUAACUGUGCACCGUUGCGAAGGUUCGUCGUUUCGAAGCACCACGUGAUGAUCGGGUGUGAUAGAUUCUUACGUUCGAAUACAACGGGUGUUGACGAGCCUAGCAUGUACAGACAUGGCCUCGGAACACACGCAAUACACUUAGGUUGAAUUGACGAGCCUAGCAUGUACAGACAUGGCCUCGGAACACGGAUGACCGAAAGGUCGAACAUGAGUCGUAUAGAAGAUACGAUCAACAUGGAGAUGUUCACCGAUCUUGACUAGUCCGUCUCACGUGAUGAUCGGACAUGGCCUAGUUAAACUCGGAUCAUGUUUCACUUAGAUGACUAGAGGGAUGUCUAUCUGAGUGGGAGUUCAUAAUCAGAUGAACUUCAUUAUCAUGAACAUAGUCAAAAAGGUAUUUGCAAAUUAUGUCAUAGCUUGCGCUUUAGUUCUACUGAUUAAGAUAUGUUCCUAGAGAAAAUUUAGUUGAAAGUUGGUAGUAGCAAUUAUGCGGACUGGGUCCGUAAACUGAGGAUUGUCCUCAUUGCUGCACAGAAGGCUUAUGUCCUUAAUGCACCGCUCGGUGUGCUGAACCUCAGCGUCGUCUGUAGAUGUUACGAAACAUCUGACAUACACGUUUUGAUGACUACGUGAUAGUUCAGUGCGGUUUAGAAUUGUGGCACCAAAGACGUUCUUGAAACGUCGCAGAACAUGUGAGAUGUUCCGAAGACUGAAAUUGGGAUUUCAGACUAGUGCCCACGUCAAGAGGUAUGAGACCUCUGACAAGUUUCUUAAGCCUGCAAACUAAGGGAGAAAAGCUCAAUCGUUGAGCGUGUGCUCAGAUUGUCUGAGUGCCACAAUCGCUUGAAUCGAGUGGGAGUUAAUCUCCCAGAUGAGAUAGUGAUAGUUCUCCAUAGUCACUGCCACCAAGCUAGUAGAGCUUCGUGAAUAACUAUAACAUAUCAAGGAUGGUUAUGAUGAUCCUUGAGCUAUUCGCGAUGUUUGACACCGCGAGAGUAGAAAUCAAGAAGGAGCAUCAAUUGUUGAUGGUUAGUAAAACCACUAGUUUAAGAAGGGCAAGGGCAAAAGGGAUUCAUGAAACAGCAAGUCGUUUGCUGCUCUAGUGAAGAAUCCCAAGGUUGAACCCAAACCCGAGACUAAGUGCUUCUGUAAUGAGAGGAACGGUCACUAAAGCAGUACUACCCUAGAUACUUGGUAGAUGAGAAGGCAGGCAAGGUCGACAGAAGUAUAUUGGAUAUACGUUAUAUGAAUGUGUACUUUACUAGUACUCCUAGCAGCACCAGGGUAUUAGAUACUGGUUCGGUUGCUAAGUGUUAGUAACUCGAAAUAAAAGCUGCGGAAUAAAUGGAGACUAGCUAAAGGUGAGAUGACGAUAUGUGUUGGAAGUGUUUCCAAGGUUGAUGUGAUCAAGCAUCGCAUGCUCCCUCUACUAUCGAGAUUUGGUGUUUGCGUUGAACAUGAUUAGAUUAUGUUUACCGCAAAACGGUUAUUCAUUUAAGGAGAAUAAUGGUUACUCUGUUUAUUUGAAUAAUACCUUCAAUGGUCUUGCACCUAAAAUGAAUCUCGAUCGUAGUGAUACACAUGUUCAUGCCAAAAGAUAUAAAAUAGUAAUGAUAGUACCACAUACUUGUGGCACUGCAACUUGAGUCAUAUUGGUGUAGAACGCAUGAAGAAGCUCCAUGUAGAUGGAUCUUUGGACUCACUCGUUUUUGAAAAGAUUGAGACAUGCGAACCAUGUCUAUUGGUAUAUGUGCAUGAAGAAACUCCAUGCAGAUGGAUCGUUUGGACUCACUUGAUUUUGAAUCACUUGAGACAUGCAAAUCAUAUCACAUGGGCAAGAUGACUGAAAGGCCUCGUUUUCAGUAAGAUGGAACAAGAGAGCAACUUAUUGGAAGUAAUACAUUUUGAUGUAUGCAGUCCAAUGAGUGCUGAGGCAUGCAGUGGACAUCGUUAUGUUCUUACUUCACAGAUGAUUUGAGUAGAUGUUGAGUGUAUUUACUUGAUGAAACACUAGUCUGAAUUAUUGAAAGGUUCAAGUAAUUUCAGAGUGAAGUUGAAGAUCGUCGUGACAAGAGGAUAAAAUGUCUGUGAUAUGAUCAUAGAGAUGAGUAUCUGAGAUACGAGUUUGGCACACAAUUGAGACAUUGUGGAAAGUGUUUCACAAUUAAUACCGCCUGGAACACCAUAGUGUGAUGGUGUGUCCGAACAUCAUAACUGCACCCUAUUGGAUAUGGUGCAUACCAUGAUGUGUCUUAUCGAAUUACCAAUAUCGUUUAUGGGUUAGGCAUUAGAGACAACCGCAUUCACUUUAAAAGGGGCACCACGCAAUUCCGUUGAGACGACACCGUUUAUAGAAACCUAAGUUGUCGUUUCUUAAAAGUUUGGGGCUGCGAUGCUUAUGUGAAAAAGUUUCAGGUUGAUAAGCUCGAACCCAAAGCGGAUAAAUGCACCUUCAUAGAAUACCCAAAAACAGUUGGGUAUACCUCCUAUUUCAGAUCUGGAAGCAAAAGUAAUUGCUUCUAGAAACGAGUCCUUUCUCGAGGAAAAGUUUCUCUCGAAAGAAUUGAGUGGGAGGAUGGUGGAGACUUGAUAAGGUUAUUGAACCGUCGCUUCAACUAGUGUGUAGCAGGGCACAGGAAGUUGUUCCUGUGGCACCUACACCAAUUGAAGUGGAAGCUUAUGAUAGUGAUCAUGAAACUUCGGAUCAAGUCACUACCAAACCUCGUAGGACGACGAGGAUGCGCACUACUUCAGAGUAAUGCGUGAUCCUGUCUUGGAAGUCAUGUUGCUAGACAACAAUGAACCUACGAGCUAUGGAGAAGCGAUGGUGGGCCCAUAUUCCGGCGAAUGGCUCGAGGCCAUGAAAUCCGAGAUAGAAUCCAUGUAUCAGAACAAAGCAUGGACUUUGGUGAGCUUGCCCGAUGAUCGGCAAGCCAUUGAGAUAAAUGGAUCUUUAAGAAGAAGACGGACAUGGACGGUAAUGUUACCGUCUAUGAAGCUCGACUUGUGGCAAAGAAUAUUUUCACAAGUUCAAGGAGUUGACUACGAUGAGUUUUUCUCAUCAGUAGCGAUGCUUAGGUCCGUCGGAAACAUGUUAGCAUUAGCUACAUUUAUGAAAUCUGGCAGAUGGAUGUCAAAACAAGUUUCCUUACCAGUUUUCGGAAGGAAAGGUUGUAUGUGAUACAAUCAGAAAGGUUUUGUCGAUCCUAAGGAUGCUAAAAGGUAUGCUAGCUCCAGCGAUCCUUCCAGGGAUUAGAGCGAGCAUCUCGGAGUCAGAAUAUACGCUUUGAUGGAGUGAUCAAAGUUUUUGGGUUUAUACAAAGUUUGUCAGAAACUUGUAUUUACAACAAAGUGAGUGGGAGCGCUACAACAUUUCUGAUAAGUAUAUGUGAAUGACAUAUUGUUGAUCCGAAAUGAUGUAAAAUUUCUGGAAAGCAUAAAGGGUUGUUUGAAAGGAGUUUUUUUCCAAAGGAAGACCUGGAUAAAGCUACUUACAUAUUGGGCAUCAAGAUCCAUAGAGAUAGAUCAAGACGCCUGAUGAUACUUUCAAAAGACAGCACACCUUGACAUGUUUUUGAAAGAGUUCAAAAUAGAUCAGCAAAGAAGGAGUUCUUGGCUGUGUUACAAGGUGUGAGUAUUGAGUGAGACUCAAGACCUGACCACAGCAGAAGAUAGAGAAAGGACGAAGGUCGUCCCCUAUGCUUUAGACAUAGGCUCUAUAGUAUGCUAUGCUGUGUACCGCACAUGUAGUGUGCCUUGCCAUGGGUUGGUCAAGAGGGUGCGAUGGUGAUCCGGGAAAGGAUCUCAUGACAGCGGUCGAACUUAUCCUUAGCACCUAGUGGAUUAAGGAAUUUUCUCGAUUAUGGAGGUGGAAAGGAGUUCGUCGUAAAGGGUUACGUCGAUGCGAACUUUGACACUAAUCCGGAUGACUCUGAGUAGUAAACCGGAUUCGUAUAGUAGAGCAAUUAUUUGAAAUGGCUCCAAAUAGCGCGUGGUAGCAUCCACAAGAUGACAUAGAUAUUCGUAACGCACAUGGUUCUGAAAGGUUCAGACCCGUUGACUAAUAACCUCUCUCACAAGCAUAACAUGACCAAACCAGAACACAUUGAGUGAUAAUCACAUAGUGAUGUGAACUAGAUCGUUGACUCUAGUAAACUCUUUAGAUGUUGGUCACAUGGUGAUGUGACCAGUGAGUGUUAAUCACAUGGUGAUGUGAACUAGAUUAUUGACUCUAGUGCAAGUGGGAGACUGUUGGAAAUAUGCCCUAGAGGCAAUAAUAAAUGGUUAUUAUUAUAUUUCUUUGUUCAUGGUAAUUGUCUAUUAUUCAUGCUAUAAUUGUAUUGUCCGGAAAUCGUAAUACAUGUGUGAAUACAUAGACCACAACCUGUCCCUAGUAAGCCUCUAGUUGACUAGCUCGUUGAUCAACAGAUAGUCAUGGUUUCCUGACUAUGGACAUUGGAUGUCAUUGAUAACGGGAUCACAUCAUUAGGAGAAUGAUGUGAUGGACAAGACCCAACUUAAGCAUAGCAUAAAAGAUCGUAUAGUUUCGUUUGCUAGGGCUUUCCCAAUGUCAAGUAUCUUUUCCUUAGACCAUGAGAUCGUGCAACUCCCGGAUACCGUAGGAGUGCUUUGGGUGUGCCAAACGUCACAACGUAACUGGGUGACUAUAAAGGUGCAUUACGGGUAUCUCCGAAAGUGUCUGUUGGGUUGGCACGGAUCGAGACUGGGAUUUGUCACUCCGUGUGACGGAGAGGUAUCUCUGGGCCCACUCGGUAAUGCAUCAUCAUAAUGAGCUCAAUGUGACUAAGGCGUUAGUCACGGGAUCAUGCAUUGCGCUACGAGUAAAGAGACUUGCCGGUAACGAGAUUGAACAAGGUAUUGGGAUACCGACGAUCGAAUCUCGGGCAAGUAACAUACCGAUUGACAAAGGGAAUUGCAUACGGAUUGAUUGAAUCCUCGACACCGUGGUUCAUCCGAUGAUAUCAUCGUGGAACAUGUGGGAGCCAACAUGGGUAUCCAGAUCCCGCUGUUGGUUAUUGACCGGAGAGGCGUCUCGGUCAUGUCUGCAUGUCUCCCGAACCCGUAGGGUCUACACACUUAAGGUCCGGUGACGCUAGGGUUGUAGAGAUAUAUGUAUGCGGAAACCCGAAAGUUGUUCGGAGUCCCGGAUGAGAUCCCGGACGUCACGAGAGGUUCCGGAAUGGUCCGGAGGUAAAGAUUUAUAUAUGGGAUGUCUUACUUUGGUCGCCGGAAAAGUUUCGCACUUUAUCGGUAUUGUACCGGGAGUGCCGAAAGGGGUCCGGGGGUCCACCAAGGGGGUCCACCAGCCCCGGGGGGCCACAUGGGCUGUAAGGGGUGCGCCUUGGCCUAUAUGGGCCAAGGGCACCAGCCCCAAGAGGCCCAUGCGCAAGAGAUAAGAAAAAAGGGAGAGUCCUAAAUGGGGAAGGCACCUCCGAGGUGCCUUGGGGGGGAAGGACUCCCCCUGGCCGCACCCUUCCUUGGAGGAAGGGGCAAGGCUGCGCCCCCCCCUCUCCCUUGGCCCUAUAUAUAGUGGUGGGAAGGGAGGGCAGCAACAUCUAAGCCUUGGGCGCCUCCCUCCUACCCUGCAACACCUCUCUCUCUCUCGCAGAAGCUUGCGAAGCCCUGCCGGAGAGCCGCUACAUCCACCACCACGCCGUCGUGCUGUUGGAUCUCCAUCAACCUCUCCUUCCCCCUUGCUGAAUCAAGAAGGAGGAGACGUCGCUGCACCGUACGUGUGUUGAACGCGGAGGUGCCGUCCGUUCGGCACUCGGUCAUCGGUGAUUUGGAUCACGGCGAGUACAACUCCGUCAUCCACGUUCAUUGGAACGCUUCCGCUCGCAAUCUACAAGGGUAUGUAGAUCCACUCCUUUCCCCUCGUUGCUAGUAUACUCCAUAGAUGCAUCUUGGUGAGCGUAGGAAAUUUUUUAAAAUUAUGCUACGAUUCCCAACACUGUUGGGGAACGUAGCAGAAAUUCAAAAUUUUCUACUCAUCACCAAGAACAAUCUAUGGAGUCAUCUAGCAACGAGAGAGAGGAGUGCAUCUACAUACCCUUGUAGAUCGCGAGCGGAAGCGUUCAAGAGAACGGGGUUGAUGGAGUCAUACUCGUCGUGAUCCAAAUCACCGAUGAUCCUAGCGCCGAACGGACGGCACCUCCGCGUUCAACACACGUACGAAGCAGCGACGUCUCCUCCUUCUUGAUCCAGCAAGGGGGGAGGAGAGGUUGAUGGAGAUCCAGCAGCACGACGGCGUGGUGGUGGAAGUAGCGGGAUUCCAACAGGGCUUCGCCAAGCGCUGCGGGAGGAGGGAGAUGUGUCACGGGAGGGAGAGGGAGGCGCCAGGGCUUAGGUUUUGCUGCCCUCCCUCCCCCCACUAUAUAUAGGGCCAAGGGAGAGGGGGGGCGCAGCCUUGGCCCUUCCUCCAAGGAAGGGUGCGGCCAGGGAGGAGUCCAUCCUCCCCAAGGCACCUCGGAGGUGCCUUCCCACUUUAGGACUCUCCCUUUAUCUUAUCUCUUGGCGCAUGGGCCUCUUGGGGCUGGUUCCCUUGGCCCAUAUAGGCCAAGGCGCACCCCCCACAGCCCAUGUGGCCCCCCCGGGGCUGGUGGACCCCUUGGUGGACCCCCAGACCCCUUUCGGCACUCCCGGUACAAUACCGAUAAAGUGCGACACUUUUUCGGCGACCAAAAUAAGACUUCCCAUAUAUAAAUCUUUACCUCCGGAACUCCUCGUGACGUCCGGGAUCUCAUCCGGGACUCCGAACAACUUUCGGGUUACCGCAUACUAAUAUCUCUACAACCCUAGCGUCAUCGAACCUUAAGUGUGUAGACCCUACGGGUUCGGGAGACACGCAGACAUGACCGAGACGACUCUCCGGUCAAUAACCAACAGCGGGAUCUGGAUACCCAUGUUGGCUCCCACAUGCUCCUCGAUGAUCUCAUCGGAUGAACCACGAUGUCGAGGAUUCAAUCAAUCCUGUAUACAAUUCCCUUUGUCUAUCGGUAUGUUACUUGCCCGAGAUUCGAUCGUCGGUAUCCCGAUACCUUGUUCAAUCUCGUUACCGGCAAGUCUCUUUACUCGUUCUGUAACACAUCAUCCCGUGAUCAACUCCUUGGUCACAUUGUGCACAUUAUGAUGAUGUCCUACCGAGUGGGCCCAGAGAUACCUCUCCGUUUACACGGAGUGACAAAUCCCAGUCUCGAUUCGUGCCAACCCAACAGACACUUUCGGAGAUACCUGUAGUGCACCUUUAUAGCCACCCAGUUACGUUGUGACGUUUGGUACACCCAAAGCAUUCCUACGGUAUCUGGGAGUUGCACAAUCUCAUGGUCUAAGGAAAUGAUACUUGACAUUAGAAAAGCUCUUAGCAAACGAACUACACGAUCUUGUGCUAGGCUUAGGAUUGGGUCUUGUCCAUCACAUCAUUCUCCUAAUGAUGUGAUCCCGUUAUCAACGACAUCCAAUGUCCAUGGUCAGGAAACCGUAACCAUCUAUUGAUCAACGAGCUAGUCAACUAGAGGCUUACUAGGGACAUGGUGUCGUCUAUGUAUCCACACAUGUAUCUGAGUUUCCUAUCAAUACAAUUCUAGCAUGGAUAAUAAACGAUUAUCAUGAACAAGGAAAUAUAAUAAUAACCAAUUUAUUAUUGCCUCUAGGGCAUAUUUCCAACAGUCUCCCACUUGCACUAGAGUCAAUAAUCCAGUUCACAUCACCAUGUGAUUAACACUCACAGGUCACAUCACCAUGUGACCAACAUCCAAAGAGUUUACUAGAGUCAACAAUCUAGUUUACAUCACUAUGUGAUUAACACUCAAUGAGUUCUGGUUUGAUCAUGUUAUGCUUGUGAGAGAGGUUAUUAGUCAACAGGUCUGAACCUUUCAGAUCCGUGUGUGCUUUACGAAUAUCUAUGUCAUCUUGUGGAUGCUACCACGCGCUACUUGGAGCCAUUUCAAAUAACUGCUCUACUAUACGAAUCCGGUCUACUACUCAGAGUCAUCCGGAUUAGUGUCAAAGUUUGCAUCGAUGUAACCCUUUACGACGAACUCCUUUUCACCUCCAUAAUCGAGAAAAUUCCUUAGUCCACUAGAUACUAAGGAUAAGUUCGACCGCUGUCAUGUGAUCCUUUCCCGGAUCACUAUUGUACCCUCUUGACCAACUCAUGGCAAGGCACACUUCAUGUGCGGUACACAGCAUAGCAUACUGUAGAGCCUACGUCUGAAGCAUAGGGGACGACCUUCGUCCUUUCUCUCUCUUCUGCUGUGGUGAGGUCUUGAGUCUUACUCAAUACUCACACCUUGUAACACAGCCAAGCACUCCUUCUUUGCUGAUCUAUUUUGAACUCUUUCAAAAUCAUGUCAAGGUGUGCGUUCUUUGAAAGUAUCAUCAGGCGUCUUGAUCUAUCUCUAUAGAUCUUGAUGCCCAAUAUGUAAGCAGCUUUAUCCAGGUCUUCCUUUGAAAAACUCCUUUCAAACAACCCUUUAUGCUUUCCAGAAAUUUUACAUCAUUUCGGAUCAACAAUAUGUCAUUCACAUAUACUUAUCAGAAAUGUUGUAGCGCUCCCACUCACUUUAUUGUAAAUACAAGUUUCUAACAAACUUUGUAUAAACCCAAAAACUUUGAUCACUCCAUCAAAGCGUAUAUUCUGACUCCGAGAUGCUUGCUCUAGUCCAUGGAAGGAUCGCUAGAGCUAGCAUACCUUUUAGCAUCCUUAGGAUCGACAAAACCUUUCUGAUUGUAUCACAUACAACCUUUCCUUACGAAAACUGGUAAGGAAACUUGUUUUGACAUCCAUCUGCCAGAUUUCAUAAAUGCAGCUAAUGCUAACAUGAUUCGGACGGACUUAAGCAUCGCUACGGAUGAGAAAAUCUCAUCGUAGUCAACUCCUUGAACUUGUGGAAAUACUCCUUGCCACAAGUCGAGCUUCAUAGACGGUAACAUUACCGUCCACGUCCGUCUUCUUCUCAAAGAUCCAUUUAUCUCGGAUUUCAUGGCUUCUAACCAUUUGUCGGAAUAUGGGCCCACCAUCGCUUCUCCAUAGCCCGUAGGUUCAGUAUUGUCCAACAACAUGAUAUCUCAGACAGGAUCACGUACCACUCUGAAGUAGCACGCAUCCUCGUCGUCCUACGAGGUUUGGUGGUGACUUGAUCCGAAGUUUCAUGAUCACUAUCAUAAGCUUCCACUUCAAUUGGUAUAGGUGCCACAGGAACAACUUCCUAUGCCCUGCUACACACUAGUUGAAGUGACGGUUCAAUAACCUUAUCAAGUCUCCACCAUCCUCCCACUCAAUUCUUUCGAGAGAAACUUUUCCUCGAGAAAGGACUCAUUUCUAGAGGCAAUUACUUUUGCUUCCAGAUCUGAAAUAGGAGGUAUACCCAACUGUUUUGGGUUUUCUAUGAAGAUGCAUUUAUCCGCUUUGGGUUCGAGCUUAUCAGCCUGAAACUUUUCCACAUAAGCUUCGUAGCCCCAAACUUUUAAGAAACGACAACUUAGGUUUCUCUAAACGGUGUCGUCUCAACGGAAUUGCGUGGUGCCCUACUUAAAAUGAAUGCGGUUGUCUCUAAUGCCUAACCCAUAAACGAUAGUGGUAAUUCGAUAAGAGACAUCAUGGCAUGCACCAUAUCCAAUAGGGUGCAGUUAUGAUGUUCGGACACACCAUCACACUAUGGUGUUCCAGGCGGUAUUAAUUGUGAAACACUUUCCACAAUGUCUUAAUUGUGUGCCAAACUCGUAACUCAGAUACUCAUCUCUAUGAUCAUAUCACAGACAUUUUAUCCUCUUGUCACGACGAUCUUCAACUUCACUCUGAAAUUACUUGAACCUUUCAAUAAUUCAGACUUGUGUUUCAUCAAGUAAAUACACUCAGCAUCUACUCAAAUCAUCUGUGAAGUAAGAACAUAACGAUAUCCACUGCAUGCCUCAGCACUCAUUGGACUGCAUACAUCAAAAUGUAUUACUUCCAACAAGUUGCUCUCUUGUUCCAUCUUACUGAAAACGAGGCCUUUCAGUCAUCUUGCCCAUGUGGUAUGAUUUGCAUGUCUCAAGUGAUUCAAAAUCAAGUGAGUCCAAACGAUCCAUCUGCAUGGAGUUUCUUCAUGCAUAUAUACCAAUAGACAUGGUUCACAUGUCUCAAUCUUUUCAAAAACGAGUGAGUCCAAAGAUCCAUCAACAUGGAGCUUCUUCAUGCGUUUUAUACCAAUAUGACUCAAGUGGCAGUGCCACAAGUAUGUGGUGCUAUCAUUACUAUCUUAUAUCUUUUGGCACGAACAUGUGUAUCACUGCGAUCGAGAUUCAUUUUAGGUGCAAGACCAUUGAAGGUAUUAUUCAAAUAAACAGAGUAACCAUUAUUCUCCUUAAAUGAAUAACCGUAUUGCGAUAAACAUAAUCCAAUCAUGUUCAACGCAAACACCAAAUCUCGAUAGUAGAGGGAGCAUGCGAUGCUUGAUCACAUCAACCUUGGAAACACUUCCAACACAUAUCGUCAUCUCACCUUUCGCUAGUCUCCGUUUAUUCCGCAGCUUUUAUUUCGAGUUACUAACACUUAGCAACCGAACCGGUAUCUAAUACCCUGGUGCUGCUAGGAGUACUAGUAAAGUACACAUUCAUAUAAUGUAUAUCCAAUAUACUUCUGUCGACCUUGCCUGCCUUCUCAUCUACCAAGUAUCUAGGGUAGUACUGCUUCAGUGACCGUUCCCCUUAUUACAGAAGCACUUAGUCUCGGGUUUGGGUUCAACCUUGGGAUUCUUCACUAGAGCAGCAAACGAUUUGUUGUUUCAUGAAGUAUCCCUUUUGCCCUUGCCCUUCUAGAAACUAGUGGUUUUACUAACCAUCAACAAUUGAUGCUCCUUCUUGAUUUCUACUUUCGCGGUGUCAAACAUCGCGAGUUGCUCAAGGAUCAUCAUCUAUCCUUGAUAUUUAUAGUUCAUCACGAAGCUCUAAUAGCUUGGUGGCAGUGAUUAUGGAGAACCAUCACUAUCUCAUCUGGAAGAUUAACUCCCACUCGAUUCAAGCGAUUGUAGUACUCAGACAAUCUGAGCACAUGCUCAACGAUUGAGCUUUUCUCCCUUAGUUUGCAGGCUUAAGAAACUUGUCAGAGUUCUCAUACCUCUUGAUGUGCGCACUAGUCUGAAAUCCCAAUUUCAGUCUUCGGAACAUCUCAUAUGUUCUGCGACGUUUCAAAACCGUCUUUGGUGCCACAAUUCUAAACCGUUAGCAAUACGCACUGAACUAUCACGUAGUCAUCAAAAACGUGUAUGUCAGAUGUUUCAUAACAUCUACAGACGACGCUGAGGUUCAGCACACCGAGCGGUGCAUUAAGGACAUAAGCCUUCUGUGCAGCAAUGAGGACAAUCCUCAGUUUACGGACCCAGUCCGCAUAAUUGCUACUACCAACUUUCAACUAAAUUUUCUCUAGGAACAUAUCUUAAACAGUAGAACUAAAGCGUAUGACAUAAUUUGUAAAGACCUUUGACUAUGUUCAUGAUAAUGAAGUUCAUCUGAUUAUUUAAUGAACUCCCACUCAGAUAGACAUCCCUCUAGUCAUCUAAGUAAUACAUGAUCCGAGUCAAACUAGGCCGUGUCCGAUCAUCACGUGAGACGGACUAGUCAUCAUCGGUGAACAUCUCCAUGUUGAUCGUAUCUACUAUACGACUCAUGUUCGACCUUUCAGUCUCUUGUGUUCCGAGGCCAUGUCUGUACAUGCUAGGCUCGUCAAGUCAACCUAAGUGUUUCGCAUGUGUUCCGAGGCCAUGUCUGUACAUGCUAGGCUCGUCAACACCCGUUGUAUUCGAACGUUAGAAUCUAUCACACCCGAUCAUCACGUGGUGCUUCGAAACAACGAACCUUCGCAACGGUGCACAGUUAGGGGGAACACGUCUCUUGAAAUUUUAGUGAGGAAUCAUCUUAUUUAUGCUACCAUCGUUCUAAGCAAAUAAGAUGCAUAACAUGAUAAACAUCACAUGCAAUCAAAUAGUGACAUGAUAUGGCCAAUAUCAUUUUUGCUCCUUUGAUCUCCAUCUUCGGGGCACCAUGAUCAUCUUUUUCACCGGCAUGACACCAUGAUCUCCAUCAUCAUGAUCUCCAUCAUUGUGUCUUCAUGAAGUUGUCACGCCAACGAUUACUUCCAUUUCUAUGGCUAACUCGUUUAGCAACAAAGUAAAGUAAUUUACAUGGCGUUAUUCAAUGACACGCAGCUCAUACAAAAUAAUAAAGACAACUCCUAUGGCUCCUGCCGGUUGUCAUUCUCAUCGACAUGCAAGUCGUGAUUCCUAUUACAAGAAUAUGAUCAAUCUCAUACAUCACAUAUAUCAUUCAUCACAUCUUCUGGCCAUAUCACAUCACAUAGCACAUGCUGCAAAAACAAGUUAGAUGUCCUCUAAUUGUUGUUGCAAGUUUUUUUUCGUGGCUUGUAUAGGUUUCUAGCAAGAACGUUUCUUACCUACGUAAAACCACAACGUGAUAUGCCAAUUUAUAUUUACCCUUCAUAAGGACCCUUUUCAUCGAAUCCGUUCCGACUAAAGUGGGAGAAACAGACACCCGCUAGCCACCUUAUGCAACUAGUGCAUGUCAGUCGGUGGAACCUGUCUCACGUAAGCGUACGUGUAAGGUCGGUCCGGGCCGCUUCAUCCCACAAUGCCGCCGAAAUAAGAUAAGACUAGUAGCGGCAAGAAGAAUUGGCAACAUCGACGCCCACAACUACUUUGUGUUCUACUCGUGCAUAGAAACUACGCAUAGACCUAGCUCAUGAUGCCACUGUUGGGGAACGUAGCAAAAAUUCAAGCCGUCCACUAAAAGUCCAUAUAAAAUUACAUUCAUGCGCAAAAUACACAGAAGAAUGCAUCCUUCCUUUUGCGUGUAACUACACUGACAUACGGCAAGUCAAUGGAGCCUAUUUAAAAUUUGCCGUUAUCCUCUCCAUUAUCUCUGCCGGUUUCAUGCCCUUGAACCCGGUCCUAUUGCACGUGAAACUGACACUAUGCCCGUACCCUUGAAUAUAUUAGCCCUUGCCACUACACAUUUAGGAUCUUUGUUUCACUCCAGCGUCCCAUACUUGACUAAGAAGAAAAUAAAUGAUCCGACGGCAUGUUACAGACCUGUCAAUCUUUAGCUAGCUAGGUUUUCCAUUUAUACUGGGAUUUUGCAGCUAGAUCACACCAUUUUGGUCACGUGCUCAUGCACAUAUCGUUUGGACAUGUACAUCCCAUUUUGUGCUAUUUUUUGGUUUCACCUAACAGGCACCAAGCGCCAUCCCUCUUAUGUGAAGUAAACAUGUAAAAGAGGUGUGGGCGGCGCUUUCUACGCCAAGGUCGUACACGCUCUAUGAUACUCCCUCAAUUCCAAAAUAUAAUGCGUCCGUGCUUUUCAAGGUCCAACUUUGAUCAUAAAUUUAACCAACGAGACCGACUGCGGCGGGAGAAAAAAUUAUAUAAUUGAAAACUUCUUUUGAAUACGAAUUCACUCGUAUAAGUUUUGCUCCCGCCGUAAUCGGUCUCGUUAGUUAAAUUUAUUGUCAAAGUUGAAGCACGGGAAUAGAGGAAGCACUAUAUUUUGGAACGGAGGGAGUAUAUGAUAUGGCACAUACCAAGCAAAAACAUGUUAUAACAUAGGGCACAAAAAUUAUUGAUCUUCUAUGAAUACUAGUAAGAUACACGCGCAUUGCACACAUGAGAUUUGGCAACCAAACUAUGAAUAAGUACCACACUAUAGCAUAUAAGCUUUGAGUCAUAUAUGCAUUGUAAAUGUUCGUUUAAUUCUUAUAGUUCAUCUCAUUCAAAAUCAAUCACUUUUUAUAAAAACAAAUAUCUAUUUUAAGAUUCAUGGAAUUGUGUGUUGUAAAGCAUAAAGUAAAAACAAAUAAUGGCAAUUCAUCUAGAAAAGAAAUUAGGCAAUUAUGAUAUGGAAGAUUCUAGAACAAAGGAGAAGUGCUUCUAUUUUGAGGUUUGUGCAUUAUGCUUAAGUUCAACCAUGGAGUGUUCUGGAUUGUACAUGUGGCAGAAUCUAGUGGAAUGUUGAUGAUAUCCUCGGAUUUGCCAUCUCUGCACCGUCGGAUUGGCUUCAUCCAACGACCAUCUUUUAAAGUUAUUCGCACACUAUAUAGGGGUAUAGAAACAAAAUAAGAGACAUUGGUUAUUGUUUAUGAAAUAUGAUUGAAACAUUGAAAUUGAAAUUGAAAUUGUUUCUGAAGCAAUUUCCAAAAUCGUAUAAUACUAGAAGGGUUGGGCGCGCUUUAUUGCGCCGUUGAUAUUAUUGUAUUUCAUAAUUUAUUUACUCCAUCUAUUUCAAAUUAUAAGUUGUACUAGUUUUUUGAAAAGUCAAACCUCUUUAAGUUUGACCACAUUUAUGUAGAAAUAUAUUAAUAUCCAUAAUAUCAAAUCUGGUGUUUGGAUUCAUUAUGAAAUGAAUUUUCAUAUUUUUUAUCUAAUAUUGUGGAUGUCGAUAUUUUUGGCUCUGAACUUGGUGAAAGUUAAAGAAAUUUGACUUUUCAAUAAACUAAUACACCUUAUAUUUUGGAACAAGGCGAGUAUUUGGUUUGGUUAGUGGGGAAGAUAAUGGAGUGUCAUCUCUUUAUUAUUCAUAUAACGCGGUGUUUUAUAGUAGGCUUUUCGCGGUGUAAUUUUGUGUUGUUUGCUAAUCAACUCAUAUUUAUGAAGGAAAAUUUUAUGCGGUGGUGACUGCAUGUACUAUAAUGGUUUUAAAAUAUUACAUGUUGAGUCUUCUUUUGCUAGGUGAUGAGAGGGUGCGCGGGGUUGAUAUGUUUUUAUAGGACGGCUGCUUCGGAUUGAUUUGAAAAAUUAUUGACCCAGUCAAAAUCAUGAGCCAAAUCUAAUAGAAUUUCUCAAUGCAACGAGAGAGCUCCAAAAUUAGAGAGCAUAGUAAAUUAAAAGAAUUGAGUGAGAGAUUGUUGAUCCGGUCAAAAUUGAUGACCAAAUUCUAAAUUGGUGGCCUCAAUUGAAUGAGAGGUCUCCAUUCCUAUGGAGCUUAGUGAUAUAGUAUAUUUUGGUAAUCUUUUUAUCAUUUAGCAAUCCUUGUUUUCAAUCAUUUCGGUUGUAUUAUUCCCUGAGGACGGCAAAGAGUUGGUGGACUUCAGCUUCAGCCCGCUGGCCUGCCAAUCGAUGUCGUGGUGAAGCUCAUUUUGACGGCACGAUGCAGGUCGGGGAACGUCGGCCUCCUAUACCAGAGCAUGGACAACAUCGGAUCCUCCUAUCUAUACCUCUAUACCUUAUUAUAUAUUAUAUUAUAUAUAUAUAUAAAGUAUUAAAAGACAUAGACUUUCAUAGUUCUCUAUAUGUCGUUUCUUUAUAUCCGUUGAUUUUAUGUUAUGCAUAAAGAUUGAUGGUUCAGAUCUAAAUAAAUUAAAUUUUGGAUAUCUUCUUUGCUCCACAGCCCACGUACCAAAAUAAUAUGGGCCUACAUGAUGUAUUGGGCCUCGCACUGGGAGACACACUUUAUGAGAAAAUAACGUACGAGAGCGCAGGCACGGGCAUAUCCCCUUCUCCUGAACGUACGAGAGCACAGGCACAGGUACGGCCAUCGCCAUGAAUCGCACCUCCACGCGGCCGCUGCCCAGCUCUUGGGCUUGGGUGGAUGGAGCACGACACGGCGCCGGUCCGCCCGCGCUCAUUCCCAUGACGACGCUGACACGCACGACUGGGCGCGCGACGAUGUGAAGCCCUCCCUACGGCGUACCGGCGCAGUACCCCUAGGCCGCAGAUCCUCCUCCUUGCCGGCGUCUCCGCGAACGCGUCUCGGCCGCCGCCUCUGUGCAGCUUCUUGUGCGCUUAACACUACCCUCCCCUAUGAGUGUGCGUGCCCUUCAACCCUGACGCAGACACAACUAUCAAUUAAUUACAGCCUGAUGCAUUUACUAGCUACUUGCCGUUGCGACUAUGCGGUGAACACCUUAGAGGAGAAGCGAGAAGCUUAAGAGGUGAGAAGUACCUACUUGCUGCAUGCUUCACCAUUGCAGGGCACAGAAAAGAGAUAAGGAGAGAUUAAAUCAAGGGGUGUCAGAAUAUACGGUGCUGCAUGUUGCCAUUGUGCUACCGCGUCGCAAUAACCAACCAGGGAAGAAAAUAGAGGAGAGAGGUAACAAAAAGUUGGAAAGAGGAAAAUUAGUAGUUGCUGUUGCAUUUUGGGCAAGCUUCGUCAUAUUCAUCAUCCACGCUUCAAAGGUAACCUUUUUAUGUAGUCCUAAUAGAUUGUUCGGGUGAUUGGAAAAUGCAGGGGUUUAAAUUUGAAUCAGGUCUUCUCAACUAUUUUGGAUUAAAAAAAAGAUAACGCUAAAAUCCCUGGUUUUUGCACUUCAUUUGUUUAUCUGAAGUUCCGAACUGGCUUGUGUACUUCGCUAUCAAAUUGGUGUUGAGCACGAGGCACUUUUCACUUUCUACAACUGAAUGUGUUCCAAUUGUUUGGAAGCUGGAAUGGUAUGUUGUCUAAUCUCAAUUUAUUUUCACAAUACUCAGUUUGAUGCUUUUUGGAAUAUUAGAAUAAAAAAUAAAUUCAAGGCCUGAAGUUUUAUUUCAAGUAAAUUCAAGGCCUCAAUUAGCUGUAAUAUUCAUUGAGUAAGAAGUGUUAUUAAUACUGUAGGAACUUGAGAAAAUGAAGGGAACUGUGAAUUAGAUGAAGAGUCCUCAUGUAUAUAUGGGGAAGAGUGGGAGGAUGCAAAAGUACAAUAGAGUAGACAAAGGCACACCUUGCACUUACCGUUUCCUGAGUUCCAAUGAACGAUUCACUAAAAUUAACGACUUUAUUCAUGGUGAGGUAAUAACAAGUGUUAGAAUGUAAGCCUUCUGCUUUAUGUGAACUGCUUUUGUGCUUAAUUUAAUAAAUCCUAAUUGCAAAUUAUGUGAGGCACACAGUGAUAUGCAUACACGGCCACAGAUAGUUCUAUGCGGUGUAAUAGAAAGUACCGUUUUUGUAAUUUGUGCAAUAAUUUUUAGAAACAAUUAUGUUUUAAUUUUAGUGAUUAUAUAACAUAUCCUAUGUAUGAACUAAGUUAUAUUCUCGCGCUCUCAUUUUGUUCGCUGUGGCUCCUUAUAUUUAUUCACCUCCAAAUAGAUAUUAGCUUUCAUAAUUGAGUCUCCCACUAAGAAAGGAGAGCUUGAUUCUCUCGUCUUGAGGAUUUUCUCUUUUAGUAGAAAGUUGCAAGAGUAUUUUUUUCUCCCGUUACAACGCACGGGCAUAUUUGCUAGUCCUAUCUAAAGCCCAACAAGGACUAGCCCGAGCUGCUCCAUCCCAAGGUGCUGCACCCGGACCACCGGGACGUGCUGCUUCUGCAGGGCGCCGGCCAGGGGUAGUCCCCGUCGUCGCCCUAGCCAGAUUCAAGAUGUACGUACACUUGCUCCGGGUACUGGGCAUCUGGACCACCGCCACCAUGGUGGCCAAGGCGACGUGGCCGCAGUGCAAGCAGGUGAUGGCGACUGAGGUGAUGUUCAUGCUUCCAUCGGCCACGCCCAAGACCUCGUCCAUGGCGGCUGUGAGAGGUCGGUGCCGGUGAUGAUAGCGCCGGGUACCUGCAAGGCGACGAACAGGCUAGAGGUGACCCCAUGUCGAAAUUCGUUAGAAUGCGUGAACCAGCCACGAACACAUAUUCUAGUGGUCCCCACAUAGACCGGGUAAUCUGGUCUUGGUCACCAAAAGGCAUCACAUCACAUCACUUCUCUUCUUCCUCCGUCUCGUUGCUGGCCAGCCGGCCUCCAAUGGCCAUGGAGGCGUCCUGUGACCUCCGCCUCCCCAGCCUCUAAAAUCAACCAGAUUUCCUGCCCCCUCUUGUCCACUGUCUCCACCUGGUCUAGAAAAUGCAGCGGCAACUUUGUCAAACAUUGGCGCGAAGACCACUAGAUAUUUACAUCGUUCAUCAUUUGACUCUAGUGGAUCAUAUUGGCAGCACACGACAGGUUCAUACGUAUCUUUGCCACUUGCUUCCACAUGCACAUUACUAUUGGACAUAUACCAGUGCUGAGAGUUAUUAUCAACUGGUUAUUGUCAUGCUACUCUUGGUUUGGUUGCCAGGUUAGCAUGCAGUUGCAUGUUCCAUAUAAACUUUCUUACCCUGGUAUGCUUGAUUCAUCUGUACAUGCUGCAGCCGCUAUGAUAAUAUUCCAACAAUCGAUAUUUAUGUCCCUUCACUGUCAUCUCCCAGAAACUUUGGGCUCUUCUUGACGACAUGGAAAUAAAUGACCAGAUCCCAAACUAGAUGCAGACUUUUCCACAGGCGUCAACAAUAAUUCGCUGGCACUGGCUGGUAAAUUGGAGAGUGUCGAUCAGCAGCAACACGGCAAAUUGACGAUAACCAUUGAAAUCAUGCAGAAUUUUCCAUCGAGAAUGUCACCAUAUCUUCAUUUGCAAAGGUUGUCAGCAUCCCGGUAUAUAUGGCAUUUGUUCAGCUGCUGCACUGAAUUUCUGUGGCUUAAACAUUUAGAAGCAAUCCUUUUUUAUGCCUUGAAACGACUGAACCGAUAAAAAAGUGGUGUUGGAGCUCUCAUACAAGCAGGCCAAAAAGAAAAUCAACAUUUCAGAGAGCAUCAAAUGCUACGAACUCAAACCCAAACAAGAUUACAGAAGACACCAUACACGACAAGAAACCACACAUUGCCCCCUCGCUCUAGGAGUGGAACCCAGAUCUUGCAAUUCGACAACGAGGACCAAGAACUGUGUCUAAGGCGACACAUGUGCAUGAUAAGAGACGUCCGAGUACACCCCAUGCUCUGAAUUCGAAGUCAUUUACAGUGUUAAUAUAUGAAAUAACACGAACUACUUCUAAAUUGGCCAUCAGUCAGAUCUUAUUGGAGCCUCAACACUGAAAAGAUGAAAUUGAUUGAAAACACUGAAAAUAUGUUUUUCUCCACCAUAGCAACUCAAGUACCAGGAUGUACCUUAAGUUAUUCAUUGCAAGCAUAUUCGUUGCAAAUAAUUGUAAUGUAAGAGUGGUAAUAUAAUUGUACACAAUUGACAUGAGCUACAAAUAAUUUUUGCAAUUAUACAGAAGCGAAACUACGUGACAUAAUCUCGUCUAAAGUGAACUAUGUAACAUAAUAUAAAUCUACAGAAAACAAAUGGGAAUUCAAAUGAAUACUAGGAAGGACGCGAUUGUAGUAUUGCACAUGUGUACUUAGCGUGGCCAAGUGACCAACGAUGAAAGUUCUUGCUCUAGACUGUAGCAACUAGAGGUGCCUUUUGAUUUUGAAUUACCAGCAUUGGCAACAUUCGCUGGUGCAUCAGAAUUACCAACCUUUGGGCAUAAAAAAGGCUCAAUCUCUUCAUCAUUAGCUGGGAGAAUUUUGCAUUUUCUUAGCCUCUUAGUUCUCAUGAAUUGCAACCUCAUAUCUACUUCUUUCAUAGUAGGUCUGUCUCUUCCUUUGAGUCUCAAGCAUGCUUCCGCAAGUGAGCAAAUAUCAUCAAUCUCUUCCUGGUUUGCCUCGUUGACAACCUGAUGAUCCAUUAUUUCCAUGAUAUCUCCCUCUUGCAAUCCUUCCACGAAAUAAUGGGACAAGUUUUGUUUUGCACCUAGAUCAUUGAUAAAAAUUGGCUUUCUUCUUGUGAAAAGUUCCACAAGUAUUACUCCAAAACUAUACACAUCACUCUUUUCAGUUAGCUGCCCGGUAUGGUAAUACUCUGGAUCUAGGUAACCAAAUGUUCCUUGGACAAUAGUCACCACAUGAGUCUCAUCGAGGGAAAGAGACCUUGAAGCACCAAAGUCAGAAACCUUUGUAGCGAAGCUUCUAUCCAUUAGUAUGUUAGACGAUUUUACGUCUCUAUGGAAAAUUGGUAUUGCAGCAGCCGAGUGCAGAUAAGCAAGUGCCCCUGCUGCUUCUACUGCAAUCCUAAUGCGAUGAUCCCAUGACAGCAAGCAUUUGGCAGUAACAUCAAUGUGAAGAAGGUCAUGCAAUGUACCGUUAGAUAUAAACUCGUACACCAGGAAAGGCACCUCAGAUUCGAGGCAACAACCAAAUAGCUUUACCACAUUGUGAUGAAUGAUUUGAGAUAAGAUAGCAACCUCAUUGAUAAACUGGUCUAUCUCAGUCUGCUCCACAAUUUUGGAUUUUUUAAUAGCCACCACCCGUUGGUCAGAUAGAAUGCCUUUGUAAAUUGUAUACCGUGUCCUCCACGACCAAGAAUACGAGUGGCAUCAAAGUUGUUGGUUGACUUCUCUAGUUCCUCCAAGGAGAAUAUCUUUGCUUUGUUUGUGGCGCUUUCAUCUGAGAUCAACUGCUGCAAGAGUAGGCCUUGAUUUUUCUUGAAGUGUGCUUGUCGGAUUCUAUUCUGGAUGCCUUUCUUCCACUUGUUGGCGAAUACAACUACACAUACUGCAAUAAUUAUGGAUCCAAGGCCACAUCCAGUUCCAGUUGCAAUACCUACAUUUAGUCAUCGCUCUCUGAGUCACUCUGCAUUUGGUUAAUUAUAAUUUCAAUGAGGAGAUAUUGGUAGCUAUGACUUACCCAAAAUAAUAUUGUGUUGCUUCGCUGAUGUAACACAUUUCCUUUUUAUCAGAUCAAACUCUUUUCUAUGUGGGCAACUUGAGCAUGUGUAGCUUCCGAAAGAAUUUUGACAGGUCCCAUUGCAGUAGUUUGGUAGUGAGCAUUCAUCAAUAUAUGUAGAAAACUCUCAUUAGUUAUAUAUUGGUGGCUAAUGUAUUACUACCUGCUAAAAAAAAGGUCAGAUUAAAUUCGUAUGAUCUCAAUGCAUAAACUGAACCCCGUUUAGGUUUGCGUGAUGUUUUCAUAAUUUUUCAAUUGAAAAGCAUAUUUUUCAUCACACAGCUCUUCUGAAAAUAUAGAAAUGGUCCGUCAAUUCCUAAAGCUGCAAACCUUACUCGUUGAACUUCUAAAACUGGAUAAGUUUAGUCCACUAUACUACUUCAGAUGGUUUUUGACCGACGUGGACACAGUUUGACCAGAAAUUGACACAUAGCCCGGCUUUGACCACCAUGUCACUUAAGUACCCCCCCUUCUCUCCCCUAACCAUAGGGCGGCAACGACUACUGAGGCACAUGCCUACGAUGACGGCGGAGGUCUGGCCCAGUUGAGAUUCAGGAGCGACCAUGGCUGCUCCGUAGUUAAGCAUGACAGCUGCAAUGGGGCCACGACCUGUGGCUGCACUGACAACCUAGCAACGAGGAGCUCCUUGCUACCAGAGGUAUUUUUUGCUCUUGGGUACUUGCAAUCUGCCACUUAGGAGUAGGUGAAUUUCUCACGUUCAGUUUGUCUCUCUCUCUCUUGUAUGAAUAUAGGGAGGGGUGUGCCGGUCCGGAUGCGUCCGCUCCCCCACCUCCCCCUUUCCCCGUCCGUGUGCGGGUUGUCGCAGCUCCGACGACGUUCAAGGCAGGGCGUGUGCUAUGGUUCGUUGGUCGGGGGUGUCCCUGUGGCUCAAAGUUAAUCUCUUUGGAUGGUCUUGGGGGUGUCUUGUGAAGGAAAUAUGCCCUAGAGGCAAUAGUAAAGUUAUUAUUUUAUUUCCUUAUAUCAUGAUAAAUGUUUAUUAUUCAUGCUAGAAUUGUAUUAACCGAAAACUUAGUACAUGUGCGAAUACAUAGACAAACAGAGUGUCCCUAGUAUGCCUCUACUUGACUAGCUCGUUAAUCAAAGAUGGUUAAGUUUCCUAGCCAUAGACAUGUGUUGUCAUUAGAUCAACGGGAUCAUAUCAUUAGAGAAUGAUGUGAUGGACAAGACCCAUCCGUUAGCUUAGCACUACGAUCGUUUAAGUUUAUUGCUAUUGCUUUCUUCAUGACUUAUACAUGUUCCUCUGACUAUGAGACUAUGCAACUCCCGAAUACCGGCGGAACACCUUGUGUGCUAUCAAACGUCACAAUGUAACUGGAUGAUUAUAAAGAUGCUCUAUAGGUGUCUCCGAAGGUGUUUGUUGGGUUGGCAUAGAUCAAGAUUAGGAUUUGUCACUCCGUGUAUCAGAGAGGUAUCUCUGGGCCCUCUCGGUAAUGCACAUCACUAUAAGCCUUGCAAGCAUUGUGACUAAUGAGUUAGUUGCGGGAUGAUGCAUUACGGAACGAGUAAAUAUACUUCCCGGUAACGAGAUUGAACUAGGUAUGAUGAUACCGACGGCCGAAUCUCGGGCAAGUAACAUACCGAUGACAAAGGGAACAACGUAUGUUGUUAUGCAGUUUGACCGAUAAAGAUCUUCAUAGAAUAUGUAGGAGCCAAUAUGAGCAUCCAGGUUCCGCUAUUGGUUAUUGACCGGAGAUGUGUCUCGGUCAUUUCUACAUAGUUCUCGAACUCGUAGGGUCCGCACGCUUAACAUUCGAUGACGAUUUGUAUUAUGAGUUAUGUGAUUUGAUGACCGAAGGUUGUUCGGAGUCCCGGAUGAGAUCACGGAUAUGACGAGGAGUCUCAAUAUGGUCGAGAGGUAAAGAUUCAUAUAUUGGAAGGUUGCAUUUGGACAUCGGAAUGGUUCCGAGUGAUUCGGACAUUUUUCCGGAGUACCGGGAUGUUACCGGAAACCCCUGGGAGAAGUUAUCGGCCAUAUGGGCCAUAAGAGGGAAGCACAGCAGCCCACAAGGGGCUGGUGCGCCCCCUUGGGUAGGAGGCCGAAUUGGACAAGGAGAAGGGGGCCGGGCCCCCUUUCCUUCUCUCUUUCCCUUCCCCCUUUCCUACUCCGUGUGAGAGGUGGAAUCAUACUAGGACUAAGGAGUCCUAGUAGGACUCCACACCUUGGCACGCCCCCUUAGGCCGGCUGCCUCUCCCUCUCCCUCCUGUAUAUACGGAGGCAAGGGGCACCCCAAAGGCACAACAAGCCUUCUCAUAGCCGUGUGCGGUGCCCCCCUCCACAGUUACACACCUCGGUCAUAUCGUCAUAGCGCUUAGGCAAAGCCCUAUGCCGGUAACUGCAUCAUCAUCGUCACCACGCCGUCGUGCUGACGGAACUCUCCCUCGACUUCAACUGGAUCAAGAGUAUGAGGGACGUCAUCAAGCUGAACGUGUGCUGAACACGGAGGUGCCAUACGGUCGGUGCUGGGAUCAGUUGGAUCGCGAAGACGUUCGACUACAUCAACCGCGUUACUAAACGCUUCCGCUUUCGGUCUACGAGGGUACAUGAACACACUCUCCCCUCUCGUUGCUAUGCAUCUCCUAGAUAGAUCUGGCAUCCGAGCUAGGUCUAUGCGUAGAUGUUUUAUGCACGAUUAGAACACAAUGAGUUGUGGGCGAUAAUAGUCAUACUGCUUACCAGCAUGUCAUACUUUGAUCCGACGGUAUUGUUGGAUGAAGCGGUCUGAAAUACAACUAUGUCUACGAGUGCCGCGAAUGAACCUUUGGUUCUUCCCAGCUCAGAGGAUUAGAGCACGUGGCUACGAACCACGGUGUCGGGGGUUCGAAUCCCUCCUCGCCCACAGCCUUCCAAAGGGGGAAGGGCAUGGCUCCUCGCAGUUCUCCCUUUAACACCAGCGCCUUGGCCCUAUUUUCUUCUUCGUCUAUUGGGGAAGAAGAAGAGGUGGAGUAGCAGGCGAAUCUCAUCCCUCCUGUGGACUCCCCCGUACUCAAAGUGUCUCUGAGAGAUUGCGCUUCUCUACUAAUCACAUUCUGUUCAAGAAUCACUGUUUUCAUGAUCGAAUGACGAAAUAGAUAUACGAACUGUAUAGGAUCAUUCGCUGGGAUGGGAUAAGUGAUUCUUUUAUAGGAUUCCCAUGGGAUCGUCGCCUCUCGACAUCUUGUUUGGUAAGCGGAAUUUUGACCCAGGCGCCCACGACUUUGACAGCCUUUCCUUCACACAAGGUUUUUAAUCCAUCUCCCCCGCUUAGGGCAGUAAGGGGAAGUAGCGAUAUUCCGAUUCCUUCGUGGGGAAUCAACAAAGGCAGCCGCUCUAGCAGCUUUAGUACUUAAGUUAACGCCCCAGCCCUUAUCCCGCGAUGAGAAGGUAGAUGCGGUAAGCCAACUCCUAUCCUUCUUGCGGAAAGGACAUUCAAUGCCAUCUUCAUUCCCUUCCUUGCUUCGAGGAGCAGGUCGAAUAGUCAAAGAAGGGGAUGGCUAAUUCCAGGAAUAGAGUAGCAUUCUCAAGGCUUUUUAUUUGGUGGGUAACAUCGAUGAAGCUAGCAUGAAAGCUAUAACCUUAGAAGAGGAGAACAAAUCGAAGAAAUGAAAUUAAAUCUCGAAGAUCCACUGCGUAAGCCGUAGCGCGCGUACUCUUCUUUACUGAGCGAGAAAGACUCUAUCCAGAUCUAUGGAUCUCCCCCCAAACCGACAUUACAUGACCGUGUUCAUGAGACUGGUUCUAUCGCCGUGCUUCGCACACAGGUGGCUAGUGGGUGUCUGUUUCUCCAAAUUUAGUUGAAUCAAGUGUGGCUACGCCCGGUCCUUGUUGAAGGUUAAAACAACACACUUGAUGAAAAAUCAUUGUGGUUUUGAUGCGUAGGUAAGAACGGUUCUUGCUAAGCCCAUAGCAGCCACGUAAAACUUGCAACAACAAAGUAGAGGAAGUCUAACUUGCUUUUGCAGGGCAUGUUCUGAUGUGAUAUGGUCAGGACGUGAUGACAUAUAAAUUGUUGUAUGAGAUGAUCAUGUUUUGUAAAAGUUAUCGGCAACUGGCAGGAGCCUUAUGGUUGUCGCUUUAUUGUAUGAAAUGCAAUCGCCAUGUAAUUGCUUUACUUUAUCAUUAAGCGGUAGCGAUAGUCGUAGAAGCAAUAGUUAGCGAGACGACAAUGAUGCUUCGAUGGAUAUCAAGGUGUCAAGCCGGUGACGAUGGUGAUCAUGACGGUGCUUUGGAGAUGGAGAUCAAAGGCACAAGAUGAUGAUGGCCAUAUCAUAUCACUUGUAUUGAUUGCAUGUGAUGUUUAUCUUUUGUGCAUCUUAUUUUGCUUAGUACGGCGGUAGCAUUAUAAGAUGAUCCCUUACUAAAAUUUCAAGGUAUAAGUGUUCUCCUUAAGUAUGCACCGUUGCUACAGUUCUUCGUGCUGAGACACCAAGUGAUGAUCGGGUGUGAUAAGCUCUACGUUCACAUACAACGUGUGCAAGCCAGUUUUGCACACGCAGAAUACUCGAGUUAAACUUGACGAGCCUAGCAUAUGCAGAUAUGGCCUCGGAACACUGAGAUCGAAUGAUCGAGCGUGAAUCAUAUAGUAGAUAUGAUCAACAUAGUGAUGUUCACCAUUGAAAACUACUUCAUCUCAUGUGAUGAUCGGACAUGGUUUAGUUGAUUUGAAUCACGUGAUCACUUAGAUGAUAGAGGGAUGUCUAUCUAAGUGGGAGUUCUUAAGUAAUAUGAUUAAUUGAACUUUAAUUUAUCAUGAACUUAGUCUUGAUAGUAUUUGCAAAUUAUGUUGUAGAUCAAUAGCUCGCGAUUUAUCUCCUCGUUUAUUUUUGAUAUGUUCCUAGAGAAAAGUUGAAAGAUGACAGUAGCAAUGAUGCAGACUGGGUCCGUUAUCUGAGGAUUAUCCUUGUUGCUGCACAGAAGAAUUAUGUCCUUGAUGCACCACUAGGUGACAGACCUAUUACAGGAGCUAAUGCAGACAUUAUGAACUUCUGACAAGCUCGGUAUGAUGACUAGUUGAUAGUUUAGUGCAGCAUGCUUUACGGCUUAGAACCGGGACUUCAAAAAUGUUUGGAACGCCAUGGAGCAUAUAAGAUGUUUGAGCUGAAAUUGGUAUUUCAGACUCAUGCCCGUGUCGAGAGGUAUGAAACCUCUGACAAGUACUUUGCCUACAAGAUGGAGGAGAAUAGCUCAACUAGUAAGCAUGUGCUCAGAAUGUCUGAGUACAACAAUCGCUUGAAUCAAGUGGGAGUUAAUCUUCUAGAUAAGAUAGUGAUUGACAGAGUUCUCUAGUCACUAUCACCAAGUUGCUGGAACUUCAUGAUGAACUAUAAUAUGCAAGGGAUGAUGAAAACGUUUACCGAGCUCUUCGCGAUGUUGAAAUCAGCGACAGGAAGAAAUCAAGAAAGAGCAUCAAGUGUUGAUGGUUAACAAGACCACUAGUUUCAAGAAAAAAGGCAAAGAGAAAGAAAUGGAACUUCAAGAAGAAUAGCAAGCAAGUUUCUACUCCCGUGAAGAAGCCCAAAGCUGGACCUAAGCCUGAAACUGAUGUUGGGGAACGUAGUAAUUUCAAAAAAAUUCCUACACACAUGCAGAUCAUGGUGAUGCAUAGCAACGAGAGGGGAGAGUGUCAUCCACAUAGCCUCGUAGACCGUAAGUGGAAGCGUUAUGACAACGCGGUUGAUGUAGUCGUACGUCUUCACGAUCGACCGAUCCUAGUACCGAACGUACGGCACCUCCGCGAUCUGCACACGUUCAGCUCGGUGACGUCCCACAAACUCACGAUCCAGUAGAGCUUCGAGGGAGAGUUCCGUCAGCACGACGGUGUGAUGACGGUGAUGAUGAAGUUACCGAUGCAAGGCUUCGCCUAAGCACCGCUACGAUAUGACCGAGGUGGAAUAUGGUGGAGGGGGGCACCGCACACGGCUAAGGAGCAAUCAACUUGUGUGUCCAAGGGGUGUCCCCCUCCUCCGUAUAUAAAGGAGGGGAGGAGGAGGUGGCCGGCCAAGGAGUGGCGCACCAAGAGGGGGAGUCCUACUCCCACCGGGAGUAGCAUUCCCCCCCUUCCAAGUAGGAGUAGGAGAAGAGGGAAAGAGGAGGGAGAGAGAAAGGAAAGCGGGGCCGCCCCCCUCACCCAAUUCGGAUUGGGCUUGGGGGGCGCGCCCCCUCCUAGGCUGCCUCCUCCUCUUUUCCACUAAGGCCCAUUAAGGCCCAUAUAGCUCCCGGGGGGUUCCGGUAACCUCCCCGUACUCCGGUAAUUGCCCGAUAUCAUUCAGAACCAUUCCGAUAUCCAAAUAUAGGCUUCCAAUAUAUCGAUCUGUAUGUCUCGACUAUUUCAAGACUCCUCAUCAUGUCCGUGAUCAUAUCCGGGACUCCGAACUACCUUCGGUACAUCAAAACACAUAAACUUAUAAUACCAAUCGUCACCGAACGUUAAGUGUGCGGACCCUACAGGUUCAAGAACUAUGUAGACAUGAUCGAGACCCAUCUCCGGUCAAUAACCAAUAGCGGAACCUCGAUGCUCAUAUCGGUUCCCACAUAUUCUAUGAAGAUCUUUAUCAGUCAAACCGCAUAGCACUAUACGUUGUUCCCUUUGUCAUCAGUAUGUUACUUGCCCGAGAUUCGAUGUGCAUUACCGAGAGGGCCCAGAGAUACCUCUUCGAUACACGGAGUGACAAAUCCUAAUCUCGAUCUAUGCCAACCCAACAAACACCAUCGGAGACGCCUGUAGAGCACCUUUAUAAUCACCCAGUUACAUUGUGACGUUUGGUAGCACACAAAGUGUUCCUCCGGUAUUCGGGAGUUGCAUAAUCUCAUAGUCAUAGGAACAUGUAUAAGUCAUGAAGAAAGCAAUAGCAACAAACUAUACGAUCAUAGUGCUAAGCUAACGGAUGGGUCUUGUCCAUCACAUCAUUAUCCUACUGGUGUGAUCUCGUUCAUCAAAUGACAACACAUGUCUAUUGUUAGGAAACAUAACCAUCUUUGAUAAACAAGCUAGUCAAGUAGAGGCAUACUAGGGACACUCCGUUUGUCUAUGUAUUCACACAUGUAUCAAAUUUCCGGUUAAUAUAAUUCUAGCAUGAAUAAUAAACAUUUAUCAUGAUAUAAGGAAAUAAAUAAUAACAUUAUUAUUUCCUCUAGGGCAAAUUUCCUUCAACUGAGUGCUUCUACUGCAGAGGGAAUGGUCACUAGAAGCGGAACUACCCCAAAUAUUUGGCAGAUAAGAAGGAUGGCAAAGUGAACAAAGGUAUAUUUGAUAUACAUGUUAUUGAUGUGUACUUUACUAGUGUUCAUAGUAACCCCAGGGUAUUUGAUACCGAUUUUUAGUUGCUAUGAUUAGUAACUCAAAACAGGAGUUGCAAAAUGAACAGAGACUAGUUAAGGGCAAGGUAACGAUGUGUGUUGGAAGUGGUUCCAAGGUUGAUAAGAUCACCAUCGCAUACUCCCUCUACCUUCGGGAUUAGUGUUGAACCUAAAUAAAUGUUAUUUGGUGUUUGCGUUGAGCAUGAAUAUGAUUGGAUCAUGUUCAUUGCAAUACGGUUAUUCUUUUAAGUCAGAGAAUAAUUGUUAUUCUGUUUACAUGAAUAAAACCUUCUUAGGUCAUGCACGGAAGUGGUUUAUUGAAUCUCGAUCAUAGUGAUACACAUAUUCAUAAUAUUGAUGCCAAAAGAUGCAAAGUUGAUAAUGAUAGUGCAACUUAUUUGUGGCACUGCCGUUUAGGUCAUAUUGGUGUAAAGCGCAUGAAGAAAGUAUAUGUAGAUGGACUUUUGGAAUCACUUGAUACUUGCGAACCAUGCCUCAUGGGCAAGAUGACUAAGACUCCGUUCUUCGGAACAAUGGAGCGAGCCAAUGACUUAUUGGAAAUAAUACAUACCCAUGUAUGCGGUCCGAUGAGUGUUGAGGCUCGCGGCGGGCAUCCUUAUUUUCUAACCAUCACAGAUGAUUUGAGCAGAUAUCGGUAUAUCUACUUAAUGAAACACAAGUCUGAAACAUUUGAAAAGUUCAAAGAAUUUUAGAGUGAAGUGGAGAAUCAUCGUAACAAGAAAAUAAACUUUCUACGAUCUGAUCGCGGAGGCAAAUAUUUGAGUUAUGAGUUUGGCGUUCAUUUAAAACAAUGUGGAAUAGUUUCACAACUCACGCCAUGCUACCUCUUGAGCAUGCGUUGGUUUUCCCUUGAAGAGGAAAGGGUGAUGCAGCAAAGUAGCAUAAGUAUUUCCCUCAGUUUUUGAGAACCAAUGCAUCAAUCCAGUAGGAGACACACACAAGUCACCUAGUACCUGCACAAACAAUCAAGAACCUUGCAACCAACACGAUAAAGGGGUUGUCAAUCCCUUCACGGCCAAUCACAAAAGUGAGAUCUGAUAAAGAUAGUAAGAUAAUAUUUUUGGUAUUUUUGUUGUAUAGAUUGGAAAGUAAAGAUUGUAGAAUAAAAUAAAAGGAAACUAAGAUUGUAGAUUAGAAACUUAUAUGAUGGAAAAUAGACCCGAGGGCCAUAGGUUUCACUAGUGGCUUCUCUCAAGAUAGCAUCUAUUAUGGUGGGUCAACAAAUUACUGUCGAGCAAUUGAUAGAAAAGCGCAUAAUUAUGAGAAUAUCUAGGCAUGAUCAUGAACAUAGGCAUCACGUCCGUGUCAAGUCGACCAAAACGAUUCUGCAUCUACUACUAUUACUCCACACAUCGACCGCUAUCCAGCAUGCAUCUGGAGUAUUAAGUUCAUAAGAACAGAGUAACGCAUUAGGCAAGAUUACAUGAUGUAGAGGGAUAAACUCAAGAAAUAUGAUAUAAACCCCAUCUUUUUAUCCUCGAUGGCAACAAUACAAUACGUGCCUUGCUGCCCCUACUGUCACCGGGAAAGGACAACGCAAGAUUGAACCCAAAGCCAUGCACUCCUCCCAUUGCAAGAAAGAUCAAUCUAGUAGGCCAAACUAAACCGAUAAUUCGAAGAGACUUGCAAAGAUAUCAAAUCAUACAUAUAAGAAUUUAGAGAAGAACCAAAUAUUAUUCAUAGAUAAACUUGAUCAGAAAUCCACAAUUCAUCGGAUCUCGACAAACACACCGCAAAAGAAUAUUACAUCGAAUAUAUCUCCAAGAACAUCGAGGAGAACUUGGUAUUGAGAAUCAAAGAGAGAGAAGAAGCCAUCUAUCUAAUAACUAUGGACCUGAAGGUCUGAGGUAAACUACUCAUGCUUCAUCGGAGAGGCUAUGGUGUUGAUGUAGAAGACCUCCGUGAUCGAUUCCCCCUCCGGCGGAGUGCCGGAAAAGGCCCCAAGAAGGGAUUUCACGUGUGCAGAGAGUUGCGGUGGUGGAAUAUUGGUUUCGUCUCUCUGUAUGAUGGUUUUAGGGUAUAAGGGUAUAUAUAGGCGGAAGAAAUAGGUCGGUGGAGUGCCGUGGGGCCCACAAGGGUCGGGGGGCAUGCCUACCCCCCUGGGCGCGCCCUCCUGCCUCAUGGCCGCCUUACAGCGCUCAAGAAUUCAACUCCAAGUCUUCUGGAUUCCUUCUGGUCCAAGAAAGAUCCUCACAGAAGUUUCAUUCCAUUUGGACUCUGUUUGAUUUCCUUAUCUCCAAAACACUGAAAUAGGCAAAAAAACAGAAACUGGCACUGCGCCUCCGGUUAAUAGGUUAGUCCCAAAAAUAAUAUCAAUAGCAUAUUAGAGCCCAUUAAACAUCCAAAACAUAUAAUAUAAUAGCAUGGAACAAUAAAAAAUUAUAGAUACGUUUGAGACGUAUCAAGCAUCCCCAAGCUUAAUUCCUGCUCCUCCUCGAGUAGGUAAAUGAUCAAAACAGAAUUUUUGAUGUGGAAUGCUACCCAACAUAAUUUUCAAUGUAAUUCUUCUUAUUGUGGCAUGAAUGUUCAGAUCCGUAAGAUAAAAGUUUAAUAUUGACAUAAAAACAAUAAUACUUCAAGCAUACUAACAAAGCAAUUAUGUCUUCUCAAAAUAACAUGGCCAAAAAAGUUCAUCCCUACAAAAUCAUAUAGUUUGGUUAUGCUUCAUCUCCGUCACACAAAAAUGUUCAAAUCAUGCACAACCCCGAUGACAAGCCAAGCAAUUGUUUCAUACUUUAGUAUUCUCAGACUUUUUCAACUUUCACGCAAUACAUGAGCGUGAGCCAUGGACAUAGCACUAUAGGUCGAAUAGAAUAUGAUGGUGGGGGUUGUGUGGAGAAGACAAAAAAAGAUAAGGUCUCACAUCAACGUGGCUAAUCAACAUGCUAUGGAGAUGCCCAUUAUUUGAUGUAAAUGUGAGGAGUAGGGAUUGCCAUGCAACGGAUGCACUAGAACUAUAAAUGUAUGAAAGCUCAACAAAAGAAACUAGUGGGUGUGCAUCCAACUUGCUUGCUCACGAAGACCUACGGCAUUUGAGGAAGCCCAUUGUUGGAAUAUACAGGCCAAGUUCUAUAACGAAAAUUCCCACUAGUAUAUGAAAGUGACAAAAUAAGAAACUCUCUAUCAUGAAGAUCAUGGUGCUACUUUGAAGCACACGUGUGGUAAAAGGAUAGUAGCAUUGUCCCUUCUCUCUUUUUUUAUAUAUUUUUUUAUUUGGCCUCUCUCUUUUUUUUCCUCACAUGGGACAAUGCUCUAAUAAUGAUAAUCAUCACACUUUUAUUUAUUUACAACUCAAGAAUUACAACUCGAUACUAGAACAAGAUAUGACUCUAUGUGAAUGCCUCCGGUGGUGUACCUGUUGGGUAUCGUAGCAGAAAUUAAAUUUUUUCUACGCAUCACCAAGAUCAAUCUAUGGAGUCAUCUAGCAACGAGAGAGAGGAGUGCAUCUACAUACCCUUGUAGAUCGCGAGCGGAAGCGUUCAAGUGAACGGGGUUGAUGGAGUCGUACUCGUCGUGAUCCAAAUCACCGAUGAUCCUAGCGCCGUACGGACGGCACCUCUGCGUUCAACACAUGUACGGUUGGGAGAGACGUCUCCUCCUUCUUGAUCCAGCAAGGGGGAGGGAGAGGUUGAUGGAGAUCCAGCAGCACGACGGCGUGGUGGUGGAAUCAGCGGGGAUCUCGGCAGGGCUUCGCCAAGCUCAGCGAGAGGGAGAGGUAUUACGGGAGGGAGAGGGAGGCGCCAGGGCUUGGGUGCUGCUGCCCUCCCUCCCCCUCUUUAUAUAGGGCCCCUGGGGGGGCGCCGGCCCUAGGAUAUCUAAUCUCCAAGGGGGGGGGGCGGCCAAGGGGGUGGCUUGCCCCCCAAGCCAAGUGGGGCGCCCCCCACCCCUAGGGUUUCCAACCCUAGGCGCAGGGGAGGCCCAAGGGGGGCGCACCAGCCCACCAGGGGCUGGUUCCCUUCCCCACUUGAGCCCAUGGGGCCCUCCGGGAUAGGUGGCCCCACUCGGUGGACCCCCGGGACCCUUCCGGUGGCCCCGGUACAAUACCGGUGACCCCCGAAACUUUCCCGGUGGCCGAAACUGGACUUCCUAUAUAUAAUUCUUCACCUCCGGACCAUUCCGGAACUCCUCGUGAUGUCCGGGAUCUCAUCCGGGACUCGGAACAACUUUCGGAUUUCCGCAUACUAAUAUCUCUACAACCCUAGCGUCACCGAACCUUAAGUGUGUAGACCCUACGGAUUCGGGAGACAUGCAGACAUGACAAAGACGACUCUCCGGUCAAUAACCAACAGCGGGAUCUGGAUACCCGUGUUGGCUCCCACAUGUUCCACGAUGAUAUCAUCGGAUGAACCACGAUGUCGAGGGUUAGAUCAAUCCCGUAUACAAUUCCCUUUGUCAAUCGGUACGUUACUUGCCCGAGAUUCGAUCGUCGGUAUCCCAAUACCUUGUUCAAUCUCGUUACCGGCAAGUCACUUUACUCGUACCGUAAUGCAUGAUCCCGUGACCAAACACUUGGUCACAUUGAGCUCAUUAUGAUGAUGCAUUACCGAGUGGGCCCAGAGAUACCUCUCCGUCAUACGGAGUGACAAAUCCCAGUCUCGAUUCGUGCCAACCCAACAGACACUUUCGGAGAUACCCGUAGUGCACCUUUAUAGCCACCCAGUUACGUUGUGACGUUUGGCACACCCGAAGCACUCCUAUGGUAUCCGGGAGUUGCACAAUCUCAUGGUCUAAGGAAAUGAUACUUGACAUUUGGAAAAGCUCUAGCAAACGAACUACACGAUCUUGUGCUAUGCUUAGGAUUGGGUCUUGUCCAUCACAUCAUUCUCCUAUUGAUGUGAUCCCGUUAUCAAUGACAUCCAAUGUCCAUAGUCAGGAAACCAUGACUAUCUGUUGAUCAAUGAGCUAGCCAACUAGAGGCUCACUAGGGACAUGUUGUGGUCUAUGUAUUCACACAUGUAUUAUGAUUUCCGGAUAACACAAUUAUAGCAUGAACAAUAGAAAUUAUCAUGAACAAGGAAAUAUAAUAAUAACCAUUUUAUUAUUGCCUCUAGGGCAUAUUUCCAACAGUCUCCCACUUGCACUAUAGUCAAUAAUCUAGUUACAUUGUGAUGAAUCGAACACCCAUAGAGUUCUGGUGUUGAUCAUGUUUUGCUCUAGGGAGAGGUUUAGUCAACGGAUCUACUACAUUCAGGUCCGUAUGUACUUUACAAAUAUCUAUGUCUCCAUUUUGAACAUUUUCACGAAUGGAGUUGAAGCGACACUUGAUAUGCCUGGUCUUCCUGUGAAACCUGGGCUCCUUGGCAAGGGCAAUAGCUCCAGUGUUGUCACAGAAGAGAGUCAUCGGGCCCGACGCAUUGGGAAUAACUCCUAGGUCGGUAAUGAACUCCUUCAUCCAGAUUGCUUCUUGUGCUGCCUCUGAGGCCGCCAUGUAUUCCGCUUCACAUGUAGAUCCUGCCACAAUGCUUUGCUUGCAACUGCACCAGCUUACUGCCCCACCAUUCAAAAUAUACACGUAUCCGGUUUGUGACUUAGAGUCAUCCAGAUCUGUGUCGAAGCUAGCAUCGACUAACCCUUUACGACGAGCUCUUCGUCACCUCCAUAAACGAGAAACAUAUCCGUAGUCCUCUUCAGGUACUUCAGGAUAUUCUUUACCGCUGUCUAGUGUUCCAUGCCGGGAUUACUUUGGUAUCUUCCUACCAAACUCACGGCAAGGUUUACAUCAGGUCUGGUACACAGCAUGGCAUACAUAAUAGACCCUAUGGCCGAGGCAUAGGGGACGACACUCAUCUUUUCUCUAUCUUCUGCCGUGGUCGGGCAUUGAGCCGUGCUCAAUUGCACACCUUGCAAUACAGGCAAGAACCCCUUCUUGGACUGAUCCAUAUUGAACUUCUUCAAUAUCUUGUCAAGGUACGUACUUUGUGAAAGACCAAUGAGGCGUCUUGAUCUAUCUCUAUAGCUCUUGAUGCCUAAUAUAUAAGCAGCUUCUCCAAGGUCCUUCAUUGAAAAACACUUGUUCAAGUAGGCCUUUAUGCUUCCCAAGAAUUCUAUAUCAUUUCCCAUCAACAGUAUGUCAUCCACAUAUAAUAUGAGAAAUGCUACAGAGCUCCCACUCACUUUCUUGUAAACACAGGCUUCUCCAUAAGUCUGUGUAAACCCAAACGCUUUGAUCAUCUCAUCAAAUCGAAUGUUCCAACUCCGAGAUGCUUGCACCAGCCCAUAGAUGGAGCGCUGGAGCUUGCAUACCUUGUUAGCAUUCUUAGGAUCGACAAAACCUCCCGGCUGCAUCAUAUACAAUUCUUCCUUAAGAAAGCCGUUAAGGAAUGCCGUUUUGACGUCCAUUUGCCAUAUCUCAUAAUCAUAGAAUGCAGCAAUUGCUAACAUGAUUCGGACGGACUUCAGCUUCGCUACGGGUGAGAAAGUCUCAUCGUAGUCAACCCCUUGAACUUGUCGAUAACCCUUAGCGACAAGUCGAGCCUUAUAGAUGGUCACAUUACCAUCCGCGUCUGUCUUCUUCUUAAAGAUCCAUUUAUUUUCUAUGGCUUGCCGAUCAUCGGGCAAGUCAGUCAAAGUCCAUACUUCGUUUUCAUACAUGGAUCCUAUCUCAGAUUUCAUGGCUUCUAGCCAUUUGUCGGAAUCUAGGCCCGCCAUUGCUUCUUCAUAGUUCGAAGGUUCACCGUUGUCCAACAACAUGAUUUCCAAGACAGGGUUGCUGUACCACUCUGGCACGGAACGUGUCCUUGUGGACCUACGAAGUUCAGUAGGAGCUUGAUCCGAAAUACCUUGAUCAUCAUCAUCAUUAACUUCCUCUCUAGUCGGUGCAUGCACCACAGGAACAUUUUCCUGAGCUGCGCUACUUUCCGCUUCAAGAGGCAGUACUUCAUCAAGCUCUACCUUCCUCCCACUUACUUCUUUCGAGAGAAACUCUUUCUCUAGAAAGGAUCCAUUCUUAGCAACAAAGAUCUUGCCUUCAGAUCUGAGGUAGAAGGUAUACCCAAUGGUUUCCUUAGGGUAUCCUAUGAAGACGCAUUUCUCCGACUUGGGUUCGAGCUUUUCAGGUUGAAGUUUCUUGACAUAAGCAUCGCAGCCCCAAACUUUUAGAAACGACAGCUUAGGUUUCUUUCCAAACCAUAAUUCAUACGGUGUCGUCUCAGCGGAUUUCGACGGAGCCCUAUUUAAAGUGAAUGCGGCAGUCUCUAAAGCAUAGCCCCAAAAUGAGAGCGGUAUAUCGGUAAGAGACAUCAUAGAUCGCACCAUAUCCAAUAGAGUGCGAUUACGACGUUCGGACACACCAUUUCGCUGAGGUGUUCCAGGCGGCGUGAGUUGUGAAACUAUUCCACAUUUUCUUAAGUGUGUGCCAAAUUCGUGACUCAAAUAUUCCCCUCCACGAUCUGAUCGUAAGAACUUUAUUUUCCUGCCACGUUGAUUCUCAACCUCACUCUGAAAUUCCUUGAACUUUUCAAAGGUCUCAGACUUGUGUUUCAUUAGGUAGACAUACCCAUAUCUACUCAAGUCAUCAGUGAGAGUGAGAACAUAAUGAUAGCCACCGCGAGCCUCAACACUCAUUGGACCGCACACAUCAGUAUGUAUGAUUUCCAAUAAGUUGGUUGCUCGCUCCAUUGUUCCGGAGAACGGAGUCUUGGUCAUCUUACCCAUGAGGCAUGGUUCGCACGUGUCAAAUGAUUCGUAAUCAAGAGACUCCAAAAGUCCAUCUGCAUGGAGCUUCUUCAUGCGUUUGACACCAAUGUGACCAAGACAGCAGUGCCACAAGUAUGUGGGACUAUCAUUAUCAACCUUACAUCUUUUGGUAUUCACACUAUGAAUAUGUGUAACACUACGUUCGAGAUUCAUUAAGAAUAAACCAUUAACCAGCGGGGCAUGACCAUAAAACAUAUGUCUCAUAUAAAUAGAACAACCAUUAUUCUCGGAUUUAAAUGAGUAGCCAUCUCGAAUUAAAUGAGAUCCUGAUACAAUGUUCAUGCUCAAAGCUGGCACUAAAUAACAAUUAUUGAGGUUUAAAACUAAUCCCGUAGGUAAAUGUAGAGGUAGCGUGCCGACGGCGAUCACAUCGACCUUGGAACCAUUCCCGACGCGCAUCGUCACCUCGUCCUUUGCCAGUCUCCGUUUAUUCCGCAGCUCCUGCUUUGAGUUACAAAUAUGAGCAACCGCACCGGUAUCAAAUACCCAGGAGCUACUACGAGUACUGGUAAGGUACACAUCAAUAACAUGUAUAUCACAUAUACCUUUCGUGUUGUCGGCUUCUUGUCCGCCAAGUACUUGGGGCAGUUCCGCUUCCAGUGACCACUUCCCUUGCAAUAAAAGCACUCAGUCUCAGGCUUGGGUCCAUUCUUUGGCUUCUUCCCGGCAACUGGCUUACCGGGCGCGGAAACUCCCUUGCCGUCCUUCUUGAAGUUCUUCUUACCCUUGCCUUUCUUGAACUUAGUGGUUUUAUUCACCAUCAACACUUGAUGUUCCUUUUUGAUCUCUACCUCCGCUGAUUUCAGCAUUGAAUAUACCUCAGGAAUGGUCUUUUCCAUCCCCUGCAUAUUGAAGUUCAUCACAAAGCUCUUGUAGCUCGGUGGAAGCGACUGAAGGAUUCUGUCAAUGACCGCGUCAUCCGGGAGAUUAACUCCCAUCUGAGUCAAGCGGUUGUGUAACCCAGACAUUUUGAGUAUGUGCUCACUGACAGAACUAUUUUCCUCCAUCUUACAACUGAAGAACUUGUCAGAGACUUCAUAUCUCUUGACCCGGGCAUGAGCUUGGAAAACCAUUUUCAGCUCUUCGAACAUCUCAUAUGCUCCGUGUUGCUCAAAACGCUUUUGGAGCCCCGGUUCUAAGCUGUAAAGCAUGCCACACUGAACGAGGGAGUAAUCAUCAACACGCUGCUGCCAAGCGUUCAUAACGUCUUGGUUCUCUGGGAUGGGUGCGUCACCUAGCGGUGCUUCUAGGACAUAAUCUUUCUUGGCAGCUAUGAGGAUGAUCCUCGGGUUUCGGACCCAGUCCGUAUAGUUGCUGCCAUCAUCUUUCAGCUUGGUUUUCUCUAGGAACGCGUUGAAGUUGAGGGCAACAUUAGCGUGGGCCAUUUGAUCUACAAGACAUAUUGUAAAGAUUUUAGACUAAGUUCAUGAUAAUUAAGUUCAUCUAAUCAAAUUAUUCAAUGAACUCCCACUCAGAUAGACAUCCCUCUAGUCAUCUAAGUGAAACAUGAUCCGAGUCAACUAGGCCGUGUCCGAUCAUCACGUGAGACGGACUAGUCAACAUGGGUGAACAUCUUCAUGUUGAUCGUAUCUUCUAUACGACUCAUGCUCGACCUUUCGGUCUUCGGUGUUCUGAGGCCAUGUCUGUACAUGCUAGGCUCGUCAAGUCAACCUAAGUGUAUUGCGUGUGUAAAUCUGGCUUACACCCGUUGUAUUAGAACGUUAGAAUCUAUCACACCCGAUCAUCACGUGGUGCUUCGAAACAACGAACCUUCGCAACGGUGCACAGUUAGGGGGAACACUUUCUUGAAAUUAUUGCGAGGGAUCAUCUUAUUUAAGCUACUGUCGUUCUAAGCAAAUAAGAUGUAAAACAUGAUAAACAUCACAUGCAAUCAAAUAGUGACAUGAUAUGGCCAAUAUCAUAUUGCUCCUUUUGAUCUCCAUCUUCGGGGCGCCAUGAUCAUUGUCGUCACCGGCAUGACACCAUGAUCUCCAUCAUCGUGUCUUCAUGAAGUUGUCUCGUCAUUUAUUACUUCUACUACUAUGGCUAACGGUUUAACAAUAAAGUAAAGUAAUUACAUGACGUUAUAUGUUGAUACGCAGGUCAUAAAUGAAUUAAGACAACUCCUAUGGCUCCUGCCGGUUGUCAUACUCAUCGACAUGCAAGUCGUGAUUCCUAUUACAAGAACAUGAUCAAUCUCAUACAUCACAUAUAUCAUUCAUCACAUCCUUUUGGCCAUAUCACAUCACACGGCAUAUGCUGCAAAAACAAGUUAGAUGUCCUCUAAUUGUUGUUGCAAAUUUUUACGUGGCUGCUAUAGGUUUCUUAGCAAGAACGUUUCUUACCUACGCCAAAACCACAAAGUGAUAUGCCAAUUUCUAUUUACCCUUCAUAAGGACCCUUUUCAUCAAAUCCGAUCCGACUAAAGUGGGAGAGACAGACACCCGCUAGCCACCUUAUGCAACUAGUGCAUGUCAGUUGGUGGAACCUGUCUCACGUUAGCGUACGUGUAAGGUCGGUCCGGGACGCUUCAUCCCACGAUGCCGCCGAAUCAAGAUAAGACUAGUAACGGCAAGUAAAUUGACAAUAUCGACGCCCACAACUGCUUUGUGUUAUACUCGUGCAUAGAAACUACGCAUAGACCUAGCUCAUGAUGCCACUGUUGGGUAUCGUAGCAGAAAUUAAAAAUUUUCUACGCAUCACCAAGAUCAAUCUAUGGAGUCAUCUAGCAACGAGAGAGAGGAGUGCAUCUACAUACCCUUGUAGAUCGCGAGCGGAAGCGUUCAAGUGAACGGGGUUGAUGGAGUCGUACUCGUCGUGAUCCAAAUCACCGAUGAUCCUAGUGCCGUACGGACGGCACCUCCGCGUUCAACACACGUACGGUUGGGAGAGACGUCUCCUCCUUCUUGAUCCAGCAAGGGGGAGGGAGAGGUUGAUGGAGAUCCAGCAGCACGACGGCGUGGUGGUGGAAGCAGCGGGGAUCUCGGCAGGGCUUCGCCAAGCUCAGCGAGAGGGAGAGGUGUUACGGGAGGGAGAGGGAGGCGCCAGGGCUUGGGUGCUGCUGCCCUCCCUCCCCCCUCUUUAUAUAGGGCCCCUGGGGAGGGCGCCGGCCCUAGGAGAUCUAAUCUCCAAGGGGGGGCGGCGGCCAAGGGGGUGGCUUGCCCCCCAAGCCAAGUGGGGCGCCCCCCCAUCCCUAGGGUUUCCAACCCUAGGCGCAGGGGAGGCCCAAGGGGGGCGCACCAGCCCACCAGGGGCUGGUUCCCUUCCCCACUUGAGCCCAUGGGGCCCUCCGGGAUAGGUGGCCCCACCCGGUGGACCCCCGGGACCCUUCCGGUGGCCCCGGUACAAUACCGGUGACCCCCGAAACUUUCCCGGUGGCCGAAACUAGACUUCCUAUAUAUAAUUCUUCACCUCCGGACCAUUCCGGAACUCCUCGUGAUGUCCGGGAUCUCAUCCGAGACUCCGAACAACUUUCGGAUUUCCGCGUACUAAUAUCUCUACAACCCUAGCAUCACCGAACCUUAAGUGUGUAGACCCUACAGGUUCGGGAGACAUGCAGACAUGACAGAGACGACUCUCCGGUCAAUAACCAACAGCGGGAUCUGGAUACCCAUGUUGGCUCCCACAUGUUCCACGAUGAUCUCAUCGGAUGAACCACGAUGUUGAGGAUUCAAUCAAUCCCGUAUACAAUUCCCUUUGUCAAUCGGUGCGUUACUUGCCCGAGAUUCGAUCGUCGGUAUCCCAAUACCUUGUUCAAUCUCGUUACCGGCAAGUCACUUUACUCGUACCGUAAUGCAUGAUCCCGUCACCAAACACUUGGUCACAUUGAGCUCAUUAUGAUGAUGCAUUACCGAGUGGGCCCAGAGAUACCUCUCCGUCAUACGGAGUGACAAAUCCCAGUCUCGAUUCGUGCCAACCCAACAGACACUUUCGGAGAUACCCGUAGUGCACCUUUAUAGCCACCCAGUUACGUUGUGACGUUUGGCACACCCAAAGCACUCCUAUGGUAUCUGGGAGUUGCACAAUCUCAUGGUCUAAGGAAAUGAUACUUGACAUUUGGAAAAGCUCUAGCAAACGAACUAGACGAUCUUGUGCUAUGCUUAGGAUUGUGUCUUGUCCAUCACAUCAUUCUCCUAAUGAUGUGAUCCCGUUAUCAAUGACAUCCAAUGUCCAUAGUCAGGAAACCAUGACUAUCUGUUGAUCAACGAGCUAGUCAACUAGAGGCUCACUAGGGACAUGUUGUGGUCUAUGUAUUCACACAUGUAUUACGAUUUCCGGAUAACACAAUUAUAGCAUGAACAAUAGACAAUUAUCAUGAACAAGGAAAUAUAAUAAUAACCAUUUUAUUAUUGCCUCUAGGGCAUAUUUCCAACAGUACCGGGAUGUGAAAUGAAUCAAGAGUGACAUGUAUGAAAGAAUUAUGAAUGGUGGCUUUGCCACAAAUACGAUGUCAACUACAUGAUCAUGCAUAGCAAUAUGACAAUGAUGAAGUGUGACAUAAUAAACGAAACGGUGAAAAGUUGCAUGGGAAUAUACCUCGGAAUGGCUCUGAAAAUGCCAUGAUAGGUAGGUAUGGUGGCUGUUUUUAGGAAGAUAAAAGGAGGCUUAUGUGUGAUAGAGCGUAUCGUAUCACGGCGUUUGGAUGCACCGGCGAAGUUUGCACCAACUCUCAAGGUGAGAAAGGGCAAUGCACGGUACCGAAGAGGCUAGCAAUGAUGGAAAGGUGAGAGUGUGUAUAACCCAUGGACUCAACAUUAGUCAUAAAGAACUCACAUACUUAUUGCAAAAAUCUACAAGUCAUCAAAAACCAAGCACUACGCGCACUCCUAGGGGGAUAGAUUGGUAGGAAAAGACCAUCGCUCGUCCCCGACUGCCACUCAUAAGGAAGACAAUCAAAUAAACAUCUCAUGCUUCAAAUUUUUUACACAACGGUUACCAUACGUGCAUGCUAUGGGACAUGCAAACCACAACACAAGUAUCACACAAUUUUUUGAAAUACUGUGUUCCCCACUAGUGGCACCCGAGCCAGGUCUAUGCGUAGAUGUUAUAUGCACGAGUAGAACACAAUAAUUUGUGGGCGAUAAUAGUCAUACUGCUUACCACCAACGUCUUACUUUGAUUCGGCGGUAUUGUUGGAUGAAGCGGCCCGGACCGACAUUACAUGACCGCGUUCAUGAGACUGGUUCUACCGACAUGCUUCGCACACAGGUGGCUAGCGGGUGUCACUUUCUCCAACUUUAAUUGAAUCGAGUUUGACUACGGCCGGUCCUUGUUGAAGGUUAAAAUAGCACACUUGACGAAAAAUUGUUGUGCUUUUGAUGCGUAGGGAAGAACGGUUCUGACUAGAAGCCCGUAGCAGCCACGUAAAACUUGUAACAACAAAGUAGAGGACGUCUAACUUGUUUUUGCAGGGCAUGUUGUGAUGUGAUAUGGUCAAGACGUGAUGAGAGAUAAAUUGUUGUAUGAGAUGAUCAUGUUUUGUAACCGUUAUCGGCAACUGACAGGAGCCUUAUGGUUGUUGCUUUAUUGUAUGAAAUGCAAUCGCCAUGUAAUUGCUGUACUUUAUCACUAAGCGGUAGCGAUAGUCGUAGACGCAAUAGUUGGCGAGAUGGCACCGAUGCUACGAUGGAGAUCAAGGUGUCUGAUACGUCCAUUUUGCAUCAUGUUUUUAUAUCGAUAUUUAUUGCAUUAUGGGAUGUUAUUACAUAUUAUGUUAUAAUACUUAUGCCUUUUCUCUCUUAUUUUACAAGGUUUACAUGCAGAGGGAGAAUGCCGGCAGUUGGAAUUCUGGGCUGGUAAAGGAGCAAAUAUUAGAGACCUAUUCUGCACAACUCUAGAAGUCCUGAAACUCCACGGAAGUUAUUUUUGGAAUAUAUUAAAAAUAUUGGGCGAAGAAAGCACCAGAGGGGGGCCACACCCUGUCCACGAGGGUGGGGGGCGCGCCUUACCCCCUGGGCGCGCCCCCUGCCUCGUGGGCCCCCUGACUGGCCUCCGGUGCCCAUCUUUGGCUAUAUGAAGUGUUUUUCACUUGAAAACAUAAAGAGGAAAGCUUUCGGGAUGAAGCGCUGCCGUCUCGAGGCGGAGCUUGAGCAGAACCAAUAUAGGGCUCCGGGGGAGCUGUUCUGCCGGGGAAACAUCCCUCCGGGAGGGGGAAAUCGUCACCAUCGUCAUCACUAAUCGAUCCUCUCAGUGGGAGGGGGUCAAUAUCCACAACAUCUUCACCAGCACCAUCUCCUCUCAAACCCUAGUUCAUCUCUUGUAUCCAAUCUUUGUCUCAUAGCCUCAGAUUGGUACAUGUGGGUUGCUAGUAGUGUUGAUUACUCCUUGUAGUUGAUGCUAGUUGGUUUAUUAGGUGGAAGAUCAUAUGUUCAGAUCCAUUAUGCAUAUUAAUACCCCUCUGAUUAUGAACAUGAGCAUGAUUUGUGACUAGUUACGUUUGUUCCUGAGGACAUGGGAGAAGUCUUGCUAUAAGUAGUCAUGUGAAUUUGGUAUUCGUUCGAUAUUUUGAUGAGAUGUAUGUUGUCUUUCCUCUAGUGGUGUUAUGUGAACGCCGACUACAUGACACUUCACCAUUGUUUGGGCCUAGAGGAAGGCAUUGGGAAGUAAUAAGUAGAUAAUGGGUUGCUAGAGUGACAGAAGCUUAAACCCUAGUUUAUGCGUCGCUUCGUAAGGGGCUGAUUUGGAUCCACAUGUUUCAUGCUAUGGUUAGGUUUACCUUAAUACUUCUUUUGUAGGUGCGGAUGCUUGCAAUAGGGGUUAAUCAUAAGUGGGAUGCUUGUCCAAGGAAGGGCAGCACCCAAGCACCGGUCCACCCACAUAUCAAAUUAUCAAAGUAAAGAACGCGAAUCAUAUGAGCGUGAUGUAAACUAGCUUGACGAUAAUUCCCAUGUGUCCUCGGGAGCGUUUUCCUUCAUAUAAGAGUUUGUCCAGGCUUUUCCUUUGCUAGAAAAAGGAUUGGGCCACCUUGCUGCACUUUAUUUACACUUGUUACUUGUUACCCGUUACAACUUAUCCCAUCACAAAACUAUCUGUUACCGAUAAUUUCAGUGCUUGCAGGGAAUACCUUACUGAAAACCGCUUGUCAUUUCCUUCUACUCUUCGUUGGGUUCCACACUCUUACUUAUCGAAAGGACUACGAUAGAUACCCUAUACUUGUGGGCAUCAAGACUCUUUUCUGGCGCCGUUGCCGGGGAGUGAAGCGCCUUUGGUAAGUGGAAUUUGGUAAGGAAAAAUUUAUAUAGUGUCCUGAAAUUUACUGUCACUUGUUACUAUGGAAAGUAAUCCUUUGAGGGGCUUGUUCGGGGUAUCUUCACCCCGACCAGUAGAGCAAAGAGUCGCUCCUCAACCUACUGAACCUACUGAAUUUUUUUACUUUCAAAUUCCUUCGGGUAUGAUAGAUAAACUGCUAGCUAAUCCUUUUACAGGAGAUGGGACAUUACAUCCCGAUUUGCACCUAAUCUAUGUGGAUGAAGUUUGUGGAUUAUUUAAGCUUGCAGGUAUGCCCGAGGAUGUUAUCAAGAAGAAGGUCUUCCCUUUAUCUUUGAAGGGAAAGGCAUUGACAUGGUUUAGGCUAUGUGAUGAUAUGGGAUCAUGGAACUACAACCGAUUGAAAUUGGAAUUUUAUCAGGAGUUUUAUCCUAUGCAUCUUGUUCAUCGUGAUCGUAAUUAUAUAUAUAAUUUUUGGCCUCGCGAAAGAGAAAGCAUCACUCAAGCUUGGGGGAGGCUUAAGUCAAUGUUAUAUUCAUGCCCCAAUCAUGAGCUCUCAAGAGAAAUUAUUGUUCAAAAUUUUUAUGCUCGGCUUUCCCUCAAUAAUCGCUCCAUGCUCGAUACUGUACUGGUUCUUUUAUGAUGAAGACUAUUGAAUUCAAAUAGGAUUUAUUGGAAAGAAUUAAACGCAACUCUGAAGAUUGGGAUCUCUACGAAGGUCAGGAGUCAGGUAUAACACCUAAGUUUGAUUGUGUUAAAUCUUUUGUGGAUAUCGAUGUUUUUCGUGAAUUUAGCACUAAAUAUGGACUUGACUCUGAGAUAGUAGCUUCUUUCUGUGAAUCCUUUGCUACUCAUGUUGAUCUCCCUAAGGAGAAGUGGUUUAAAUAUCAUCCUCCCACUGAAGUAAAAGUAGUUGAGCCUAUUAAAGUAGAAGAAAAGACUAUUACUUAUAAUGUUGAUCCUAUUGUUCCUACCGCUUAUAUUGAGAAACCAACUUUUCCUGUUAGAAUAAAGGAUCAUGCUAAAGCUUCAACUGUGGUCAACAAAAGUUGAACCUAGUAUUGCUAUGGUUAAAGAUCUCUUGGUUGAUAAUAUUGAUGUGCAUGUUAUUUAUUUCUGUGAUGAAGCUGCUAGAAUUGCUAAACCCGAUGCUAGAGAUAAACAUAGACCUGUUGUUGGCAUGCCUGUUGUUUCUGUUAAAAUAGGAGAUCACUGUUAUGAUGGCUUAUGUGAUAUGGGUGCCAGUGUCAGUGCAAUACCUUACACCCAAUAUAAAGAAAUUAUGCAUGAUAUUGCACCUGCUGAGAUAGAAGAUAUUGAUGUUACUAUUAAGCUUGCCAAUAGAGAUACUGUCUCACCGGUUGGAAUUGUUAGAGAUGUAGAAGCCUUAUGUGGGAAAAUUAAAUAUCCUACUGAUUUUCUUGUUCUUGCUUCCCCACAAGAUAAAUUUUGUCCCAUUAAAUUUGGUAGACCCUUGUUGAAUAUUGUUAAUGCUAUUGUUACUGUUGGAUUAGGGGAUAUGUCUCCUGAUUUUAAUUUUGCUAAAUUCCGUAGACAACCCAAUGAUAAAGAAUUGCCUAGUAAAGAUGAAAUUAUUUGUCUUGCUUCUAUUGCCAUGCCUCCUAAUGAUUGUUUAGAACAAUAUUUUCUAGACCAUGAAAAUGAUAUGUUUAUGAAUGAAAGAAGGGAAAUAGAUGAAAUAUUCUUUAAACAGGGAGCCAUUUUGAAACACAACUUGCCUGUUGAAAUCCUAGGGGAUCCUCCUCCACCCAAGGGUGAUCCCGUGUUUGAACUUAAACCAUUACCAGAUACUCUUAAAUAUGCUUAUCUUGAUGAAAAGAAGAUAUAUCCUGUUAUUAUUAGUGCUAAUUAACCUUUCAGAGCAGGAAGAGGAGAAAUUAUUGAAAACUCUGAAGAAGCACUGUGCUGCUAUUGGAUAUACUCUUGAUGAUCUUAAGGGCAUUAGUCCCACUCUAUGCCAACACAAAAUUAAAUUGGAGAAAGACGCUAAACCGGUUGUUGAUCACCAACGACGGUUAAAUCCUCAGAUGAAAAAGUGGUAUGAAAUGAAAUACUAAAGCUCCUGGAGGCAGGCAUAAUUUAUCCUGUUGCUGAUAGUCAGUGGGUAAGUCUUGUCCAUUGUGUCCCUAAGUAGCGAGGUAUUACCGUUGUUCCUAACGAUAAAGAUGAAUUGAUCCCACAAAGAAUUGUUACUGGUUAUAGGAUGGUAAUUGAUUUCUGCAAAUUAAAUAAGGCCACUAAAAAGCACCAUUACCCCAUACCUUUUAUUGAUCAAAUGCUAGAAAUAUUAUCCAAACAUACACAUUUUUGCUUUGUAGAUGGUUAUUCUGGUUUCUCUCAAAUACCUGUGUCAAAAGAGGACCAAGAAAAGACCAGUUUUACUUGCCCUUUCGGUACCUUUGCUUAUAGACGUAUGCCUUUUGGUUUAUGCAAUGCACCUGCUACCUUUCAAAGAUGCAUGAUGGCUAUAUUCUCUGAUUUUUGUGAAAAGAUUGUUGAGGUUUUCAUGGAUGAUUUCUCCGUAUACGGAACUUCUUUUGAUGAUUGCUUGAGCAACCUUGAUCGAGUUUUGCAGAGAUGUGAAGAAACUAGUCUUGUCUUGAAUUGGGAGAAGUGCCACUUUAUGGUUAAUGAAGGUAUUGUCUCGGGGCAUAAAGUCUCUGAAAGUGGUAUUGAAGUUGAUAAAGCUAAAGUUGAUGCUAUAUAUUGAAAAGAUGUCGUGUCCCAAGGACAUCAAAGGUAUAAGAAGUUUCCUUGGUCAUGUCGGUUUUUAUAGGAGGUUCAUUAAAGAGUUCUCAAAAAUUUCUAGGCCUCUGACUAAUAUCUUACAAAAAGAUGUUCCUUUUGUCUUGGAUGAUGAUUGUGUAGAAGCAUUUUAAAUCCUUAAGAAAGCUUUGAUUUCUGCACCUAUUGUUCAGCCACCUGAUUGGAAUUUACCAUUUGAAAUUAUGUGUGAUGCUAGUGAUUAUGCUAUAGGUGCUGUUCUAGGACAAAGAGUUGAUAAUAAAUUAAAUGUUAUUCAAUAUGCUAGUAAAAUUCUAGACAGUGUCCAGAGAAAUUAUGCUACUAUUGAAAAAGAAUUUUUAGCAGUCGUAUUUGCUUGUGAUAAGUUUAGACCUUAUAUUGUUGAUUCUAAAGUAACUGUUCACACCGAUCAUGCUGCUAUUAAAUAUCUCAUGGAAAAGAAAGAUGCUAAACCUAGACUUAUUAGAUGGGUUCUCUUGCUACAAGAAUUUGAUUUGCAUUUUAUUGAUAGAAAGGGAGCUGAGAACCCCAUUGCAGACAACUUGUCUAGGUUAGAGAAUGUUCUUGAUGACCCACUACCUAUAAAUGAUAGUUUUCCUGAUGAACAAUUAGCUUUCAUAAAUGCUUCUGGUACUGCUCCAUGGUAUGCUGAUUAUGCUAAUUACAUUGUUGCUAAAUUUAUACCACCUAGCUUUACAUAUCAGCAAAAGAAAAAGUUUUUCUAUGAUUUAAGAAAUUACUUCUGGGAUGACCCACACCUUUAUAAAGGAGUGGAUGGUGUUAUUAGACAUUGUGUACCUGAGCAUGAACAUGAACAGAUCCUACGCAAGUGUCACUCCGAGGCUUAUGGAGGACACCACGCUGGAGAUAGAACUGCACGCAAGGUAUUACAAUCCGGUUUUCAUUGGCCUACUCUCUUCAAAGAUGCCCGUAUGUUUGUCUUGUCUUGUGAUGAAUGUCAAAGAAUUGGUAAUAUUAGUAGACGUCAAGAAAUGCCUAUGAAUUAUUCACUUGUUAUUGAACCAUUUGAUGUUUGUGGCUUUGAUUAUAUGGACCGUUUCCUUCCUCUAACGGGUAUAAAAAUAUUUUAGUUGUUGUUGAUUACGUUACUAAGUGGGUAGAAGCUAUUCCAACUAGUACUGCUGAUCAUAACACUUCUAUUAAGAUGCUUAAAGAAGUUAUUUUUCCGAGGUUUGGAGUCCCUACAUAUUUAAUGACUGAUGGUGGUUCACAUUUUAUUUAUGGUGCUUUUCGUAAAAUGCUUGCUAAGUAUGACGUUAAUCAUAGAAUUGCAUCUCCAUACCACCCGCAGUCUAGUGGUCAAGUAGAAUUGAGUAAUAGAGCGAUUAAACUAAUUUUGCACAAGACUGUUAAUAGAUCUAGAAAGAAUUGGUCCAAGAAACUUGAUGAUGCAUUAUGGGCCUAUAGAACUGCAUAAGAUGGUUUAUCGAAAAGCAUGUCACUUACCUCUCGAACUAGAACAUAAGGCAUACUGGGCCAUUAAAGAGCUCAAUUAUGAUUUCAAACUUGCCGGUGAAAAGAGAUUAGACAUUAACUCACUUGAUGAAUGGAGAACCCAAGCCUAUGAGAAUGCCAAGCUGUUUAAAGAAAAAGUUAAAAGAUGGCAUGACAAAAGGAUACAAAAGCGUGAGUUUAAUAUAGGUGAUUAUGUGUUGCUAUACAACUCUCCUUUAAAAUUUUUUGAAGGAAAACUUCUCUCUAAAUGGGAAGGUCCUUACGUUAUCGAGGAGGUCUAUCAUUCCGGUGCCAUAAAAAUCAACAACUUCGAAAGCAAAAAUCCGAAGGUGGUGAACGGUCAAAGAAUCAAGCAUUAUAUCUCAGGUAAUCCCAUAAAUGUUGAAACUAAUGUUAUUGAAACCGGAACUCCGGAGGAGUGCAUAAGGGACACUUUCCAGAAUGUUUCAGACUCCGAAAAGGAAUAGGUAUGUGGUACGGUAAGUAAACCGACUCCAAAACAGUUCUAAUAGCAAUUUUUCUCCGUUUUGGAAUAUUUAAGAAAAUAGGAAAAUAAGAAGUAGUCCGAGAAGGACACAGGGCAUCCACGAGGGUGGAGGGCGCGCCCCCUGCCUCGUGGGCACCCUGUGCACUCUCCGGACUCCGUUUUCUUGCACGAUACUUCUUUUGGUCGGUAAAAAUUCAUUAUAUAAUCUCCUGGAGGUUUUGACCACCGUAUCGUGGAAAAAGCCUCUGUUCUUGUUUCGAGCUAUUUUCUGCCAGAGUUGUCAAGGCCAGGUAUCAUGUCGUCACCCUCCUCCAACAAUGAGGGCAACGAUGCGUGGCUAAUGAAGAUAGAUCUGAAGAGAGAAGAACCCCGGGAGAUCAACAAGGAUGAUAGGAUCAAGAGGGCAAUGGAGGAUCAAGCUCCGGCAGCAGAAGAAGAAGACAUCCUUCAACCCCAUCACAAUAUUCUCACCCCAACUGACAUUGAAGCUUUCAAGAUGAUUGAGUUAGCUCGCAAACAAAACAAGUAUCUCACAUGUGAAAAUAUUUUGUUGAAGGAGCAUAUCACCGCACUCAAGGGCAUUAUCCGCAAAUUGGAGGAUCUCCUACGCUCGAUGUGCGAUUAUCCAUCAUCACCACCAUCUUCUUCACCAGCAAAGGAGAAUUGAGUACAUGGGUAUGGGCACUCCCCUUGGCAACUGCCAAGCUUGGGGGAGGUGCCCCGGUAUCGUAUCACCAUCACACUUCCAUCUUUAUCAUUUUUCUUAGUUCAAUCUUUUGGCAUUAUCUUGAUCUAGUAGAACAAAGUUUUAGUAUGAUUUAGUUUUGAGUUUUGCUUUAGGAUCCUUCUAUGUAAUCGAGUCCGUGAGCUAUAUACACUAGUGCAGAACUGGGCUUUAGUCCCGGUUCGUAAUGGCCUUUAGUGUCGGUUCCGUAACCGGCACUAAAGGGUGGGGACUAAAGGUCCCCUCCCUUUAGUACCGGUUCGGCACGAACCGGCGCUAAAGUGCCACCACGUGGCACGAGCCAGGCCCGGGUCCAGGUAGACCAUUAGUACCGGUUGGUAACACCAAUCGGUACUAAAUGUUUGGGGGGGGGGUUUGGUUUUAUUUUUUAUUUUUCCUUUCAUUUUGUGUUUUCAAUUUAAUUUAGUGAAUGUUUUACAUUAUAAUGAGUUGUUAAAUCAUUAGGUGAAAGUACCGCAGAUUAGUUUCGACUGGAUGCAUGUGGAUCCUAGCUAAGUGAUCAAGUAUAUGCCAUAUCUAUAUUACUUGAGGUGAUCAAGUAAUAUGGAUAUGGCAUAUACAUGAUCACUUAGCUAGAAUCCAUCGAGUUGAAACUGAUCUGCGGUUUCUUUUAUAAAUGAUAUAAUAACUCAUCAUCAUCAUUAUCAUCAUCAUCAUCAUAUUAACAUAAAAACUCUUGCAUCAUAUCAUCACCAACAACAGUAUACUAGCUAGCUAAAAAUCAUCAUAGUCGUCAUUACCACUAUUUAAUCAUCAUAGUCAUUACCGCUGUCUAAUCACCACCAGCACUAGCUUAAAGAAGAAACAUUUACUUGUACCAGAAGCAAAGAUAUCAUCGAGUUCAACAUGGUCAUGAUAUUAUAUGCGUUCAUAACACCACAAAAGAAAUCACUCUUUGAGAUUAAGUUCAGGACGAAGGACACGGACAUGAGAGGACAAGUACUAAGAGCAUGAACUAGCUAAUCACUCAUGCUGCUCUCUCUCAAGUAAAAUAGCAUAGAACAUGUAUAGCUCCCCUGAUUCAUCAUAUUGGAGCAUGCAGAUGAACCUGUCUCCUAAUCGUGGGCUGCGCUUUUGAUUGCUGCCCCCUAGUACUUCUCUGCGAUCGUUAACAAUUUUGCUCCAAUCUUCCACUGUUAAGCAUUCAUCGCUUUUAGAAAUCCUUAAUGCACUCAUGUGCAAUGUAGGAAGUCUUGGCCGUAAGCUAACCAUUGACAUGCGACCUUUAGUCUCGAUCCAUUGAGGCACAACUGUCAUCGGGAGUCCCUGUUGAAGAACAUCAUAUAGUAAUUAAUAUACUUAGCAAUGAAAGUUUAGCUUGAAAAAUAAUGUAUGCAAAAGAUGCACUGAGGACAAUAGUAAAACUCUUACUAUCCUUCCUAAAUAGAUGUGAUCGUAGUUUAAUACGAUCACUAUUGGUCGCACGUUUUGAGUACUAAGAUUUUCAAAUUCAGGAAAAUAAUUUCUCUUGACAGCAUCAAGAUCCUCAAGCCAUGAAACAUAAUGACUUAUCUCCUCGCAGUUUAGUUCAGCCCCGGGACAGUGGACGGUCCUGUCUACCAAGCGCCGAACAUGUUUGCUUGAAUGGAAAUAAGCUGUCAAUAGAAAUUAGUUGUCAACUAUUUUUGAAUAAACAAUAUCGAAGACAUAAAUAUGGUUGAGAAACUCACAUAAUGGUAGAACUGGAGGCGUCUGCACAUUGACCCAGAUGUCUCUAUUACCUUCAAUAUCAUCUUCCGGAGGAAUAUCAAAGGUGAUAACCAUAUGAGGCUCAAAUGCAUAAGCCUUGCAUAGUGCUUGCCAAGUUCUGCAUUCAAAAUAGGUGUAUGUGUCUGCAUUGUAUAAUUUGACGUUGAAAGUAUAACCAUGCUUGGUCUUCAGGUAAACUCUCUUUACCUCCAUAGUUUCCAUAGCACUGAAACCUAUCUUAUCCAAGACAAAUAUUCUUGCAUGGCAGGGGAUGCGCUAGUAGAAUAGUGAAAAUUUAAAAUUAUAAGUUGAAGCAAAUGAAGCAUAAGUCAUGCUUAAUUACGAAAAAAGACAUGUCGUUGUGACUUACUGUAUUCACUUCGAAGGUCUCAUCCAACUUGAUGCUGAAACGCCUAUCAUCAACAAGGAAAUUUCUGUCGCACAGGCCGCGCUGGUCUUCACAGUAUUCGCCCAUAAUGAAAUCUUUUUCUUCUUCAGAUGACAUUUCCUAUGUUCAUAUAGGUGAAACAUUAAACACUUACUAGUUCUAUUAAUUGAACUAAUUGAACUAGUUCUAUUAAUUCAACUAAUUCAACUAAGCAUUUACUAAAAAUAAACUAGUUCUAUUAAUUUUCUUACUAAAAUAAAGUAGCUAGUUCCAUAUAGUAAUAUUUUAAUUAGAUCAUCAAAUCUCAGAUACCUAAAUUUUCUUACUAAAAAUAAACUAGUUCUAUUAAUUUUCUUACUAAAAAUAAACUAGUUAUAUAUAUUAAUUCAACUAGUUCAAAUCUAAUUCGAUCUAACAUUCUAACAUUCUAACAUUCUUAUCUAGGUAAUUCAUCUAAUUCGAUCAUCUAAUUAAUAAUUUGACAUGCAUUAAUCUAAAAAAUAGAAAACAGAAAAUAAGUAAAAAAAUGUGUGUGUAGGAGCGGGGGUGGCGGCGUACGGGGCAACGGCGACGACGGGGACAGCGACGACGGGCGGCGGGGGCGGCGAGGGCGAGACAGCGCGCGAUGGGCGACGGCGCGGCGGCGGCGGCGACGUCGCGAAGCAGUUGGAGAAGAAGUGGGUAGAUGAAACUGAAUUUUUCGUAAGUGCUAUAUAUAUAGGAGGGGCCUUUAGUACCGGUUGGAGCCACCAACCGGUACUAAAGGCCAAUUUUGGCCAGGCCAAGCGGCGGGAAGCGGCCCCCUUUAGUACCGAUUGGAGCCACGACCCGGUACUAAAGGGUUGCACGCUGCCAGGCGAGGGACGCAGAUGUUUAGUCCCACCUCGCUAGCCGAGGGGAGCUCGAACCAGCUUAUAAGCGCCGUUGCCGCUGCUGUCUCGAGCUCCUCUCUAAAGCAGGCCUUCUGGGCCUAUCUCUGCUGCGAUGCCCUGUUGGGCCUAUUGGGCUAGCGGGCCUGCAUCCUGGCCCAACUAGAAUUUGGGUUUGUAGUCGUAUGCAGGCCGCUGUGGCCAAGUAGGUGGGCUUUUUUCAUUUAGUUUUUUUCAUUUUUUUUCCUUUUCUGCUUUAUUUAUUUUGUUUUAUUUAUUUUUAGUUGUUUUUUGCUGUAUUUAGAGUUUCUUUGUGAAUAUUUUUGCUUUAGGUACAAAAAAUUACAAACUUUCUGAUAGUGCCGGUAGUUUUCAAAUUUGAAUAGUUUAAAUUUUGAAUUAUUUGAAAUUUGUGUGAAUCACUAGUUUGUGAAUAACUUAACUUUAAAGAUAUAUUUUUCAGUGAUUCUUUUUCUUAUGUUUAAUAUUAGUGUGUUUUAUCAUUAUAUUCAAUUUGGUAAUACUUAGGUUAUUUAAAAAAUGAAAUGCCUUUGUAACAAAUGAGUUUUCGUCCGAAACCCUGAUACUUCGAAAGAGAUUGUCCAUUUUGUACACGAAGUGCAUCCAGUUUUUGCCGUAACCUUCUCUACUUUUUUGCACAUGCUAUGUGGGUGAAAUUAUGAUACCAUGCCAACUUUCAACCUUUUCGGAGUUCAUUUGAAGUGUUUUUCAAUUUCAGGGUCAUUUAGCUCAAAACAAAUUAGUAAAUGCAAUAAAAUAGCAAAUUAUGUCACAAAGGGUUGAAAGUUGAUGACGUGGGUUUGAAUUGUGCAUGCUGAACGCAAAAAAGUCCGGAGUUGUAAUAAGUUAUUAAAAUUUUGAAGUGCCGGUGUAACAGAUCAGUUUUCGUCCGAAAGCCUGAUACUUCGAAAGAGAUUGUCCAGUUUGUACACGAAGUGCAUCCAGUUUUUGCCGUAACCCUCUCUACUUUUUUGCACACGCUAUGCGGGUGAAAUGAUGAUACCAUGCCAAGUUUCAAUCUUUUCAGAGUUCAUUUGUAGUGCUUUUCAAUUUCAGGGCCAUUUAGCUCAAAACAAAUCAGUAAAUGCAUUAAAAAUAGCAAAUUAUGUCAGAAAGGGUUGAAGGUUGAUGAUGUGGCAUUGAAUUAUGCAUGCUGAACGCAAAAAAGUCCAUAGUUGUAAUAAGUUAUUAAAAUUUUGAAGUGCCGGUGUUAGAGAUGAGUUUUCAUCCGAAACCCUGAUACUUUGAAAGAGAUUGUCCCGUUUGUACAUGAAGUGCAUCCAGUUUUUUCCGUAACCCUCUCUACUUUUUUGCACAUGCUAUGUGGGUGAAAUGAUGAUACCAUGCCAAGUUUCAACCUUUUCUGAGUUCAUUUGUAGUGCUUUUCAAUUUCAGGGUCAUUUAGCUAAAAAACAAAUCUGUAAAAGCAUGAAAAAUAGCAAAUGAAGGCACAAAGGGUUGAAACUUGAUGACGUGGCAUUGAAUGGUACACAAUGACCGCAAAAAAAGUCUGGAGGUGUAAUGAGUUUUAAAAAAUAAGUGCCUUUGUAACAGAUGAGGUUUCGUCCGCAACCCUGAUACUUCGAAAGAGAGUGUGCAGUUUGUACACGAAGUGCAUCCAGUUUUGGUCGUAACCCUCUGUACUUUUUUGCACAUGCUAUGUGGGUGAAAUUAUGAUACCAUGCCAAGUUUCAACAUUUUCAGGGUUCAUUUGUAGUGCUUUUCCAUUUCAGGGUCAUUUAGCUCGAAACAAAUCAGUAAAUGCAUGAAAAAUAGAAAAUGAAGGCACAAAAUGUCCGGAGUUAAUAUAAGUUAUUAAAAGGCGUAAUGCUCACCUGCAUGUUGCUUAUCUUCAGGCCUUGAGGAAGUAGUGUAGACUGCACGGAGCAAACUACAGCAGUUUGCUCCGUGCAGUUUGCUCCGUGCAGUCUACACUACUUCCUCAAGGCCUGAAGCUAAACAACGUGCAGGUGAGCAUUGCGCUUCUCCUUCAUCGUCUAUGCACUCAGGACUUAUAAACCACUGGGAGUGCCUCUUGCUUGGCGAUGUGGGACUAAAAAACAGCUGGAAAAGGAAUCAACUAAAAAACCCUAGUACCGGUUCAUGCCACGAAUCGGUACUGAAGGUGCUGGUGGGGCCACAACCUCUUUAGUAUCGGUUCGUGGCACCAACCGGUACUAAUGGUUAGACACGAACCGGUACUAAUGAGCUCCGCCCGCCUAGCUGUUGGAACCGACACUAAUGGUAACAUUUGUGCCGGUUUUGUUACAAACCGGGAGUAAUGUGCUUCACAUUUGACCCCUUUUCCACUAGUGAUAUAAUAAAGAUUAGUUUUGAGUCAAGGGCUUCAUUAUUUUUCUAUGAUCUAGAGGUAAUAAAAAGAAAAAGUAAAAAGAAAUAAAAAGGAUCAUAUUGAUCUUAUGGAGAGUGAUGACUUCACAUAUAAAGAGUAUGAUGAAUAAACGUUGUUGAGAGUUGACAAACAUAGUUUUGGUCAUCAUUGCAAUUAAUAGGAAGUAAUAAAGAAAGAGAGGUCUUCACAUAUAGAUACACUAUCUUGGACAUCUUCUAUGAUUGUGAACACUCAUUAAAAUAUGAUAUGCUAAAGAGUUGAUGUUGGACAAGGAAGACAAUGUAAUGGGUUAUGCUUUCUUAUAUCCGAAAUAAAGUAUAUUGUCAUGGAUCAUCCAACAUGUUGAGCUUGCCUAUCCCUCUCAUGCUAUCCAAAUUCUUUGCACCAAGUAGAGAUACUACUUGUGCUUCCAAAUAUCCUUAAACACAGUUUUGCCAUGAGAGUCCACCAUAUAUCUACCUAUGGAUUGAGUAAGAUCCUUCAAGCAAGUUGUCAUUAUUGCAAAUCGCUCUUAAAAUAUGUAUGAUCUAUUAGUUUGGAGAAAAUAAGCUUUAUACGAUCUUGUGAUAUGGAAGAAAUAAAAGCGACGGACCGCAUAAUAAAGGUCCCUAUCACAAGUGGCAUUAUAAAGUGACAUUCUUUCACAUUAAGAUUUUGUGCAUCCAACCAUAAAAGCACAUGACAACCUCUGCUUCCCUUUGCGAAGGGCCUAUCUUUUAUUUUUCUUAUACCUCGUACAAGAGUCAUGGUGAUCUUUACCUUUCCUUUUUGCAUUUUAUCAUUUGGCAAGCACGAUGUGUUGGAAGGAUCCUGAUAUAUAUAUAUAUAUAUAUAUAUAUAUAUAUAUCCAAUUGGAUGUGGGUUUUCAUAAAGCAUUAUUGUUGACAUUACCCUUGAGCUAAAAGGCUGGGAGGCGAAACUAUAAGCCCCUAUCUUUCUCUGUGUCCGAUUUAAACUUCAUACCCAUAAGUAUUGCGUGAGUAUUAGCAAUUGUGAAAUACUAAAUGAUAGUUGAAAUAUGUGGACUUGCUGAAAAGCUCUUAUAUUGACUCUUUCCGAUGUUAUGAUAAAUUGCAAUUGCUUCAAUGACUGAGAUCAUGGUUUGUUAGUUCUCAAUGAAGUUUCUGAUUCGUACUUUACAUUGUGAAUAGAUUGUUACUUCAACAUAAGAAAUCAUAUGACAAUAUUCAUAUAUGUUGUUGUUCUAAGAAUAAUCAUGAUUCCCUCAUGUCCGUAUUUUGUUUUAUCGACACCUCUAUCUUUAAACAUGUGGACAUAUUUUUCGAUAUCGGCUUCCGCUUGAGGACAAGCGAGGUCUAAGCUUGGGGGAGUUGAUACGUCCAUUUUGCAUCAUGCUUUUAUAUCGAUAUUUAUUGCAUUAUGGGCUGUUAUUACAUAUUAUGUUACAAUACUUAUGCCUUUUCUCUCUUAUUUUACAAGGUUUACAUGAAGAGGGAGAAUGUCGGCAGCUGGAAUUCUAGGCUGGUAAAGGAGCAAAUAUUAUAGACCUAUUCUGCACAACUCCAAAAGUCCUGAAACUCCACGGAAGUUAUUUUUGGAAUAUAUUAAAAAUAUUGGGCAAAGAAAACACCAGAGGGGGGCCACACCCUGUCCACGAGGAUGGGGGGCGCGCCCUACCCCCCUGGGCGCGCCCCCUGCCUCGUGGGCCCCCUGACUAGCCUCCGGUGCCCAUCUUUGGCUAUAUGAAGUGUUUUUCCCUAGAAAAAAUAAAGAGGAAGCUUUCGGGAUGAAGCACUGCCAUCUCGAGGCGGAGCUUGAGCAGAACCAAUAUAGGGCUCCGGCGGAGCUGUUCUGCUGGGGAAACAUCCCUCCGGGAGGGGGAAAUCGUCACCAUCUUCAUCACCAUCGAUCCUCUCAGCGGGAGGGGGUCAAUCUCCAUCGACAUCUUCACCUGCACCAUCUCCUCUCAAACACUACUUCAUCUGUUGUAUCCAAUCUUUGUCUCAUAGCCUCAGAUUGGUACCUGUGGGUUGCUAGUAGUGUUGAUUACUCCUUGUAGUUGAUGCUAGUUGGUUUAUUAGGUGGGAGAUCAUAUGUUCAGAUCCAUUAUGCAUAUUAAUACCCCUCUGAUUAUGAACAUGGGCAUGAUUUGUGAGUAGUUACGUUUGUUCCUGAGGACAUGGGAGAAGUCUUUCUAUAAGUAGUCAUGUGAAUUUGGUAUUUGUUCGAUAUUUUGAUGAGAUGUAGGCUGUCUUUCCUCUAGUGGUGUUAUGUGAACGUCGACUACAUGACACUUCACCAUUGUUUGGGCAUAGAGGAAGGCAUUGGGAAGUAAUAAGUAGAUGAUGGAUUGCUAGAGUGACAGAUGCUUAAACCCUAGUUUAUGCGUUGCUUCGUAAGGGGCUGAUUUGGAUCCAUAUGUUUUAUGCUAUGGUUAGGUUUACCUUAAUACUUCUUUUGUAGUUGCGAAUGCUUGCAAUAGGGGUUAAUAAUAAGUGGGACGAUGCUUGUCCAAGGAAGGGUAGCACCCAAGCACCGGUCCACCCACAUAUCAAAUUAUGAAAGUAACGAACGCGAAUCAUAUGAGCAUGAUGAAAACUAGCUUGACGAUAAUUCCCAUGUGUCCUCGGGAGCGUUUUCCUUCAUAUAAGAGUUUGUCCAGGCUUGUUCUUUGCUUCAAAAAGGAUUGGCCACCUGGCUGCACUUUAUUUACAGUUGUUACUUGUUACCCGUUACAACUAAUCCUAUCACAAAACUAUCUCUUACCGAUAAUUUCAGUGCUUGCAGAGAAUACCUUACUAAAAUCCGCUUGUCAUUUCCUUCUGCUCCUCGUUGGGUUCGACACUCUUACUUAUCGAAAGGACUACGAUAGAUCCCCUAUACUUUUGGUUCAUCAGUGUCAAGCCGGUGACGAUGGAGAUCAUGAUGGUGCUUUGGAGAUGGAGAUCAAAGGCACAAGAUGAUGAUGGCCAUAUCAUGUCACUUAUUUUGAUUGCAUGUGAUGUUUAUCCUUUAUGCUUCUUAUGUUGCUUAGUACGACGGUAGCAUUAUAAGAUGAUCCCUCACUAAAUUUCAAGGUAUAAGUGUUCUCCCUGAGUAUGCACCGUUACUACAGUUCGUCAUACCGAGACACCACAUGAUGAUCGGGUGUGAUAAGCUCUACGUUCACAUACAACGGGUGCAAGCCAGUUUUGCACACGCAGAAUACUCAGGUUAAACUUGACGAGCCUAGCAUAUGCAGAUAUGGCCUCAGAACACUGAGAUCGAAAGAUCGAACGUGAAUCGUAUUGUAGAUAUCAUCAACAUAGUGAUGUUCACCAUUGAAAACUACUUCAUCUCACGCGAUGAUCGGACAUGGUUUAGUUGAUAUGGAUCCCGUGAUCAUUUAGAUGACUCGAGGGAUGUCUAUCUAAGUGGGAGUUCUUAAGUAAUAUGAUUGAAUGAACUUUAAUUUAUCAUGAAUAGUACCUGGUAGUUUUUGCAUGUCUAUGUUGUUGUAGAUCAAUGGCCCGUGCUACCGUUCCUUUGAAUUUUAAUGCGUUCCUAGAGAAACUUUAGUUGAAAGAUGAUGGUAGCAACUACACGGACUGGGUCCAUAACUUGAGGAUUAUCCUCAUUGCUGCACAGAAGAAUUACAUCCUGGAAGCACCGCUAGGUGCAAGACCCGUUGCAGGAGCAACUCCAGACGUUAUGAACGUCUCGCAAAGCAAAGCUGAUGACUACUCGAUAGUUCAGUGUGCCAUGCUUUACGCCUUAGAAUCGGGAUUUGAACGACGUUUUAAACGUCAUGGAGCAUAUGAGAUGUUCCAGGAGUUGAAAUUAUUAUUUCAAGCAAACUCCCGAAGUGAGAGAUAUGAAGUCCCCAAUAAGUUCUAUAACUGCAAGAUGGAGGAGAAUAGUUCUGCCAGUGAACAUAUACUCAGAAUGUCUGGGUACCACAACCAUUUGACUCAACUGGGAGUUAAUAUUCUUGAUGAUAGUGUCAUUGACAGAGUUCUUCAAUCACUGCCACCAAGCUACAAAAGCUUUGUGAUGAACUAUAAUAUGCAAGGGAUGGAUAAGACAAUUCCCGAGCUCUUCGCGAUGCUAAAGGCUGCGGAGGUAGAAAUCAAGAAAGAGCAUCAAGUUUUGAUGGUUAACAAGACCACUAGUUUCAAGAAAAAGGGCAAAGAGAAGAAGGGGAACUUCAAGAAGAACGGCAAGCAAGUUGCUGCUCAAGUGAAGAAACCCAAGUCUGGACCUAAGCCUGAGACUGAGUGCUUCUACUGCAAAGGGACUGGCCACUCGAAGCGGAACUGCCCCAAGUAUUUGGCGGAUAAGAAGGAUGGCAAAGUGAAAGGUAUAUUUGAUAUACAUGUUAUUGAUGUGUACCUUACUAAUGCUCGUAGUAGUGCCUGGUUAUUUGAUACUUGUUCUGUUGCUCAUAUUUGCAACUCGAAACAGGGGCUACGGAUUAAACGAAGAUUGGAUAAGUACGAGGUGACGAUGCGCGUGGUAAAUGGUUCCAAAGUCGAUCUGAUCGCCGUCGGCACGCUACCUCUACAUCUAUCUUCGGGAUUAGUUUUAGACCGGAAUAAUUGUUAUUUGGUGCCAGCGUUAAGCAUGAACAUUAUAUCUGGAUCUUGUUUGAUGCGAGACGGUUAUUCAUUUAAAUCUGAGAAUAAUUGUUGUUCUAUUUAUAUGAGUAAUAUAUUUUAUGGUGAUGCAUCCUUGAUGAGUGGUCUAUUUUUGUUGAAUCUCGAUAGUAGUGAUACACAUAUUCAUAAUAUUGAAGCCAAAAGAUGCAAAGUUAAUAAUGAUAGUGCAACUUAUUUGUGGCACUGUGCUACCUCUUGAGCUUGUGUUGGUUUUUCCCUUGAAGAGGAAGGGUGAUGCAACAUAGUAGCGUAAGUAUUUCCCUCAGUUUUGAGAACCAAGGUAUCAAUCCAGUAGGGGACCAUACGCAAGUCGCCUCGUACCUACACAAACAAAUAAGAACCUUGCAACCAACGCGAUAAAGGGGCUGCCAGUCCCUUCACGGCCACUUGCAAGAGUGAGAUCUGAUAGAGAUAAUAUAAAUAUUUUGGGUAUUUUUAUGAUAUAGAUUGGAAAAUGAAGAUUGCAAAAUAAAAUAGAUUGGAAACUUAUAUGAUGGAAAAUAGACUCGGGGGCCAUAGGUUUCACUAGUGGCUUCUCUCAAAAUAGCAUAAUUUACGGUGGGUGAACGAAUUACUGUCGAGCAAUUGAUAGAAAAGCGAAUAAUUAUGAGAAUAUCUAGGCAUGAUCAUGUAUAUAGGCAUCCCGUCCGCGACAAGUAGACCGACUCCUGCCUGCAUCUACUACUAUUACUCCACACAUCGACCGCUAUCCAGCAUGCACCUAGAGUAUUAAGUUCAUAAGAACAGAGUAACGCAUUAAGCAAGAUGACAUGAUGUAGAGGGAUAAACUCAAGCAAUAUGAUUUAAACCCCAUCUUUUUAUCCUCGAUGGCAAAAAUACAAUACGUGCUUUGCUGCCCCUACUGUCACUGGGAAAGGACACCACAAGAUUGAACCCAAAGCUAAGCACUUCUCCCGUUGCAAAAAAGAUCAAUCUAGUAGGCCAAACCAAACUGAUAAUUCAAAGAGACUUGCAAAGAUAUUAAAUCAUACAUAUAAGAAUUCAGAGGAGAAUCAAAUAUUGUUCAUAGAUAAACUUGAUCAUAAACCCACAAUUCAUCGGAUCUCGACAAACACACCGCAAAAGAAGAUUACAUCGAAUAGAUCUCCAAGAGAAUCGAGGAGAACUUUGUAUUGAGAUCCAAAGAGAGAGAAGAAGCCAUCUAGCUAAUAACUAUGGACCCGAAGGUCUGAGGUAAACUACUCACACAUCAUCGGAGAGGCUAUGGUGUUGAUGUAGGGGCCCUCCGUGAUCGAUGCCCCCUCUGGCGUAGCGCCGGAAAAGGCCCGAAGAUGGGAUCUCACGGGUACAGAGAGUUGCGGCGGUGGAAAUAGGGUUUUGUGGUGCUCCUCGAUGUUUUCACGAGAUAUGAGUAUAUAUAGGCGAAAGAAGUCGGUCAGGAGAGCCCCAAGGGGCCAAUGAGGGUGGGGGGCGCGCCUCCCUACCUCAUGGCUUCCUCGUUUGUUUCUUGACGUCCACUCCAAGUCCUCUGGAUCACGUUUGUUCCAAAAAUCACAAUCCCGAAGUUUUCAUUUCGUUUGGAUUCCAUUUGAUAUUCCUUUUCUGCGAAACACUGAAAUAGGCAAAAAAACAGCAAUUUUGGCUGGGCCUCCGGUUAGUAGGUUAGUCCCAAAAAUAAUAUAAAAGUGUAUAAUAAAGCCCAUUAAACAUCCAAAACAGAUAAUAUAAUAGCAUGGAACAAUCAAAAAUUAUAAAUACGUUGGAGACGUAUCAGCAUCCCCAAGCUUAAUUCCUGCUCGUCCUUGAGUAGGUAAAUGAUAAAAACAGAGUUUUUGAUGUGGAAUGCUACCUAGCAUAUUUUCCAAUGUAAUUCUCUUUAUUGUGGCAUGAAUAUUCAGACCCGACAGAUUCAAGACAAAAGUUUAAUAUUGACAUAAAAAUAGUAAUACUUGAAGCAUGCUAACCAAGCAAUUACGUCUUAUCAAAAUAACAUAGCCAAAGAAAGCUUAUCCCUACAAAAUCAUAUAGUUAGGCCAUGCUUCAUUUUCGUCACACAAAAUGUUCUCAUCAUGCAUAACCCCGAUGACAAGCCGAGCAAUUGGUUCAUACUUUUUAAUGCGCUUCAGCCUUUUCAACCCUCACGCAGUACAUGAGCGCAAGCCAUGGAUAUAGCAUUAUGUAUGGAAUAGAGUAUGAUGAUAGGGGUUAUGUGAGAAGACAAAAAAGUAGAAAGUCUUACAAUGAUGCGGCUAAUUAACGGGCUAUGGGGAUGCCCAUCAAUUGAUUUCAAUGUAAGGAGUAGGGACUGUCAUGCAACGGAUGCACUAGAGCUAUAAAUAUAUGAAAGCUCAACAAAAGAAACUAAGUGGGUGUGCAUCCAACUUGCUUGCUCACGAAGACCUAGAGCAUUUUGAGGAAGCCCAUCAUUGGAAUAUACAAGCAAGUUAUAUAAUGAAAAAUUCCCACUAGUAUAUGAAAGUGACAAAAUAAGAGACUCUCUAUCAUGAAGAUCAUGGUGCUACUUUGAAGUACAAGUGUGGAAAAAGGAUAGUAACAUUGUACCUUCUAUCUUUUUCUCUCAUAUUUUUUUCUCUUUUUUCCCCUUUUUUUUGGGCCUUCUCUCUUUUUUAUGGCCUUUCUUUUCUAUUUUUUUCCUUUUUUAGUUUUCAUCCGGAGUCUCAUCCCGACUUGUGGGGGAAUCAUGGUCUCCAUCAUCCUUUCCUCACGUGGGACAAUGCUCUAAUAAUGAAAAUCAUCACACUUUUAUUUACUCACAACUCAUGAAUUAGAACUCGAUACUUAGAACAAAAUAUGACUCUAUAUGAAUGCCUCCGGCGGUGUACCGGGAUGUGCAAUGAAUCAAGAGCGACAUGUAUGAAAGAAUUACGAAUGGUGGCUUUGCCACAAAUACAAUGUCAACUACAUGAUCAUGCAAGCAAUAUGACAAUGAUGGAGCGUGUCAUAAUAAACGGGACGGUGGAAAGUUGCAUGACAAUAUAUCUCGGAAUGGCUAUGGAAAUGCCAUAAUAGGUAGGUAUGGUGGCUGUUUGGAGGAAGAUAUAAGGAGGUUUAUGUGUGAUAGAGCGUAUCAUAUCACGGGGUUUGGAUGCACCGGCGAAGUUUGCACCAACUCUCAAGGUGAGAAAGGGCAAUGCACGGUACCGUAGAGGCUAGCAAAUUGCGGAAGCGUAAGAGUGCGUAUAAUCCAUGGACUCACAUUAGUCAUAAAGAACUCAUAUACUUAUUGCAAAAGUUUAUUAGCCCUCGAAGCAAAGUACUACUACGCAUGCCCCUAGAGGGAUAGAUUGGUAGGAAAAGACCAUCGCUCGUCCCCAACCGCCACUCAUAAGUAAAAGAACACCUUAUGCUUCAAAUUUGUCACACAACGUUUACCAUACGUGCAUGCUACGGAACUCGCAAACCUCAACACAAGUAUUUCUAAAUUUCAAAAUUACUCAACUAGCAGAACUCUAAUAUUACCACCUUUAUAUCUCAAAACAAUUAUCAAGUAUCAAACUUCUCAUGAUAUUCAAUGAACUUAAUAUGGAAGUUUUUAUUAUACCCAUCUUGGAUACAUAUCAUAUUAGGACAAAUAUCAUAAUUAAAGCAAAUUACCAUGUUGUUUAAGACUCUCAAAAUAAUAUAAGUGAAGCAUGAGAGAUCAAUAAUUUCUAUAAAAUAAAACCACCACCGUGCUCUAAAAAGAUAUAAGUGAAGCACUAGAGCAAAUUUUAACGAGCUCAAAAGAUAUAAGUGAAGCACAUAGAGUAUUCUAAUAAAUUCCGAUUCAUGAGUGUCUCUCAAGAAAGUGUAUUCAGCAAGGAUGAUUGUGGUAAACUAAAAAGCAAAGACUCAAAUCAUACAAGAUGCUCCAAGCAAAACACAUAUCAUGUGGUGAAUAAAAAUAUAGCCUCAAGUAAAGUUACCGAUGGACGAAGAUGAAAGAGGGGAUGCCUUCCGGGGCAUCCCCAAGCUUAGGCUUUUGGUUGUCCUUGAAUUUUACAUUGGGGUGCCUUGGGCAUCCCCAAGCUCAGGCUCUUGCCAUUCCUUAUUCCAUAAUCCAUCAAAUCUUACCCAAAAACUUGAAAACUUCACAACACAAAACUCAAACAGAAGAUCUCAUGAGCUCCUUUAGUAUAAGAAAACAAACCACCACUUUAAGUUACUGUAUUGAACUCAUUCUUUAUUUAUAUUGUUGUUAAACUUUCUGUAUUCCAACUUCUCUAUGGUUCAUAACUUCCGAUACUACUCAUAGGUUCAUCAAAAUAAGCAAACAACACAUGAAAAACAGAAUCUGUCAAAAAGAGAAAAGUCUGUAGUAAUCUGUAACUUUCGAAUACUUCUGUAACUCUAAAAAUUCUGAAAUAAAUUGGUGGACGUGAGGAAUUUGUCUAGUAAUCAGGUGCAAAAAUAAUCAACUAAAAAGCACUCUCUGGUUACAAGUGGCAGCUAUGCUCGUGAGCGCAAAAGUUUCUGUUUUUACAGCAUGAUCAUAUAAACUUUACCCAUGUCUUCCCAACGGUUCUACUUGGCACAAACACUAAUUAAAACAUAAAAACACAUCUAAUCAGAGACUAAUAAAUUAUUUAUUACUAAACAGGGGCAAAAAGCAAGAAACAAAAAUAAAAUUGGGGUGCCUCCCAACAAGAGCUAUCGUUUAACGCCCCUAGCUAGGCAUAAAAACAAGGAUAGAUCUAAGUAUUAUCAUCUUUGGUAUGCAAUUCAUCAAUAGAACACUUAUAACCCUUAGGAGUUUCCUUCUUUUUGAUAAUGAUCAAACUCCUAGGCAAGGAAUAAAGAAAUUCAUUUGUAGCAAAAGGUUCCUUAAUGAUAGCGAAAAAGUUGGGGUGAACACUUAUGGAUUUGAGAUCCACAUUUUCCUUACUAGAAGUUUCACCCUUAUUUUUAGGAACAUACAUUAAUUUGGCAACUUUGGUAUUAGGAAGAUUUGGAGUAUUUUUUAUGGAAGAAAAGGCAGACCCUAAGUUGGUAAUAAUAUUCUCCAGUUUAUCAAUUCUUGUGGAAUCUUGAUCUAUUUUUUCGUUAACUAUGGGUUCCUUUGCUUUAAAAAAAUUCAGAAUUAUUCCUACCUUGGAUCCUUAUUGGUAAUUUGGUUGUGGAUCUUUUUAUCCAAAUUCUCAGUUGACUCUAUAGUGGAAGCUUUAUUUUCAAUAAUUUCGAGCCUUUGCAUCACAUGUUCCAAAGUUAAAGUAGUUCCAUUAACCAAAGAGGUGGUGGGCCAAACAAAUCUAUCAUGGCAUUAUGAGAAUCAAAAGUAUGGCUACCCAAGAAAUUUCCCUGCGGUAAUGGUGUCAAGAAUAUAUCUAUUCCAAGGAGUGAUGCCAACAUAAAAACUGCGAAGAAGAACGGAAGUGGAUUGCUUCCUAGUGGAUUUGUUUUGAGCAUUGCAAAUUCUAUACCAAGCAUCUUUUAAGUUUUCUCCUUCCCUUUGUUUAAAAUUAAGAACUUCAUGAUCGGGAGUACUAACAAUGAUAGAAGGACUAGCCAUAGCGGCUAAGUAAACGAUCUAACACACAGGCACACAAGAAGCAAGCGAAAGAGGCAGGAGGGAGGCGAAUAAAACGACAAAGGUGAAGUGGGGGUGAGGAAAACGAGAGGCAAAUGGCGAAUAAUGUAAUGCGAGGGAUAAGAGUUUUGAUGGGUACUUGGUAUUGACUUGAUGUAGAUCUCCUCGGCAACGGUGCCAGAAAUCCUUCUUGCUACCUCUUGAGCUUGUGUUGGUUUUUCCCUUGAAGAGGAAAGGGUGAUGCAACACAGUAGCGUAAGUAUUUCCCUCAAUUUUGAGAACCAAGGUAUCAAUCCAGUACGGGACCACACGCAAGUCGCCUCGUACCUACACAAACAAAUAAGAACCUUGCAACCAACGUGAUAAAGGGGUUGUCAAUCCCUUCACGGCCACUUGCAAGAGUGAGAUCUGAUAGAGAUAACAUAAAUAUUUUUGGUAUUUUUAUGAUAUAGAUUGGAAAAUAAAGAUUGCAAAAUAAAAUAGAUUGGAAACUUAUAUGAUGGAAAAUAGACUCGGGGGCCAUAGGUUUCACUAGUGGCUUCUCUCAAGAUAGCAUAAUUUACGGUGGGUGAACGAAUUACUGUCGAGCGAUUGAUAGAAAAGCGAAUAAUUAUGAGAAUAUCUAGGCAUGAUCAUGUAUAUAGGCAUCACGUUCGUGACAAGUAGACCGACUCCUGCCUGCAUCUACUACUAUUACUCCACACAUCGACCGCUAUCAAGCAUGCAUCUAGAGUAUUAAGUUCAUAAGAACAGAGUAAUGCAUUAAGAAAGACACAUGAUGUAGAGGGAUAAACUCAAGCAAUAUGAUAUAAACCCCAUCUUUUUAUCCUCGAUGGCAACAAUACAAUACGUGCCUUGCUGCCCCUACUGUCACUGGGAAAGGACACCGCAAGAUUGAACCCAAAGCUAAGCACUUCUCCCAUUGCAAGAAAGAUCAAUCUAGUAGGCCAAACCAAACUGAUAAUUCGAAGAGACUUGCAAAUAUAUUAAAUCACACAUAUAAGAAUUCAGAGGAGAAUCAAGUAUUGUUCAUAGAUAAACUUGAUCAUAAACCCACAAUUCAUCGGAUCUCGACAAACACACCGCAAAAGAAGAUUACAUCGAAUAGAUCUCCGAGAGAAUCGAGGAGAACUUUGUAUUGAGAUCCAAAGAGAGAGAAUAAGCCAUCUAGCUAAUAACUAUGGACUCGAAGGUCUGAGGUAAACUACUCACACAUUAUCGGAGAGGCUAUGGUGUUGAUGUAGAAGCCCUCCGUGAUCGAUGCCCCUCCGGCGAAGCGCCGGAAAAGGCCCCAAGAUGGGAUCUCACGGGUACAGAGAGUUGCGGCGGCGGAAAUAGGGUUUCGUGCUGCUCCUCGAUGUUUUCAGGGUAUAUGAGUCUAUAUAGGCGAAAGAAGUCGGUCAGGAGAGCCACGAGGGGCCCACGAGGGUGGGGGGCACGCCCAGGGGGGUAGGCGCGCCUCCCUACCUCGUGGCUUCCUCGUUUAUUUCUUGACAUCCACUCCAAGUCCUCUGGAUCACGUUUGUUCCAAAAAUCACUCUCCCAAAGGUUUCAUUCCGUUUGGAUUCUGUUUGAUAUUCCUUUUCUGCGAAACACUGAAAUAGGCAAAAAAAACCAGCAAUUUGGGCCCAAAAAUAAUAUAAAAGUGUAUAAUAAAGCCCAUUAAACAUCCAAAACAUAUAAUAUAAUAGCAUGGAACAAUCAAAAAUUAUAGAUACAUUGGAGACGUAUCACACUGCCAUUUAGGUCAUAUUGGUGUAAAGGGCAUGAAGAAACUCCAUGCUGAUGGGCUUUUGGAAUCACUUGAUUAUGAAUCACUUGGUGCUUGCGAACCAUGCCUCAUGGGCAAGAUGACUAAGACUCGGUUCUCCGGAACAAUGGGGCGAGCAACAGACAUAUUGGAAAUAAUACAUACUGAUGUAUGCGGUCCAAUGAGUGUUGAGGCUCGCGGCGUGUAUCAUUAUUUUCUGACCUUCACAGAUGAUUUGAGAAGAUAUGGGUAUAUCUACUUGACGAAACAUAAGUCUAAAAUCUUUUAAAUGUUCAAAGAAUUUCAGAGUGAACUUGAAAAUCAUCGUAACAAGAAAAUAAAAUUUCUACAAUCUGAUCAUGGAGGAGAAUAUUUGAAUUGUGAGUUUGGUCUUCAUUUGAAACAAUGCGGAAUAGUUUCACAAUUCACGCCACCUGGAACACCACAACGUAAUGGUGUGUCCGAACGUAUUAACCUUACUUUAUUGGAUAUGGUGCAAUCUAUGAUGUCUCUUGCUGAUUUACCGCUAUUAUUUUGGGGUUAUGCUUUAGAGACGACUGCAUUCACGUUAAAUAGGGCACCAUCUAAAUCCGUUGAGAUGAUACCAUAUGAACUGUGGUUUGGCAAGAAACCUAAGUUGUCGUUUCUUAAAGUUUGGGGCUGCGAUGCUUAUGUGAAAAAGCUUCAACCUGAUAAGCUCGAACCCAAAUAGGAGAAAUGUGUCGUCAUAGGAUACCCAAAGGAUACUGUUGGGUACACCUUCUAUCACAGAUCCGAAGACGAGAUAUUCAUUGCUAAGAAGUGAGUGGGAGGAAAGUAGAACUUGAUGAGGUAAUUGUACCUUCUCCCGAAUUGGAAAGUAGUUUAUCACAGAAAUGAGUUCCAGUGAUUCCUACACCAAUUAGUGAGGAAGCUAAUGAUAAUGAUCAUGAAACUUUAGAUCAAGUUACUAUCGAACCUCGUAGGUCAACCAGAGUACGUUCCGCACCAGAUUGGUAUGAUAAUCCUGUUCUGGAAGUCAUGUUACUAGACCAUGACGAACCUACGAACUAUAAGGAAGCAAUGAUGAGCCCAGAUUUCGUGAAAUGGCUUGAGGCCAUGAAAUCUGAGAUGGGAUCCAUGUAUGAGAACAAAGUGUGGACUUUGCUUGACUUGCCCGAUGAUCGGCAAGCCAUAGAGAAUAUAUAGAUCUUCAAGAAGAAGACUGACGCUUAUGGUAAUGUUAUUGUCUACAAAGCUCGACUUGUUGCGAAACGAUGAGACCUUCUCACCCGUAGCGAUGCUCAAGUCUGUCCGAAUCAUGUUAGCAAUUGCUGCAUUUUAUGAUUAUGAAAUUUGGCAAAUGGAUAUCAAAACCGCAUUCCUUAAUUGAUAUCUUAAAGAAGAGUUGUAUAUGAUGCAACCAAAAUGUUUUGUCGAUCCUAAAGGUGCUAACAAAGUGUGCAAGCUCUAGCGAUCCAUUUAUGGACUGGUGCAAGCCUCUCGGAGUUGGAAUAUACGCUUUGAUAGUGUGAUCAAAGCAUAUGGUUUUAUACAGACUUUUAGAGAAGCCUGUAUUUACAAGAAAGUGAGUGGGAGAUCUAUAGCAUUUCUGAUAUUAUAUGUGGAUGGCAUAUUGUUGAUCGGAAAUGAUAUAGAAUUUUUGGAUAGCAUAAAGGGAUACUUGAAUAAUAACUUUUCAAUGAAAGACCUCGGUGAAGCUGCUUAUAUAUUAGGCAUCAAGAUCUAUAGAGAUAGAUCAAGAUGCUUAAUUGGACAUUCACAAAGCACAUACCUUGAUAAAGUUUUGAAGAAGUUCAAAAUGGAUCAGUCAAAGAAAGGGUUCUUGCCUGUGUUACAAGGUGUGAAGUUGAGUCAGACUCAAUGCCUGACCACUGCAGAAGAUAGAGAGAAAACGAAAGUCAUUCCCUAUGCCUCAGCUAUAGGUUCUAUCAUGUAUGCAAUGUUGUGUACCAGACCUGAUGUGUGCCUUGCUAUUUGUUUAUCAAGGAGGUACCAAAGUAAUCCAGGAGUGGAUCACUGGACAACGGUCAAGAACAUCCUGAAAUACCUGAAAAGGACUAAGGAUAUGUUUCUCGUUUAUGGAGGUGACAAAGAGCUCGUCGUAAAUGGUUACGUCGAUGCAAGCUUUGACACUGAUCCGGGUGACUCUAAGUCACAAACCGGAUACGUAUUUAUAUUGAAUGGUGGAGCUGUUAGUUGGUGUAGUUCCAAGCAGAGCAUCAUGGCGGGAUCUACGUGUGAAGCGGAGUACAUAGAUGCUUCGGAAGCAGCAAAUGAAGGAGUCUGGAUGAAGGAGUUCAUAUCCGAUCUAGGUGUAAUACCUAGUGCAUCAGGUCCAAUGAAAUAUUUUGUGACAAUACUGGAGCAAUUGCCUUGGCGAAGGAAUCCAGAUUUCACAAGAGAACCAAACACGUCAAGAGACGCUUCAAUGCCAUCCGCGAUCAAGUCAAGGAGGGGGACAUAGAGAUUUGCAAAAUACAUACGGAUCUGAAUGUUGUAGACCCGUUGACUAAGCCUCUUCCAUGAGCAAAACAUGAUCAGCACCAAGACUCCAUGGGUGUUAGAAUCAUUACUAUGUAAUCUAGAUUAUUGACUCUAGUGCAAGUGGGAGACUGAAGGAAAUAUGCCCUAGAGGCAAUAAUAAAGUUGUUAUUUGUAUUUCCUUAUAUCAUGAUAAAUGUUUAUUAUUCGUGCUAUAAUUGUAUUAACCGGAAACUUAGUACAUGUGUGAAUACAUAUACAAACAGAGUGUCCCUAUUAUGCCUCUACUUGACUAGCUCGUUAAUCAAAGAUGGUUAAGUUUCCUAGCCAUAGACAUGUGUUGUCAUUUGAUGAACGGGAUCACAUCAUUAGAGAAUGAUGUGAUGGACAAGACCCAUCCGUUAGCUUAGGACUAUGAUCGUUUUGUUUUACUGCUAUUGCUUUCUUCAUGACUUAUACAUGUUCCUCUGACUAUGAGAUUAUGCAACUCAUGAAUACCGGAGGAACACUUUGUGUGCUAUCAAACGUCACAACGUAACUGGGUGAUUAUAAAGAUGCUCUACAGGUGUCUUUGAAGGUGUUUGUCGAGUUGGCAUAGACCAAGAUUAGGAUUUGUCACUCCGUGUAUCGGAGAGGUAUCUCUAGGCCCUCUCGGUAAUGCACGUCACUAUAAGCCUUGCAAGCAAUGUGACUAAUGAGUUAGUUGCGGGAUGAUGCAUUACGGAACGACUAAAGAGACUUGCCGAUAAUGAGAUUGAACUAGGUAUGAUGAUACUAACGAUUGAAUCUCGGGCAAGUAACAUACCGAUGACAAAGGAAACAACGUAUGUUGUUAUGCGGUUUGAACGAUAAAGAUCUUCGUAGAAUAUGUAGGAGCCAAUAUGAGCAUCCAGGUUCCACUAUUGGUUAUUGACCGGAGAUGUGUCUCGGUCAUGUCUACAUAGUUCUCGAACCCGUAGGGUACGCAUGCUUAACGUUCGAUAACGAUUUGUAUUAUGAGUUAUGUGAUUUGAUGACCGAAGUUUGUUCAGAGUCCUAGAUGAGAUCACGGACAUGACGAGGAGUCUCAAAAUAGUCGAGAGGUAAAGAUUCAUAUAUUGGAAGGUUAUAUUCAGACACCGGAAUGGUUUCGGGAAGUUUCGAAUAAGUUUCGGAGAACCGGGGGUUACGGGACCCCCCCCCCCGGGAAGUUAAUGGGCCAUACAUGGGCCUUAGUGGAGGAGAGAGGCCAGCCUAGGAGGAGGCGCGCAGCCCCCUUGCCAGUCUGAAUUGGACAAGGGGUGGGGGCGGCGCCCCCCUCCUUUCCCUCUCCUACUCCUUCUCUCUUUCCCUCUUUGCUUCUCCGGAAAAGGAAAAAGGAGAGGGAAUCCUACUAGGACUACGGAGUCCUAUUAGGACUCCCCACACCUGGCGCGCCCCCUUGGGCCGGCCACCUCCUCCCUUCCUCCUUUAUACACGUGGGAGGGUGGCACUCCAAAGGCACACAUGUUGAUUUCUUAGCCGUGUGCGGUGCCCCCCUUCACAGUUUACCACCUCGGUCAUAUCGUCGUAGUGCUUAGGCGAAGCUCUGCACCGGUAACUUCAUCAUCACCGUCGCCACGCCGUCGUGCUGACGGAACUAUCCCUCGUCCUCAACUGGAUCAAGAGCUCGAGGGAUGUCAUCAUGCUGAACGUGUGCUGAACACCGAGGUGCCGGAUGUUCGGUACUUGGAUCGGUUGGAUCGUGAAGACGUUCGACUACAUCAACCGCGUUACAAAACGCUUCCGCUUUUGGUCUACGAGUGUACGUGGACACACUCUCCCCUCUCGUUGCUAUGCAUCUCCUAGAUAGAUCUUGCGUGAUCGUAGGAAUUUUUUUGAAAUACUGCAUUCCCCAACAAUCGUGACCCGGGCUUGUAACAUAUAGAUCUAAGUUUUGUUUGUGUCAUAGAGUUUUGUAGUUAUAUCAACGUGGAGUCAUCGUUCGUGGUCGUGCAUGAUGCGUGUAUGAUUAGUGCAUGAUUAGAAACGGGGGCGUCACAUGUGGCGAUGCCAUCUGACACUGUUUUUCAUCCUAGGAGGCGCUACCGUGGUCCUCCUAUCUACCCCCUUCCUAUCUCCAAAAUGAAACGUGAAAUCCCGCUAAGAUUGGGCGGUGACGGUGCACCGUUCAUUGUGUCCUCCUGGAAGCGCUGCUUAGGGAUGAUUUGGCAGCAGGGAGGCUAGUCAUAGUGGGUGUAACUUAGCAAGUAACAUAACACACCCAAUGGAUGUUUUCUUAUGUGGGAAUUAGUUAAUGAGGAUAUAGGUUUGUUGGUAACAUAAUAUGUUACUGUAAAUUAACGCAAGCCAAGGCAAAAUGAGUUUACAUCCUAAUAAAUGCAACCAUCUAUGAUACUACUUAUACAAUGGUUUGCACUAUGAAGAUAGUAACAUAGAUUAGUGCCAUCCCUUAAAAAACAUAGACUAGUGUCAUAUGCAUGGCACUACUCUAAGUUAUUCUCCACUAUGACUAGCCUGGCGGCAUUGAGUCUGGGAGAUUUGGGUCGCUCCAGAUUUCAAGUGGCAGUUGUAUUUUCAUGUUUUACGUGGUUGGUAGUGUCUCCAAUUCCCUCAUGGGUGGUGCUCCUCGGUGGCGGCAUGUGUAUCUCAGUUCCGGCGGUGCGCCCCCUUUGACCCGUUGUCAGGUGAUAGUGGUCCCCUUCCUAAAACUAGUAGUGCGCCGAUGUUCGGGAACACACGUCUCUUCUCUUCAACAGACGACAUGCCAUGCAUGUUCCUGAAUAGCCCAUGGUCUCUUCUUGAUGGGGAAGCUCCUAGUGACUUUCAAGGUGCGCUCUACUGUCCUUGGUCUACAGCGGUGGUGCAGUGUGACCUCAUUGCUAGGUGGUCAUGCUCUUUGGUUACUACAUGUAUCGAUAAUGGCACCUCUCCACUUCUUGAUGAAUAUCUCUCAUGUAUGAUGGUACGGCGCCUUUCGAAUCAAGGCAAGAGGGAAGGCCCCCUCUGUGGUGAUAGAGAAGGAAGUUGUUUGGUUCUCGCCAACCAUGUGUGUCAACCAAGUCCAAGACUCCCAUUCUGUUUGUAGACAUGGCCUCAUCGUGCUUCUGUUGUUCAUGGUCUUUGGUUCUUGAGUGCUUUGGUCUUCGGCUAGUGCAAGCAGUAUUUUCCUUGCAUUUUUAUUUUGGGCUUGCAUCUUGUGUUAAAUUGUAAGUUGUCCCGGGUGCUCCCUUGUAUCGUUCGGCUGAUGUAUGUGUGUUUCUUGUAAUUCCUAGCCAGUUGAUGGAUUUAUUAAUUCAAAGCCAGGCUCGUUUUGAGUGUUUUGUCUAAAAUAAACUUUUAGAGGGUGAAAGGAAAAUUUGAAGGAAGAUUCAAAAGAGGAUUGCACUGAGAGUGGUUACUGUCAUGAUUAUUUUAUCAUGUCAGAUGAAGAUGAAGAUUGUGUUGAGAUUAACAAGAUCUACAAGGAGUAUAAAACAAAUAUGAAGGAUGAACAACUAAAGCACAUUGAUGAUGUUAUGCUUGAUCGUGGGCCUAUAGUAUGGUCAUCAAAUAAGGUGGGGGAGGAAAAUGAUGGAAAUGGUAUGGCGUAUGAAGCUCUGAAUUUUCUGAUUCGUUCGUUGAGAUUGGCAUUGGUGGUGAAGUGAAGACAUUUAAGUCAAGAUACAUAGUGUUCAAGGACAAGGGGGUGUACCAGAGUUUACUGUUGGUUUGAUAUUUAAUUGCAAGGAUGACCCACAUGAGCGGCUUGAGCUGGAUGAAAUUGUCAUCUGCUUGCCUAGCCAAAGGAUUCGUUGUUCGAAUAUUGGCCAAUUCACUCCUGCUGCCAAAUUCACCAUCAAUGUUGCCACUCUAGAGUUAAUGUGCCGUAGUGAAGGGGAGAGGGGGAGAGGGGGAGAUACAAGCUCUUUUGGGUCACUCAACUAACGUGGUAGUCAGAACCUGGUGAACUGUCCAGUUUUAGUCAAAAGUCAAAAUUGUGUCCAUGUCGGCAGGAAACCACCUAAAGCGGCACAAUGGACUCAACUUAUCAACUUUUUUAGGGUUGAGGAGCUUAGGUUUGCUGGUUUUAGUGUUGAUGCUAUACUUUCUAGAGAGUUUAGGGAUGAAAAAUAUAAUUUUCUCAUUUUCUAAAUAUUUGUAAGUGUGAGAGCAACAUUAGUGCGCAAUAAAGAGUGAUGAGGAAGAUCAGACCUCUGCAGCCAUCCUUGAGGUAGGGAUUUCCUUGAAAGCCGGACGAACACUUACAACGAUAUCCCAUAAAUAUUGCCCCAUGGGUGACGUUUAGGCAAUAGCUCUGGGAACUACGACAUGCAUACAUAGUAUCCUUUUGCUUAGCUGUUUCACAUGUUAAAUUGGCAAUCGCCCACUUUAUAACAAUGUGAUCGUAUUCCAUAGAGAAGUCAAAUUGAUCUUCCAUAGGUUCCUCCAAUUCCUCUCCAUUAUUGUCAGUCUUGACUAAUGUUGCCUCUUUUUCAUUACUUCCAUUCACAAUGUUGCCAGCAGUUAGAGUCCCAUCUUCCACGGAGACACCAGUCACCUGAUAUUGUGUACCUUCUGAGACAGAAACUGUGAGAGUACCAGAUGUACAAUUAAGAUGAAAUACUUCAUGUGCAAAACAUCCUUCUUCGAUCCCAAAGGGGAAGGGAACAAUAAUGGGUCCACAUGAUGUGGUACAGUUUUCUUUGGACUUCGGGUUAUAGUCUGCGCCAAGGUAGAUAGACACAAAAAGUAAGAACACGAGGCUGAAGGCUAAAUGGAAGGGAAUUUUAAAUCAUUUUGUAGAAAACAUAGGGCCGGAAGCACCUUGGAUGCAUCCAUCUAAAAUGUAAGGGUUGCCUUGUCCAUAAGAAGAGCAGUGACAUAGGUACCCACCAGAUGAGGAAUUCUGGCAACUACUACCGUUGCUACAAGCAUAGCUUGUGUAGUUCAUCUGUGCACUUGCACAGCUUGGUUGGUCGAUGAUGGUAAUACUAAUUAUCGCAGAAGGAGCAUCAUCAAUUGAGUUCCAACUUGAGAAAAUAUUGGUUGUAUUAUCACUUACAUAACUCUCAUCAUCUGACACUAGAGCCAUGAUGCCAGGGUGCAACCAAUCUGAUUGUGUUGCAGUAGUAUUAGUGCUGACAAGUUUUGCACGAAAAGCCUGGCAGGUCCGUUGGUAAUGGGAUGAUGCAGCAUCCCUUUCCAUUACAAGGUCCUUCAGUCGGUGCUUUCUCGCUGACGCAUCUACUCAUACAAGAACCAACCAUGUCGCCCGUACCAUACUCAAAAAGGGUGAUGUCAAAAUCACAACCAGCUACGUACAAAGCACUAUCACUAGUAAUACUAAUACCUUUAGCAGGGGCCUCCCAUGACAUGUGGUAGGUAUUUGUACCUGGCCUCGUUGUGUGGUUGAAGAUUAUAGGGCUGAAAGCAAUGCCGUAGUUGGAGUUCUUGCCAGUGACCUGGAUAGAGCUGCUGCCUAGAAAGAGCUUGGGAUGCUUGGUGGAGUGGUUGCAGGUGAGAUCGAAGCCUUGACGGAAGCAGCCGGGCCCUAUACCGAAGGGAUAUGGGAUGUCAACAUCCCCACACCUUGGGAUGCAGUGAGCCAAGGAAUCAUUAGAAGGGAUCUGCAGGAUCCCUCCGACGGCUCUGUAAAACAAAGAAGAAAUAGAUUGGAUCGGCGCACCCAACAUGGUGGCCUUGAGAUGUAUUUAUAUGGGUGCAACUAGGGCACAGAUUACAGGUGGUUACAGGAGAUAAGUACAAUAUUAACAGACUCCUAUAUCCUAACAAUAUACUAUUUAACAUCCCCUUUCAAUUUGAACUUCCUUCGCGAAGAUUCACAUUGUGUCUAUUUGAGACAAAAGGCGCCUCAGCUAGUGGUUUGGUGAAGAUGUCAGCAACCUGUUCCUUGGAAGAGAUGAACCUAACAUCCAAUGCUUUGGCUGCAACUCUUUCGCGAACAAAAUGGAAAUCAACCUCUAUAUGCUUGGUUCUGGCAUGAAACACUGGAUUUGCAGACAAACAAGUGGCACCUAGGUUAUCACACCACAAUAUUGGAGGUCGUGACAUAAAGACUCCAGGUUCUCCAAGAACUGACUGUAUCCAGAUUAUCUCAGUUGUGCCAUUGACAAUGGCCUUGUACUUAGACUCGGUGCUGGAUCGUGAGACUGUGGCCUGCUUUCUGGAGCUCCAAGAGACAAGGUUGGGACCAAGAAAAACCGCAAACCCUCCUGUAGACCUGCGAUCGUCACUGCAUCUAGCCCGGUCCGCGUCGGAGAAGCAACUCAACACCAUUGAAGGUGAAUUGCGGAUAGACUGACUCAUACCACGAGCGUACUUCAAAUACCUCAAGAUCCUUUUAGCUGCCGAAAAAUGUGCAGUCGUUGGUGCGUGAAGAAACUGACAAACACGAUUCACAGAAAAGGAAAUAUCCGGCCUGGUCAACGUCAAAUACUGAAGUGCUCGAACCAGACUACGGUAUUUAGUACUAUCAUCUUGAGAGAGAGAUGCCCCACUAUCUUUGCUGAUCUUCUCACUUGAGGGCAUGGGAUUAGUGGAGACCUUACAAUUUUCCAUGUUAGCACGGUGAAGAAUGUCACCAAUGUACUUCUGUUGAGAGAGCACAAUCCCCUGUGGCGACGACUUCACCUCAACUCCAAGGAAAAAAUGCAAGGGACCAAGAUCCUUGAGAACAAACGUGGCAUGAAGAUCAACAAGUAACUUGGUCGUUGCAGUAGGCGAUGAGCUGGCCACAAUGAUGUCAUCCACAUAGACAAGCAUGAACAUGGUGACACUGCCACGAUAAAAAAUGAAUAGAGAAGUGUCUGCUUUAGAGGCCACAAAACCAAGUUGAAGCAGGCGAGAACUUAACUGAGAAUACCAGGCUCUGGGAGCCUGUUUAAGUCCAUAUGUAGCUUUCCUCAGCUUGGACAAAUACCAAGGAGCAGUAGGAUCCACAAAUCCAGGAGGUUGUCGCAUAUACACAUGUUCCUGAAGAACUCCAUGAAGAAAGGCAUUAUGAACAUCCAACUGGGGCAGACACCAACCUUGAGAGACAGCAAUGUAAAGAACUAGGCAAACAGUAACUGGUUUAACAACCGGACUGAACGUGUCAUCAUAAUCGAGACCAUAGCGUUUCUUGAACCCUUUGGCAACAAGAUGAGCCUUGUGACGAUCCACAGUGCCAUCAGCCUUGUACUUUACUUUAAAAACCCAUUUGCAGUCGAUCACAUUGACAUGAGGUGGUGGUGGAACUAAGGUCAAUGUACCAUUGUGACGAAGAGCAUCGAGCUGAAACUGCAUAGCGGCACGCCAAGCUGGAGAUGCCAUGGCCUCACGAUGAUCACGGGGUUCCCUGGGGACCAGAAACACACGGCGGGAUGGAUCAUAGUUGACAGUACCAUCCGUACGGUGUGCAACUUUGCAAGUGUGAUCACUUGUGCAGUCACCAUUGCAUGAGCAGGAGAUGCAGUAGACCCAGGCACAGAGGAUCCAGGAGCGGCAGCCAAGGAGGGAAUCAUAUCCUCCUGGGAUCCCGUGUGGCCAGCAGGCGCAGGAGGAGAAUCCAGCGGCGAUCCCGAGGAGGGACCAGGGGACGCAGGCGCGCCUGUCGCGGAACAGGGCCGGCCCACUGGCUGGCGAUCGGGCACGUGGACAGCAGCGUGUGGCGAGUCAGGGCGGAGGGAACCAGGCCAGUGGCGGGCCCCACCACUGAGAAGGAUGGGGCGGGCGGAGGGGCGACCGGGCCGUCGAAGGCCGCCACGUGGGCCAGCUGAUGAGGCGCCUCCCCGCGGUCACCUGGCGCGUCGCUGUCGCUUUCGGGAGAGGCUACGCGAUCUGAGGCCGGAUCAGCUCCGGAUCCUAUGCCCGGAUCUUCCUGGGACGCGGGAGCGCCUCGCACACCUGGGAUCUUCCGCAUCGGAGGAGAUCCUGCAUCUAGGUUAGAAGACAAAGCAGAUAUAAGAUAUUUCAUGUGGUCAUGCGGGAAUGAAAGGAUGGUUUGUUCUGCAACGUGAGGUGGUAUGGGAGAGGCAGACGGGUUGGCAAAAGGAAAAACUUUUUCAUCAAACGUGACAUCUCGAGAGAUAUAAACACGAGUUGUGCGUAGAUGAAGACAUUUAUACCCUUUAUGAUGGAUGCUGUAGCCAACAAACACACACUGUUGGGACCGAAAGGCGAGUUUGUGUGUGUCGUAGGGACGCAUGUUGGGCCAGCAAGCGCAACCAAACAUACGAAGCGACGUGUAGUCUGGUUUGGUGUUGAAUAAUUUUUCCAUAGGACUAAGGUUGCCAAUGACACGACUAGGGAGUCGAUUGAUAAGAUAACAUGCUGAGAGAUAGGCCUCAUCCCGAAAACGUAGCGGCAUAGAUGCAUGUGAUAGUAAAGAGAGCCCCAACAAUAUGAAGGUGUUUCCUUUCAGCUGAACCAUUUUGCUGGUGUGUGUGUGGGCAAGAAACAUGAUGCAUAAUGCCAAGUUGACGAAAAAACAUGUUUCUAAGCUUCUCGUACUCCCCACCCCAAUCGGAUUGAACACAUAAAAUCUUGCGAGAUAGAAGGCGUUCAACAUGAGCAAGGAAGUCACGAAAAACAUCAAACACAUCACAUUUUCUUUUGAGAAGAUAGAUCCACACAAACUUACUAUAAUCAUCGAUAAAAGAGACAUAGUACUGGAACCCACCAGAUGAUGUUUUGGCAGGUACCCACACAUCCGAAAAAAUAAGUUCUAAAGGGAAGGAAGAAACACUUGAGGAUCUAGGAAAAGGAAGCUGGUGUGCUUUGCCUUGUUGACACGCGUUACACACAUGGGUCAUAGACCGACUAGAGGAAACUAGUUUAUUGGAUGAUAAAACGUGCUGAACGACUUGAGUGGAUGGGUGGCCAAGCCUUGCGUGCCAAUCUUCAGCUGACAACCUAACAGAAGACAAAGCAUGAUCAGAUGAUGGCCGAAUGGGGUAAAGCCAGUUUUCACAUCUGCCUUGAAGAAGAACCCUCUUGGUGGUCAAAUCCUUCAUAAGAAAAUGAGUAGGGUAAUACUUUAGAUAAGCAUGAUUAUCAACGGCAAGACGAUUGACAGAGAGAAGGUUCUUGUCAACAUUAGGAACAUGCAAGAUAUUGCGAAGUUUGAGAUUAGAAGAGGGGGUAGGAAGAAUUGCAUGACCACGAUGAGCUAUGUGCAAACCUGAUCCGUCAGCUGUGUGGAUGCUGUGUCUUCCUAGGUACUUCUCCCGGACCGUGAGGCAAUCCAGAUCGCCGGUGAUGUGGUCCCUGGCCCCGAUGUCAGUGAACCAAGCAGGGUCACCUAGGAUGGAAGGAGGAGAAGCAGUAGCAAGCCCGGCCAUCUUGGACUCUUGAGGUUGGAACGCAUGGUUGUAGCGCUGGCCGCACUCCCAGGCAUAGUACCCAGGGCCGCGGCAGAGCUGACGCUAGACGCGGUUGUCGCCCCGGUCACCGUAGUCACCGCGAUCACCGUCACGGUUGCCACCAAAAUCACCUUGUUGGCGCGUGCCGCCGCCACCGCAGUUCCCGCGAUCGCCACCGCGAGAAUUGUUGUUGUAGCUGCCGCGAUCUUCGGAGUUGCCGCGGCCCUUGCCGCGGCAGUUUCCCUUGCCCCGAUUGGUGUUGUUGUUGGUGUUGCCGUUGGGGUCCCGGGCGACGUAGUUGACGGAGGAGCCGCCAUGCUGGAGAUGAAGACGAGCAGCGUUGUACUCGUGGCGCCGUUCGAAGGAAAUCGCGUGGGAGUAGAACUCACCAAGCAUCAUGUCCUCGGGACGGGUGGUGUAUUCUGUGAUGAGGGGCUCGUAGUCGCUGUCGAGACCGGUGAUGACGGCGGUGAUGAUGUCCUCUUCAUGCAUGGGGCGGCCAAUAGCGGCGAGCUGGUCGGCGUUGGCACGGAUCUUGGCGAAGCAGUCCGCCAUGGAAAGGGUUCCCUUCCUGAAGACGGCCAUGUCUAGUUUGAUCUGGACGAUGCUGGCGCGGCAGUGGGUGGUGUACAUCUCCUCGACAUGAGCCCAGAUGGAACGAGAGGUUUCCAGCCGAUGCACCUGCUGAAAUACCUCAUCAGAGAGAGAGGCAAGGAGAUAGCUGAGGACGAUCUGAUCCUGGCGGAACCAGGUGGCAUACUCCGGAUUGGGAGCGCAAACCCCCUUGUCCUCGGGGUCCAGAAGCUAGGGAGGAGCCGGGAGAGUGCCAUCGACGUAGCCCGUGGCACCGGCUAUGCGCAGAGGGGAAGGACUUGAGCCUUCCAAAGGAGGAAAUUGGAGGUGGUGAGUUUGGCGGUGAUCAGGAUGGCGGAGGGAGGUGGAACGGCAGAAGCCGGUGGCCCAUUGAAAGCGGCGGGCAGGAAGAGCAUGGUUAGGGCAGAGGAAGUGGAAGCGGAAGCCGUAGGGGAGCCCAUUGUGCGAUCCAAGAAUAAAUAGAUUGGAUCGACGCACCCAACAUGGUGGCCUUGGGAUGUAUUUAUAUGGGUGCAACUAGGGCACAGAUUACAGGUGGUUGCAGGAGAUAAGUACAAUAUAAACAGACUCCUAUAUCCUAACAAUAUACAUUUUAACAGGCUCCAGAUAAUGUGGCCGACGUUUGCGGUGCAGCUGCCGAGAACAUCAGCACAAAAGACAUGUCGAUGAGUAUCUUCACUAUUAGAAAAAAGGCCAUUUGUCCUAGUUCGUAAGGCCCAUCUGUCCCGGUUGUGGAACCGGGACUAAAGGGUCGUUACUAAUGCCCUAGGCCUUUAGUCCCGGUUCUUAUACGAACCGGGACAGAUGGGCCUCCACGUGACCACUGCGGCGAGCCCAGGCAGGAGGGCCUUGGUUCCCGGUUGGUAGCACCAACCGGGACCAAUAAGCGUCCACGCGUCAGCAUUUCAAGGGCUGGGGUUUUGUUUUUUUAAAGGAGGUGGUUUAGGGGUUUUGGGGGUUAAUUUAGGUUGUUAGUUAGCUAAUAGAGAGAUGUGUCCCCUCUUAUCUCCGUGCUACUGCUACUGCUAUGCCUAAACAUGACUUAGAUUGAAGUGAAGGCAACAUGUGGUGCAUGUCGAAAGUAAUACUAAUCCUAACUUGAUCAAGUUUGGAUUGUACUACUUUUGACAUGCACCACAUGCAUGUUGCCUUCACUUGAAUCCAAUCCAUCUUCAUUUCACCCACUGAUAUAUAAUAACUCUUCAUGCUCGCAUCAUGCAUCAUCAUAAUAAUAGUCCUACUAAUCAUCAUCAUACAACUUCUACUCGUUAUUAAUUACAAGUCAUACGAUCAUCAUCCUCAUAGUCAUCCAACCAACCCUACUUAAUUGUUCUUAGCACAUGGUCAUCAGUAUUAGGUAGGACCUAAAUACCCUCUUUAAGGUAAAAUAGCAUAAAACAAUAUAGACCAUGACUCUCCAUUAUGGAGAAUGGAGAUCAUCAUGUCUCCAAUUCUUGCGUUUCGCUUCCUUUUGCUUCCAAGAACCUCCUUACGACUGUCCAUACAUUUUUCCAUUCUUUGAUUAGCAUGUCUCCACUUCUUUUAGAAAUCCGGUAUGGAUAGUUGAGAUUCGUAGGAUGGCCUGGUUGUAUGUUCAAAACAUGAAGGCUACCAUUCUGAUACAUCAAUGAGGCACACAAUCCAUCGGGAUUCUCUGUUGAAAAACAUAGUAAUAACUUCAUAGUUAGCAAUGAUGUACUAGUUUUAGAAGUAGGCAAAAGAUGCACGGAUGUCGUAAUAGUAAAAAAUCUUACCAGGGUAUCUCCAUGGUAGUUACCGUAGUUCAACACGUGCACUAGUGACACGUAUUGACCAUAAUGUUGAGGAGUUUGAUUGCAGAUAUUUUAAUUCUCAAGAUCAGUACAAAAUGCGAUCAGAUGAUUUUUCUCCUGAUAAGUUAAUUCGGAGCCAUCGAUGUAGUUGGUUUUGUCUACCAUCUUCCGCACAUUCUUUGACGAAUGAAAAUAAGCUGUCAACUAUUUUGAAAUAAAAAAUAUAAAUUAGUUAAUAACUAUGUUUGAGAAACUCACAUAGCGGUACAACUGGAAGCGUAUCAACAAGGACCCAAAUGUCCAUAUUGUCUUGGUCGAUGUCAGGAUCACCAAGAUCCAUGGUGAUAAGCAUACCCUCAUAAAAACGAUACAUCAUGCAAAGUGCUUCCCAAUUUUUGCAACCAAAAUGGGUUACGCUCUCAGAAUUAUACAGAUUUACUUCAAAAUCCAUACCAUGAUGAGUCCUUAGGUGAAUUUUCUUUGUUUCAUAAUUUUCAUGGUCUUCAAAAUCCAUCCUCUCCAAGACAUAGCGUCUUGCAUGGCAUGGGAUAAGCUACUCGAAUUGUAAAAGAUGAAAAUUACAUGUUGAAAUAGUUGAAGUCAUGCUUAAUUACGAAAAAACACUUGUCGUCGUUGCGUACCGUUUCAACAUCGAAGGUCUCCUCAAGCUUAAUGCUGAAGCGCCAAUCUUCGUCCAGGCGAGGCCUGUCGCACAGACCUCGAUCGUCGUGGCACCAGCUGCACUCCCCCGGGAGACUUUCGUCUUGCGAUGACGACAUUACCUACGUUCAUAAUUCAAAGAUUAAACUUGUACAAUUAAAUAUAUGUACUACAAAAACUAAAAUAGAUCAUUGUUAUUCAUCACGGGUUGACUAUCGGUCUGUCGAGUCUUUCCUUGAAAACUCUUAGCUCACGUGGUGUAUACAUUCGACCAUUGGUGAUGGUCGCUCCUCCUUUCAUCCCCGAGUGCAUUACACCGAAAUGUCUAGCACACGGGAAUGAAGGAGAAGCGACCCCACGACAACAGUCGGGAUUCUUCGUCCUCUCAUAUAUAUAUGGUGGAACUCUCCCUCACUGAUUCCUCUCUGACAUUUGCAACCGUCGGUGAUGGUAGCUCCUCCUUUCGUUCCCGAGUGCAUUACACUAAAUUGUCUAGCACAUGGGAACAAAGGAGAAGCUACCCCCACGACAACAGUCGGGAUUCUUCGUCCUCUCAUAUAUGGUGGAGACUCGACAGACUUAAAGUCAACCCAAAAUAUCGUUUAAUUAUCUUUCUAAAAAAGGAUUUGGCUGGUCUCACCUCGAGGUCGGAGGGGGUCGGUGACGGGGAUGACAGCGGGGAUGAUGGAGGGGGGUCCUAGAUUUCUGCGAAAACAAUAACCCUAUAAGCUAUCAACUAAUCAUAUGCAUACGCCUUGCAUAGUGCUCUCCAAUUUUAGCAUUCAAAGUAGGAGUAGUUUUCCAAUUUGAGCAUUCAAUAAGCAAAAUCAAAUCGCAAAAUAAAGUAGUAUACAAAUUAGGAUACAUUGAAUUAUAAGCAAAACUACAUCAUCUCUUGAGUUCGUACAUCGUCAAAUAUUAUCACUAAUACACCUCGAAUACUAUCAUACAUAUAGCAUCGCUACUACAGCUAGAACCGUAGCGCCCGACGGGUAUCUGCGCGGGUGGUGGACACCCAAAGAGAAGGACCUGCCAGGUAUUGUCGAACCUGCCCUCCAACGCAACCAUGUAGCGACGGACGUGCUCGUCCUCCUCGCUGACACGGUGACGUACCACCUCCGCGGUGUCCGGAAGCCUCGGCACCGUCACUGGCACACGCGAUCGCCACCAAACAAGGAUCGGGUCAACGACAGGCUCGCUCCUCACCAACCUACGCCCCCGGAAUGUAGCACCUCCCAAUACCAGCCCGGCGGAGCCCAAUUCCGGACAUGGCCCCUCUGAUUAAGCCGGCCUCCUCCGCCGAGUCGACGACGAGGAUGCGGGAUAGGCAUCGUCGACGUUGAUGCGGGAAUAAUUGCUUGAACUAAAAAAAUAAACUAGUUCUAUUAAUUUUCAUGCUAAAAAACUACUUCUAUAGUAAAAUAAAGUAGUAUUAUUAAAUCAACUAGUUCAACUACUAAUUAAGCACUCACUAAAAAUAAACUACUUCUAUAGUAAAAUAAAGUAGUUUUAUUAGAUCAAGUAGUUCAAAGCACUUACUACAAAUAAAAUAAAGUAGUACUUACUAAAAAUAAACUAGUUUAACUAGUUCUAUUAUUUAUCGACCCCCCCNNNNNNNNNNNNNNNNNNNNNNNNNNNNNNNNNNNNNNNNNNNNNNNNNNNNNNNNNNNNNNNNNNNNNNNNNNNNNNNNNNNNNNNNNNNNNNNNNNNNNNNNNNNNNNNNNNNNNNNNNNNNNNNNNNNNNNNNNNNNNNNNNNNNNNNNNNNNNNNNNNNNNNNNNNNNNNNNNNNNNNNNNNNNNNNNNNNNNNNNNNNNNNNNNNNNNNNNNNNNNNNNNNNNNNNNNNNNNNNNNNNNNNNNNNNNNNNNNNNNNNNNNNNNNNNNNNNNNNNNNNNNNNNNNNNNNNNNNNNNNNNNNNNNNNNNNNNNNNNNNNGAAGAAAAAAAAGAAGAAAAAAAAGAGGAGAAGAAGAAAGGAAUAGAGGAGAAGAAGAAAAAAUAGAAUAGACUGCUAAAUUGUUUUGUUAUUCCUUUUUUCCUUUUCUUUUUUGUCCAGUAUUGAACAAAAAAGAAAUUAUGGAAGAUGUUUUCUUCCCCCAUUAAGUCCGAGCCAUAGAGUAAGAGUGAGAUGAGUCUUCCAAAUUCAUCAUAGACUUUCCCUAUGGCUUGAUAGAAGUAAGCAGCAAAGAGUCGUAACUUAAAGAAAAAAACGGACAGGGUCGACAGAUUUACCUGAUGUAAAGAAGAUCCUAAAAGUCUCUGAUUAGUCGACUCUCUCCAUUUAACACUUUCCUCUCUCUCCUUUUUGCACUGACUCAAUUCUAGUUUAUUAGAUUCUUGUUUAAAAGAAUGAAAAAAGUUCAACAGAACUAAGAACACAUAAAAAAUAGCAUAGAGGAUCAUGGCCAUUACCAAAAGUUCCUCCGAAGGAUCCUAUAUCCUAUUGGGUAUCUCUUCCCCGCCUUUUCCCGCUAGGAUCAGAAAUCUUAUAUUUUCCAUAUCCAUAUACCGUUGAAUCCUUGGGGUUCCAGAAUCCGCCAAUUUUACUAGUCUUCGGAAACGGAAAACCCUGAACCAAGAAGAGUUGGAUAUGUUAUGUAGGGUAUAUUUUUUUAUUAAUUUUAUUUUGAGCUCUCAAGAUAUCGAUAUAUACAUAUACAAUCUCUACAUAAUGUCUCUCUCUCUAUCACUAUAUAUAUUAUAUAUAUAUAAUAUGUACAUUAUGCAGUAGACCCAUAAUGGGAAAUCCAAGUGGCUAAUUUUUGAAUUAAAUAAAAAGCCCUUUUAACUCAGUGGUAGAGUAAUGCCAUGGUAAGGCAUAAUUCAUCGGUUGAAAUCUGAUAAAGGGCUUUUUAAAUUAGUGGUAGAGUAAUCUCGUGCUAAGACGUAAGUCGUUGGUUCAAAUCUGAUAGAGUACUUUUGUACUAAAUUGAUUCACUUUUUUUCUUUGUUUUUGAAACUUUCUCUAUAUUUUUAGAGAAUUUUAUGACUUAGUGCGGGAUGGAUGCAUUUUUGGUCUGAACACUAAAUGAAGCACGGAGAAUUAAUCUAUAAUGAUCAACUAAAAAAAUCCUAGAUGAAAACAUAACAGAAAAGUUGGAAAAACUCUUUGCUUUGGAUCUAUUUAUACUUUUCGAGUAUAUUGACAAUUCCAAAAAACUGCUCAUACUAUGAUUAUAGUAUAAUCACGAGCGGUUGUAUAUGGCCCUAUCGUCUAGUGGUUCAGGACAUCUCUCUUUCAAGGAGGCAGCGGGGAUUCGACUUCCCCUAGGGGUAGGGAGUAUUAUGAAAGGAGGUUAAUCAUAGAUUAGCAGAAACCCUAGAAUAAAUUCUUCCUGGGUCGAUGCCCGAGUGGUUAAUGGGGACGGACUGUAAAUUCGUUGACAAUGUCUACGCUGGUUCAAAUCCAGCUCAGCCCAAACCAAAAAUCUUGGGCUUCGUGAGUAUGAAC
rnacentral:lncRNA from 1 species